rnacentral:lncRNA from 1 species
AAAAACUCCUCCAAAUCCUUCCCCUUUCUUUUACCGUUUAAAAGAAUUCCAAAAGGUGCCUAAAUAAAAGUGAAUCCCAAACCAAAAACCCACUGCUAGAAGAAAAUCUUUCAUUUUCGUCUUUCGAUUGUUGAUCUAUCUCUGUGGCUAUUUUUUAUGCUUGACUCUAGUUAUUGUGUUUUGAUUAUUUGUUGGAUUUUGUGUUUUGAUUAUUUGUUGGAUUUGGAUUAAUGGUUACUAUUUGGGUGAGGAAAAGUAGUGGUAGGCUUCGGUGUUUGGUUUAGGCAGUGGAUGACCGAUGGUGGUGACUGGCAAUUGGGAGCUAGGCCGAACAAAAUGGGGAUUUGUUUCUGAUUUCCCUUGUGUUUCCCUCUGAUUUUCUCUGCUGAUUUCUUUCUCUGUGAAAUUUUUUUUUUUUUUAGUUGUUGUGAAUUGAAAGUUUUUUUUUAGGUAAGAUCAUGAGAGUUUCAACUCACUUAGGAUUAGAUUUCUUUAAAAUUAAAGAUUAACCCAAAGUAAUUCUAAUCUCAAACUGCUUCUAAUGAAGCUAGCACCUUCACCGAGAUAACAUUAUUUUAAACUUCCAAAUUAUCAAUUUUUUAAAAGAUGAUCAGAUAAUUAAGGAUAAAAUCAAGAUAAAAUACUAUAAUAAUAAGGAUAAAAUAAAUAAGGAUAAAAAGAAUACAAAAAAAUAAAAUAAAAAUCUAAAAUUUAAAAUUCAAUAAUUGGAUUCCAAACUAGUUGAAGUCCAACUGAUUUGGGUCUCGGGCGAAAUAAAAUAUUUAUCUCAAGGAAAAUUGCUCGUAAUAAAAUACAAACCCAAGCUUUAUAAGAGAAAUAUUCAAAUCUUCUCAAGUCAACCAACUUUUGUCUCUCACAUUGUCUGAAAAUCUCAGUCUCUCUCACAUUGUCUUCCUAUAUGGUUGGCCUCAAAUCAAUUGUAGAUGGUUCAAUUUCUCCUCGUUUGCCCUUCUUUUCUAUUCUUUUCCUACUUCAUUUUUCUUUUUUCUUUUUCCUUUUUUUCUUUUCUUUGUUGGCAAUAAGUAUAUUUCACCACCACCACCACCAACAAAUGGCUUGGUCGAUGAGUGCAAGAAGUCAGCCAUCGCUGUCCUCCUUUGAGGCUACCAUUGUAGUGACCAAAAUCUCCACCCUCCUUUGAGACUACCAUUGUAGCAACCAAAAUUCUCAUCCAAAAGAAAGGUAAUGCUAAUUAUGAGGUUUUUAUAUUACCUUAUUUUGGGUUGAUUUUUAGAUUUUGAUUUGUGUGAAAUUGUUGAUAUAUUUACAGUGAAAAAAGAACAAAAAUAAAAUCUUCAAAAUGUAAAUUUUCAAAAUGCAAAACCACAAACAAAAGCUUUGAAUAUUGGUAAAGUUGUUCUAAGUUUGAUAUUUCUUUUAUCAAAAUUUUUGGAUUUGAUAUUAGAUUUAAAGAAAUAUUGAAUUUCAAAGGUUUGGAUUAGUUAUGCAUUUGAUAUUUUUGAUUUAGGAUUUAGGCUUGUAAACUGAGCGUAGCCAUGCUAGUUUUUUCCAACUUCUAACUACAAUUUUGAGUUUCAAACACCUACCAAAUAGUUUCUUCUUUAAGAGAAUGAGCCUUAAGCCAAGCAAUCCUAAUUGAGCCCGUUUUAGACAAUAAAGUCCAAAAUAUUGGAUGAUACAAACUUUAUUCAAACUGAAAAGAUCUUUAAAUAUACUUUAGAUUUAUGGAAUAUUUCCCCAUCAUUUUAGUUCGAUUUAAUGAUUAGUGAAAUAUGAAAAGUUUUCUAAAUAAAAUUGAUUUGUUUUUUUUUUUCUUUCAAAAUUUUAUUUCCAAAGGCAUUAGUUAAUAAAAAUAUAAUUUUAUUUUCAAAAGUUUAUUUUCAAAUAAUUAACUAAAUAAAAUAUGAAAAAAAUUGGAAUUAAUAUAUAUAAUUCGUAUAACUUUUUCUUUUCCUACCUAUUUUUAAUUCAAGUCAAUAGUUAAUAGGAUAUCAAAAGUCUUUUUGAAUAAAAUUUAUUUCUAUUUUUUUAAACGUUUUUUUCAAAUCAUUAAUUAAAAAGUACAAAAAAUUUACAGUAUUUUCAAAUCAUUAAUUUUAUGCCUUUUCCUCUCCCUACCAUUUAUGAAAACAAAAAAAAAAAAAUAGUGAUAUUUCAUGAACAAUUUUUAUUUUAAACCAAAUGACGACAUUUGACAUUUUUCCUUUCAAAGGUUUGUUUUCAAUUUAUUAAAUAAUUCUAUAGAAAAUUAAUAAUUGACAAAUGAAAACAUGAGGAAAUUUAUAGAAAAAUGAUUAGCAAUUGUUGUGCACCAAAACAUUUUAGCAAAAGAAACUAAUUCCUCUAAAAUGAGAAAAAAAUGACGACUUUCUGAAUACAAAAAUAUAAACAAUAUAUUCAUAUGUUCUCACUUGAGCUUACUUAUAUAUUUUAGCUACUCACCAUUUAUUGAAUAAAAAAAUAUUGACACCUUUCAUAGAAUAAAAGUAACAGAAAACCAUUGGCAUGAAGUUACAUAAACUUUGCAUAGUUUAUUUCAAAAUAUGAUUCAAUAAAACUAUAGAUUCCAAAUAAAACAUAUCACUCUAAUGUUCCUCAAUAGAAAAAAAAAAAAAUCAUUGCAACAAAGAUGAUCGGCAUUUCUCAAGAAGGAAACAGCACACGCAUUUGGCCAUGAUUUCAUGAACUUUUAGACAUUCCACGUCAUUGGAAGGUGAACUUCCAAUGCAGCAAACAACACCAUAAAUCUCUCAUCAAAGCUUUAUGCAAUCACAAUAAGAAAGAAACAGCACAAUCUAUUCCACGCUGAAUUCAUAAGUUACAUACUGCAAUAAAGUUACAAAACUUGCAUCAGUUCCCUUUUUUUUUCUUUUUUUUUUUUUGAACAAGAAGCUUGCGUUCAUAUUUUGAAAAUCAAUUUCUAACAUAAUCAAGUGAAAGAAAAAAAGAUGAACUUCAAGAAGCUUGCACCUACCUCUAUUAUUAUUCUUUUUCAUCAUACUUAUUAAANNNNNNNNNNNNNNNNNNNNNNNNNNNNNNNNNNNNNNNNNNNNNNNNNNNNNNNNNNNNNNNNNNNNNNNNNNNNNNNNNNNNNNNNNNNNNNNNNNNNNNNNNNNNNNNNNNNNNNNNNNNNNNNNNNNNNNNNNNNNNNNNNNNNNNNNNNNNNNNNNNNNNNNNNNNNNNNNNNNNNNNNNNNNNNNNNNNNNNNNNNNNNNNNNNNNNNNNNNNNNNNNNNNNNNNNNNNNNNNNNNNNNNNNNNNNNNNNNNNNNNNNNNNNNNNNNNNNNNNNNNNNNNNNNNNNNNNNNNNNNNNNNNNNNNNNNNNNNNNNNNNNNNNNNNNNNNNNNNNNNNNNNNNNNNNNNNNNNNNNNNNNNNNNNNNNNNNNNNNNNNNNNNNNNNNNNNNNNNNNNNNNNNNNNNNNNNNNNNNNNNNNNNNNNNNNNNNNNNNNNNNNNNNNNNNNNNNNNNNNNNNNNNNNNNNNNNNNNNNNNNNNNNNNNNNNNNNNNNNNNNNNNNNNNNNNNNNNNNNNNNNNNNNNNNNNNNNNNNNNNNNNNNNNNNNNNNNNNNNNNNNNNNNNNNNNNNNNNNNNNNNNNNNNNNNNNNNNNNNNNNNNNNNNNNNNNNNNNNNNNNNNNNNNNNNNNNNNNNNNNNNNNNNNNNNNNNNNNNNNNNNNNNNNNNNNNNNNNNNNNNNNNNNNNNNNNNNNNNNNNNNNNNNNNNNNNNNNNNNNNNNNNNNNNNNNNNNNNNNNNNNNNNNNNNNNNNNNNNNNNNNNNNNNNNNNNNNNNNNNNNNNNNNNNNNNNNNNNNNNNNNNNNNNNNNNNNNNNNNNNNNNNNNNNNNNNNNNNNNNNNNNNNNNNNNNNNNNNNNNNNNNNNNNNNNNNNNNNNNNNNNNNNNNNNNNNNNNNNNNNNNNNNNNNNNNNNNNNNNNNNNNNNNNNNNNNNNNNNNNNNNNNNNNNNNNNNNNNNNNNNNNNNNNNNNNNNNNNNNNNNNNNNNNNNNNNNNNNNNNGAUAGUAAAAAAAUUUUUACACUAUAUUACACGCAAAUUGAUUUUCUCCGAACCUUCCAAUAAAGUUUUUGAUUCCACUCUUAGUCACGAUUAUAAUUGAUGUAACACAAAAGGAGCAAAAUUCUAUCCCAUAUUGCAAGCAAUUCUUUAUCCAUUUGGACUUUAGGAAAGGUGCAUUUAAUGCAUCAAAAAUUUUGUCAAACAAACAAAAAAUAAUAAUAAUAAAAAAAAAUAAUAAAAUGGGUGUUUACAGGAUUGAUGCAAUCGAUAGUAAAAAAAUUUUACACCAUAUUACACGCAAAUUGAUUUUCUCCGAACCCUCCAAUAAGGUUUUUGAUUCCACUCUUAGUCACGAUUAUAAUUGAUGUAACACAAAAGGAGCAAAAUUAUGUCCCAUAUUGCAAGCAAUUCUUUAUCUAUUUGACAGACAGUGGCAUACUAUGGGAUGACUGACAAACUAAGACCUCGUUUGGAUUCAAACAAAAGUCAUGUCACGAUAUGUUUGGCCUCAACCGUGCCAUGUACCCCAUUCGGAAGAAGUGGUGUGGCAUCUUUAGAACCUUUUAUUAGCAAAUAUUUUGAUUUUCAAACAUUAAUAUUGACACUGCAACGCAGCAGAUGAAUAAAAAAUAAAAUCACAAUAUAUUUUCAAAAAGAAUUAAUAAAAGGCAAACUAACACAUCUAACUGUACUCUUACCAUUUGUUUUUUUUUUUUUUAAAGGCAAAAUGAAAUAUCAAUGGAGUAAAAUCUUCAUUCCCUGCCUCGCAAGGACGAGCAACAUUUAAUUGGAAUGCGGUCAACGACCCCACUCAACUCUAGAAAAGUCAUAUUUUUACGUAUAAAUAAUUUUUUUUCGUAAUUUUCUUAUUCGACGCCACAAAAAUCGAACAAAAAACUUGAAAUAAGGGGGUCAAAUAAGUAAAAAUUUUAACUUUUUUUUAUGAUGUCAAUGAGUAGUAUAUAUGUAAAAAAAUCUUUAUAAUAAUAUUAAUAUAAAUAUGAUCAUACAUUAAUAAGCUUUAAAAUGUAAUAUGUGGCAUACAAUAAAAUUGAACUUUAAUAACUCGUUCUACAUUUUAUCAUCUUGAACUUUAGUUCUUUAAUUUCCUCUUAUUCAAAAGCCCAAUUUGAAUUUUUUGAAAAAAAAAAAUGGUAUGUUUGAGUCAAUGCUUGAUAUUUAUCUUGAAUUAAUUUUUUCUUUUGGCUUGAUUGAGGUUUAAAUUGUGAGUUGAUUAAAACUUAAGUUGUUGAAUUUUGUAGAUUAUAGGAUUUUUUAUUUUGGGAUAAAUUUGUCUUGUGAUUUAAUGCAAUUUUUUUUUUAAAGUUCAAACAAAAAUAAUGUCUGUAACGUCUCAUUAAGUUUGCUAUUUUUUGCAAUCCCUCUAUUUUGUGGCCACAAUGAACCAUUAAACCAGUGAAUCUAAGUCACACCUCAAUUUCAGUGGAUAAUAUAAGAAAAAACCGAAACUACAAAGAAGUGGCCAUUAUAUCACGUUGCAAUGACUAUUUAAAUCCUUUAAAACCGACUUUACCUGAUGCCAAUUCAGAGUCUUAAAAGGGAUAGGACAUCAUUUUUGGAAUGAAUUAAUUAUUAGUAUGGUUUUUGAACUAAAUUAAAUUGUAUAAAUUGAUAUUUAAACUAAAAAAUUGUAUAAUGUACUCAAAAUCUUUCAAAAUUUGUGGUAAAUCGCAUAUUAGUUCCAACAAAAGGUUUCAAGUUCAAACUUUCUCUGCUCAUCAUACCUAAGAAAAUCCACAAGCACAUAAAUCCUAGAAAGAAUAUUAUAGGCACCCUGCAACCUCUUUCUUUUUCUUUUUUUUUUUUAACUACACUGCAAGCGGGCAACAAAAAAGUGAUUGUGAGAGACCCCAAUUCUUUCCUCACCAUCAACCUGAGGGGAUUGUGACUGGCUUAAAAGUGACCAAAUCAUUGCAUCAUACAAAUUUAGAUUCAUAAUCGAACCGAUGGAAAUUAUGGCUGCAGUUUUAUUUACUCCACUAUAAGCAAAUAGCAUAACCACAUUCCCUUUUCGGUUGGAAUUGCACUGAAAAACUAUUAGGGCUCCUUUGAAAGCAACAGAAGCACUAGAGAGGUGCAGUUCCUAUGGGAGUAUGUGCUCACUGGAGCUUUUUUGCCAAAUGAUGGAAUGGUGCAUUUGUUGAAAUGCCCGUCAUCAACUGCCCAUUUUUGGUCAAGUUGAUGACAGGCCAUAGAUUUUAUUUUGCUUUUCAAUUUUGUCUUUUAAAUUAUAUUGUAAUAUAAAAAAUAUCCUUAUGAUUUUUUUUAAUUUUGAUUUUUAUUUAAAAAUCAUAAAAUAUUUUUUGUUAAUUUAAUUUCAUAAAUAAAUUUUAUUACUUAUUAAUAAAUUUUAUUAUUUAUUAGCAUUUUUAUAUAAUAAAUAAAAUUUAUAAAUAUUAAAUAAUUUAAAAUAUUAAUUAUAUAUAUAUUUUAAUUUAAUGUCUUUAAUAAUCAAUUUAUCUUCUUAUUACAAUUCAUCUCAUUAUCACUAUUGUUUUUGCAUCCAAACAUAUAUCCUAUAACUGAUUUUAAUCUCACCACUAUAAUAACCAAUCUUACCUUCACCACUGUUUUUAAUCUCACUAAAACCAAUCUCACUGUUCAUUCAAAUAGGACCUUAGUUGUAUUCAUGGAGUACACACUUUUUUUUUUUAAAUAGUAGGCAAACCUCCAUGAAACAAGUUGAUGAUUAAAUGCUGCAAGAUGUUAAAUUGGAAUAUAAAGCUAUGGAGCUUGCCAACAAGGUUAGCUAUGGAUGCAGAAUAUUUUUUCAAGGUAUCCACUUAUAUUUAUAAAUAUAAAUUAAUAAUGGAUUUAUCAAUUUUGUCGAUGAAAAAGGUGUCUGGGAAAAAUUUUGGGAUGUCUAAAGAAAAUUUUCCUUCAAAUUUUCUUUUUUUCCAAUCUUUGAGUUGUCCAUGAAAAAUUUUUGUGGGUGUUUAGGAAAAAAUUUUCCUUCAUAUUUGUAGAUCCUUUUUUUUUUCAAGAUGCGAUUAAUCCCUUGAUUCGGGUCUCUUUGAGAUCAUCAAGCCUCGAAAGAGUUCAUGCUUGGGUUUCUUACAUAUUAUUUUGUUUGGGUUUUGGGCUCAGUAAUUGUUAAUUGGAUGCGAGUUUUGGCCCAACUAAUGUUGUAUUAUUAUUAUUAUUAUCAUUAUUACUAUUAUUAUUAUUGUUAUUAUUAUUAUUAUUAUUAUUAUUAUCAUUAUUAUUAUGUUUAUUUAUUUUUACUAAAAAAGGAAAAACGUAAAGGAAAAGGAAAUGAAGGCAAGUUUUUGGUCAACCCCGAAAUCAUGCUCACAAGGAGCUGGAAUUGGAAACAAAAGGCCCUAGAUCAAAUCACUUUUUCAAAGACAAAAAAAUCAAUAGAUUUCACGUGGUAAAUGGGAUUAAAUUUGGCAAGAUUUUGUUAUUCUUGAAACCCUAAUCUAAUCUGACAGAUUUCUUAAAUAAAGUUGUGGGAUUUGAUUAGGAAAAUCCCUAAUUUUUCUUUAAAAAGGAGCCGUAUAAACGUGUUUCCAACCUAAUAUUUUAGCAUACAACAUGGUAAUUGACAGCGUUUGUAAUGACAGGCAGCUAAUUGAGCUUUGAACCUGUUCUCUUAGGUGAAGGUAACGGCAUUCCAUAUGAUGUUUUCACUUAAGUUGCUUGAUUUAUGGAAUGUGUAAUUUAGGUCAAUGGAAGGAGGCUACAAGAUAUUUUGAUCAAAUGGUAGCUACCAAUAUCACACCAAAUGCUGUCACUUAUAAUGUAUUAGUUUAUACACUUUGUUAAAAGAUAUUGUUGAAAAAUUGGUGUGGAAAAGAGUGAAGCCAGCUGUUGUCACAUACUGUUACUCACUGAUAGAAGGAUGUCGUUUGCAAAAGUAAAUGGAUGAAGCUAGGUAAAAGAAUAUUUGUGUUGAUGAUUGACGAGGAUUACUUAAAAUUUGUCUGAUGAAAUUUAUUGAUGUUAUUUUAUUCAAUUUUUAAUUUAAAGUUAUGAAUUUAUUUAAUUAAAAUUAUUACAGAAUGAUAAAUAUUAUUGACAGAAAUUAUUAGAAGUUAUUGCAUUAUCAACAGAAAAUUUCAUUUAUAAUUAUCGAUAAAAUGUUAUUACCAAUUAGCUUGUAGACAAAAUAUUCCUUCAAUAACUGUUUUACUGACCAAAAAUUCCAUUAGAAAAAUCCUAGUUUCAGAUAGCGAGAAUUAUGCAUCUAAUACAUUUUGUUCCGAUGUCAUGAGAGAUGUAAAUUGCGAGAGUAAGAGAUUAAAUGAGACAGUGAAACUCUUUUCUGAUUAGUUAUACUGCUUUGCUAAAUGGGCUAUGUCGAAAAGGACAUAUUCACGAGGCACCGACAUUAGUUAAAGCAAUGCAUAACUGCGGGGUGGAGCCCAAUAUUUUUCACUGUUCAGUCCUAAUUGAUAGCUUUUGUGAAUCCGGUUGCCUUGAUGAGGCAAGGGUCAAAACUUAAGAUCAUUAUACCUUGGUUGUACUGAAGUGCGUAUAUCUAUACUUGGUUUUUGUCAAAAUUCUUGGCUUUGUUUGCUCAAAAUGGAUUGUGCCAUGAGAUCAAGAGCUAGGAGGUCAAGUUUAAAUGGCAUUUGAUUAAGUGCCUUGAAUAGUUUGUUUGGAUAAUGUCAUGAAUUAUUUUUAAAUUAUAUUAAAAUAUUUAAUAUAAUAUUUAAAUUUUAAAAAAUUUUAAUAUUAUUUAAAUUAUAAAUAUAUUAAUUAAUAUAAUAUUUAUCUUUAUCGUCGUUUGUUUUAAAUAAUAAAUAUAAAUAUCUUCCUAAAUGUGAUUAUAAAAUUGGAGGGCUACUCUAAAAUUUAUUUAUUUUCGUUGGCUUUAUUCAAAAUUUGAAGGAAAAUAGGAAUGGCGUGUCCUGGCUUUAUCAUUUACUCUUUUUUUUUUUGUUUAAAUUUUUUAUGAUUGUUUCAAAAUUAUAUUUUUUUAAUUUCUAAAAUUUUUUAUUUUAAAAUUAUUUAUUAUUAUUUAUUUUUCUUUAAAAAUAAAAAAUUAAUUUUAAUAUUAAAUAUAUUAAAAUUAAUUUUUUUAAAAAAUUCCGUAAAAAUCAAUCAUAAUUAUUCUCCGGAGGGAGAUGAUAAUGAAUGGAAUACAAUCAAGCUCGUGUUUUAAUUCAUUGAUCAAUCAUCAAUCUGCUGCACGUGCUCUAUUAGCACUUGUCUUUUAUGUACUGUUUAUGUGACAUGUUUUCCCUUGUUAAGGAUCCAACCAACAUUGUGCCGAUUAUGACUCACUGUCACUUGUAAUUAUCUAUACCCUAUAUAAAAACUGUCGUAACGUCUAGAUCCGGGGAUCUAUCGCUAGACAUUGACUUUCAGGGAGUCGCCACCAAUCUUUUUUAUCUAGGUGCGAUUGGCCACCUAAGGAAUCUGUCCUUUUAGGGAACGCCUCAGUUUAAGAGUCCCUAAAAGAAUAGGUUCAGGUCUACUAACCAGAACAGGGUUCGGGAGUUCGGUUACGUGUGAGGAAGGUUGUAGCACCCUCACAACGCCCAUCAAAAGAUGGUACCAGCUUAAAUUUGUGUUAUCCAAAAGCCUUAAAAUUUUACCAAGUAAUUAGUUGUUGGAAAUGAUUCUCAAUUGACUCUAAUACUUUUAGCAGAAAAUUGAGAAAAUUCCCUCACCUCAGGAGUAUGCAAGAAAAACUACUGUUUCACUUGCAGGGGCUCCGUCGUCGGAUUUAUUAAAGAAAAAUCAAAAUCAUCCAGUUAAUUAUUGGAAAUUAUUCUCAAUUAACUCUAAUACUUUUAGCAGAAAAUUGAGAAAAUUCCCUCACCUCAAGAGUAUGCAAGAAAAACUACUGUUUCACUUGCAGAGGCUCCGUCGUCGGAUUAAUUAAAGAAAAAAAAAUCAAAAUCAGCCAAGUAAUUAAUUAUCGGAAAUUAUUCUCAAUUAACUCUAAUACUUUUAGCAGAAAAUUGAGAAAAUUCCCUCACCUCAAGAGUAUGCAAGAAAAACUACUGUUUCACUUGCAGAGGCUCCGUCGUCGGAUUAAUUAAAGAAAAAAAUCAAAAUCAGCCAAGUAAUUAAUUAUCGAAAAUUAUUCUCAAUUGACUCUAAUACUUUUAGCAGAAAAUUGAGAAAAUUCCCUCACCUCAGGAGUAUGCAAGAAAAACUACUGUUUUUACUUGUAGAGGCUCCGUCGUCGGAUUAAUAAAAAAAAAAAAUCAAAAUCAAAGUCAAAUAAAAAAAAUUCAAAAAAAAAAAAAAAAAAAAAAAAAAACCUGGAGCGGCUCGGCUAUCGGCGCGGCUCGGCUCGGCUCGGCUCAAGGAAGAAAAACCGGCUCAGGGGAGCGGCUUGGAGGCUCGGCUCGGCUCGGCUCGGCUUGGAGGAGGGAAGCACGCGCGGGUCGACGCUCGGGUCGGGUCGGGUUCGGCAAAACGCGCGGAUCCCCUGGUUAACUUAAAGCCAAAACGACGUCGUUUUGGGAGGGUAUAAAAGGCACCUUCCUCCGUUUUUCAGCAGACCGUUCCUCCCCUCUCUCUCUCUUCUUCCCUUCUUCUCUGCCUUCUCUCUAGAAUUUGAAGAACGCCGGUACCGGAUUCUGGAAAUUUAGCCGGAAUCUGGGAAUUUCGCCAGAAAUUGGUCGGAAGUUGGCCGGAUGGUCGCCGGUUUCUGGGAUUCUCCGCCGGAAACUGGGUCUGUCGCCGGAAACUUCAAAGUUCGCCGGAAUUGUUGCCGGAAAAUUCAAAAGUCGCCGGAAUUUUCGCCGGAAUCUGGAAAUUUCCCAGAAAUUUCCAGAAAAUUUUUUCGCCAAAUUUUUCUAAAAAAUUUUUCUCACUGCCAGAACACUCCUAAACUUUUCCUUAGCUCUCUAAACACCCCUAUUCUCUCAAUCAGUAGCUUUUGCUUCUGUUUUCUCUCUGUGUCUGAACUGUUCCAGGAGGUGCUUUAUAUAAGGAUUGAUCAGGAGUUUCUGAUCAAUCCCAAUUCCUCCUUGGACGGGAAUUCAAUCUUUGAAUCCCACUGGACUCUUCUGAUUGAAUUCCCACUUCCAAUGGGAUUCUUCAGCCUUCAAUCUCAGCCCUCAAAAAUCAAAAUAAAAAAAAAACUAGAUAAUUAGAAAAGAAAAUCAAAAAUUAAAAAUAAUAUCAGAUAAUUCGGGAAAAAGAAGAUAGAAUUAACAGAUGAAAAAAAAAAAUAAUAACAAAUAAAAUAAGAUAAACCCAAAAAUAUAUUACACAAAAAAAUAAUAAUAAUAUAUAACUGUAUAAAUAAAAUACAUAUAAAUCUAAUCUGAAUAAAAAUAAAUAAAUAAAUAAAGAUAUACAUAAUAAUAAUAAUAAUAAUAAUAAUAAUAAUAGAAUACAUAAAAUACAAAAGAAGAAAAAAAUAUACAGGAUUGAAAUGGGCCUUACCCAUUUGGGUCAGGCCCAAUUGAUCUGGGCCCGGACCCAAUUGGGUGUCUACAGCUGCCCCUCUUUGCACAUUUUCUGUGAAACAGAAAUUGCGCAAAGACGUAGACACCCAAUCAAGACUCAACUCAACAUUUUUAUUUUUGAUUUUUUUUUGUUUUUAUUUUUUUUUUGAUUUUUUUGAUUUUUUUGUUUUUGUUUUUUUGUUUUUUUUUUGUUUUUUUUUUUGGCCGAAGCUCCUCUAAACAGAGACUCAACGACUUUUGAAAGUAAAUUGCUCCUCUAAACAGAGGCAACGGACUUUGGAAAGUAAAUUGCUCCUCUCAACAGAGGCACCACGACUUUGGAAAAAUAAAUUGCUCCUCUCAACAGAGGCACCACGACUUUGAAAAGUAAAUUGCUCCUCUAAACAGAGGCACCACGACUUUGGAAAAAUAAAUUGCUCCUCUCAACAGAGGCACCACGACUUUGAAAAGUAAAUUGCUCCUCUAAACAGAGGCAACGAACUUUGAAAAGUAAAUUGCUCCUCUAAGCAGAGGUACCACGACUUUGAAAAGUAAAUUGCUCCUCUAAACAGAGGCAACGAACUUUGAAAAGUAAAUUGCUCCUCUAAACAGAGGUACCACGACUUUGAAAAGUAAAUUGCUCCUCUAAACAGAGGCAACGAACUUUGAAAAGUAAAUUGCUCCUCUAAACAGAGGUACCACGACUUUGGAAAAGUAAAUUGCUCCUCUAAACAGAGGCAACGAACUUUGAAAAGUAAAUUGCUCCUCUCAACAGAGGCAACGAACUUUGAAAAAAUAAAUUGCUCCUCUAAACAGAGGUACCACGACUUUGAAAAGUAAAUUGCUCCUCUCAACAGAGGUACCACGACUUUGGAAAAAUAAAUUGCUCCUCUAAACAGAGGUACCACGACUUUGAAAAGUAAAUUGCUCCUCUCAACAGAGGCAACGAACUUUGAAAAGUAAAUUGCUCCUCUAAACAGAGGCACCACGACUUUGGAAAAAUAAAUUGCUCCUCUAAACAGAGGCACCACGACUUUUGAAAAGUAAAUUGCUCCUCUAAACAGAGGCAACAAACUUGGAAAAGUAAAUACUCCUAGACAAUCAUGUCCGGAGGAGUUGAAAGUUGUGUUUGAAGGGAUUUCAAGAGAUUAUGCCCAAAGGUCAUAUAAAUCAACCCUGAUACCAAGAGACAUCCUAUUUCGAGGAUUAGGAACUUACCUGACAAGUUUCUUCUCAAACUUGCAAAGUCUUUUUAUAUCUGUCUUUUUCAUGUGGGAUGUUGGAACACCCCUGCUUCUUGAAUUUGUACACUAUACUUUCCUGAAAGUAGUGUAUGCUAUGCAAAUGCAUAUGAAUUUCAAUGCAUGCUAUGCAAAUGUUGGUCAAUUAAUUCCUGUUCAAUGUAUGGUACUCAAGUUUCUCAAGCUCUUUUUUCUUUCUUGGGUGUCAAGCCCUUUGAUUCCUCAAGGAUCCAAUUGCACUGCUCUUCUAAGAUCGAACCAGUGUAGCUCUUAAUUGUCUCUUCCACUCAGAUUCUUCCUUGUUCUGUUUUUCAAUACUUUGGAAUAAGCUUCAUCAAUCGAUCAUCACUUGACCAUCAUUCAAUGAAUUUCUCAGCAAUAACAAAUUUUCAAAACAAGUUUCAUCCACCAUCAUUGGGUCAUUACUCUGUCUCAGCAUUAACCAUUCAAAAACAAACUCUGUCCACUGAUUGUCUUCAUCAUUCAAUCAUAACUUGCAAGUCAUAUCGAUCAAUUCAUCACUUUUCCAGAUUUGCCCCAUCAUCUCUUUUAGGUUUCUACCAUUUUUUCAUCAUCUUAGAUUUCUUUUCAAAUGAAUGUAAGAUUCUUUUAAGUACAUGUUCAUUCAUUCAUUAUCAUUUCAAAUUUUGACAAAUACAAUGCAAUCAAGCAUUUUCUCAAUUCAUUCUAAGGGUGUAACAAUAAGAGGACAGAAAGUGAAUUAUGGUAAAGAUAAUCAAUGGAGAUUUAUUUUGGUAGAAAAUAAAUGGGAAAGGAAAUAAAUUGGAUGUCAUUGAGGUAAAUGGUAUGUCCAAAUGAUGAAUAUUCAGACCAUUUUCAACAUUAAUCUAGGAUUCUUUUUCAAAAACUCAUUCAUUUACUGUUGAAGUCAUCUUGAGCUUGGCGAACUCUGCCCCAGUCUUUGAGGAAUCUUCAGAUGUCUUUGAUCUUUCAUUCAUGUGAGCCAUUUGACCUGGAUCUUUUUUUUUUUUUUUUUGGUACCAAAAUCACCCUUUCAGGUUUUCAAUUUGGAUCUCUUUUUUCAUUUUUCAUUUUUUCAUUUUUUCUUCUUUCUUUCUUUUUCUUUUUCUUUUUUUUUCAUCAUCUUUUUUUUCUCAUUCUUCACCUAUUAUUGACAUCCUUCAUACAUCAAACUUUUAAGGUAAUGUAGCAUGAUUCCAUUGCUUCAUCAUGAGCAUGCCUUCGCUCAACAUAUGAUCAUUCAAGUUGGGUAUUCACACUUAAUCCAAAUGGACUUUCCAAGGUUGUAAUGUAGGCUAAGGUGAAGGGUCAUAAAAAAAAUGGAUAUAAUAGGCUCAAAACAUGUAUUAAAAAGGUUCAAGACCGAAGGAUCAUUUGAUGCAGCUUGGCAUUUUGCCCCACAUCGUUUCACUAUUUUUUCUUUCCUCACACAAAGGAUUCUCAUUACUUUGCCCCAAGUCAUGUGUGGCAUUUAUUUUUUUCUUUUGCUUUUCUUUCUCUUUUCAUCUUUGAGACCUUUUGUGGUUUUUUUUUUUUUUUUUUUUUUUUUUUUUCAAAAAUUACCCUCCAGUGUAGAGGGUGAUCCUUGGUUGGGGUUCUUCAAAAAAAUGAUAAGCUCAAAGGGGUAGCAAUAAAUGGUUUUUCAAAUGGUAAAAGAAAGAUGGCCAUUUUUCAUCUCAAUUGUGAAUACCUUUCUUGAACAUCAUCUAUUGAACAGAGCUCAUGAACUUGUAUAAAAUAUUGCACACCUUCAAGAUAUAUCUCUUUCAUCUCUGGUGAUGGCUUACCCUCUUUAUUUUCGCUCAAAUCAUCUCCUCUGUGAAUGAGUUCUCAAAAUUAAAUUCCAGAAUUAUUGUUAUCAUUGUCUAAAUAUUCAUCAUCUGAAAUUUAAGAAUGGGAAUGUGAAGUUAUGGAAGGUAACAAAGCAUGGAGUAAUGGUCAAGUGAAAGAGAAAAAUGUAAUGAAAUGCACUGACUUGCCUUUAUUAAAAUGAUAACAAGUGAAGUCAUAUUGCAAAAAAAAUCUAACAUUGUUUGAAAAAAAUCCUAAAAUGACAGAAGAAACCUUCAAACAGCCUUAUCUCCAUUGAUAUCUUGCCCCUCAAUUCAUUGUGAAUCUCCGGAUCCUUUCUGUUCUUGACUUUCGCUCAGUACACUAACAUUAGGUGCUGUUGCUUUUCCUUGAUCAAAACUUACCAUUCCAUCAUUGAUCAACCGUUGCACCUUAUACUUUAAAGCAGUGCAAUUUUCAGUAGAAUGGCCAGUAAUUCCAUAAUGGUAGUCACAACGGGCUGUAGGAUCAUACCACUUUGGAUAGGGUGGUUUAAGUGGUUCCACAUGGCUGGGGGCAAUCAAGUGGCUAUUAUAGAGUUCUCGAUAUAACUCUGUAUAAGUCAUAGGGAUUGGAUCAAAUACAAGUUUUCUCGAGUAGUCCGUUUUUCUCGUGAGCCACUUGUUGGAUGAGUAGGACGAAUUUGGGUUCUUACAGGAGCUUGAAUGUUAAGGCGGUAAGUGGAUGAUAAGAUGGUUGUGGAGCUAGCUGGUAUGGGUAGGAUGAGGCAUUAUUCACAGCAGGAUAGCAUGGAGAGUAACCUUGGGAUGGAUAGGGUUGAUAACCCCGAAUUGUUGUCUAUCAAAGCUCACAGCUUGAGCUUCAGCUUCUUUCUUUUCUGAUGUCUUCUUGGUUUCUCCUCCUCUCACUUGCCAUUUUUUAUGGCACUUUCAAUAAUUUCUCCAGAGAUUACCAUGUCAGCAAAAUUCUUUGUUGCAUUCCCUAUCAUCUUUUCAUAAUAGGGAGGCUUUAAAGUGCUAACAAACAGCACUGUGGUCUCUUUCUCUGUCAGUGGAGGUUGUACCUGUGAAGCAAUAUCCCUCCAUCUCUGGGCGUAUUCCUUUAAAAGACUCAUUUGACUUUUUCUCCAGGUUUUGCAAAGAUAAACGAUCAGGGGCCAAAUAGAUGAUGUGGUCCGAUAUUGGCUGAUGAAAGUCAUGAGCCAUAUCGGCUCCAGGAGCGAAUGUGGGUUUCUAUCCAACUGAACGAUUACCAACCUGCAGCAGAAACCAGUAAGACUAUCCUGAAAGACAUGCAAUCAAGAAGUUUUUCACAUGGUGCAGUGAGCUGCCAUCUUCACUGCACAUACAUUGGUGAUGUGGAGUUUUAGGGCACUUUUGUACCGUCAUAUUUUUCAAAUUUCGGUACUUUGAAUUUAUAAGGGGAUAACCACAUCAGGAACUAAGGCAGAGCCCAGCACAUUCGACUGACCCAUAAACAGCUAAAUCUUCCACCAGCCUUAGCGCUCUUGCUCUAACAUGACUAAUCUUGGGAACUUUCCUCAGCACUCUACUCUUCAUCUUUUCCUUCUCCUUCUCUUUUAAAUUCAAUCUAAGAUCAGGAAUUGGUUCUGCUGCCUUUUCAGUGAAGACAGGAUUUAUAUAGCUAUUAUACUGCCCUGGGUUGAAAGCUGAUGGCAUUCCAGGAUAGGCGAAAUGUUGUGGCGGGACCUCUUGGGCAGACUGGGCUUGAGAUGGGCCAAAACUGGAGGGUACAAAGGGUCAGCUACCUCUUGUAAAUGGGGAACUUGUUGGCUUUGUAUUUCCUUCAACCCCUUUCCCCUUAUUCAUGUUAUUGAGGGCCUCCAAAAUUUUGCUAAGUUCAUUUUCAAUCUUCUCCUGAGCUUUUUUCCUAGCUUUUCAAAUCUAUGAGAACUUUCCUCCUCCAUUUGCCUUGCUCUGGAUCUUGUGUUGUAUGGAUGAGCAAGGUUUUCGCUAGAUGGACGCUAUCCUCGGACCUUGAGUACCAUACUCAUGAAUUAGAAAUGUUAUGCUGUGCCUUAUGUAUGAUGCUUUGAUACACAAAUGAAAUGUACAUUUUUUUGAAUGAAAUCUAGCAUGAAAUGAAUGCAAAUGAUUGUGUUGAAACAUGAUCAUGAAAAGAAUACAGAUACAUACAAUCAGACAAACAACAUAGUUAGUUUCAUGAAUGAAAUGAAAGUAAUGCUGAUGCAUAACAUUACAAAAAAUAAUACACAAAGUUAAGCAAUCAAAAUGAUUAGAUAAACACCUUUUUUGUGUCCUAAUUUCAGGGUAUAUCUAUCAUUGGGUAGAAAGGACUCUAUCCUAGGGUUAGGCACUCUUAAGGUUCACUACAUGUGGUUUUAAAGUCAGAGUCUAAAGGUCCUCAAAUUGUUCCUUACAUCCUUGUCCAUCACAGACUAGUAAGGCACCCUAAUCCUCACCCAUUACAGGCUACAAGCGGAAAAGGUUCAAUUUGAGUGGGAGUAUUUCGCUAGCCACUACGGAGGCAUUAGACCUCACGAAAGCAAUAGGUACUUUACUCCCUCCUAAAGGGACGGAGCUCGGGUAUAGAGCUCAUGUUAUGCAUAUGCACAUGAAUGACAUAAUUAACCAAGCAAAUACACAUAAAUGAAUAAUAACACAUAUAUACAAGAAUGGUUCAAUUUUAUUAGCUUUUGGAUAACACAAAUUAUUUGCUGGCCUGACUCUCAAAGUCCCCAGCGGAGUCGCCAAGCUGUCGUAACGUCUAGAUCCGGGGAUCUAUCGCUAGACAUUGACUUUCAGGGAGUCGCCACCAAUCUUUUUUAUCUAGGUGCGAUUGGCCACCUAAGGAAUCUGUCCUUUUAGGGAACGCCUCAGUUAAGAGUCCCUAAAAGAAUAGGUUCAGGUCUACUAACCAGAACAGGGUUCGGGAGUUCGGUUACGUGUGAGGAAGGUUGUAGCACCCUCACAACGCCCAUCAAAAGAUGGUACCAGCUUGAAAUUUGUGUUAUCCAAAAGCCUUAAAAUUUUACCAAGUAAUUAGUUGUUGGAAAUGAUUCUCAAUUGACUCUAAUACUUUUAGCAGAAAAUUGAGAAAAUUCCCUCACCUCAGGAGUAUGCAAGAAAACUACUGUUUCACUUGCAGGGGCUCCGUCGUCGGAUUAUUAAAGAAAAAUCAAAAUCAAUCCAGUUAAUUAUUGGAAAUUAUUCUCAAUUAACUCUAAUACUUUUAGCAGAAAAUUGAGAAAAUUCCCUCACCUCAAGAGUAUGCGAGAAAAACCACUGUUUUCACUUGCAGAGGCUCCGUCGUCGGAUUAUUUAAAGAAAAAAAUCAAAAUCAGCCAAGUAAUUAAUUAUCGAAAAUUAUUCUCAUAUUAACUCUAAUACUUUAGCAGAAAAUUGAGAAAAUUCCCUCACCUCAAGAGUAUGCAAGAAAAACUACUGUUUCACUUACAGAGGCUCGUCGUCGGAUUAAUUAAAGAAAAAAAUCAAAAUCAGCCAAGUAAUUAAUUAUCGGAAAUUAUUCUCAAUUGACUCUAAUACUUUUAGCAGAAAAUUGAGAAAAUUCCUCACCUCAGGAGUAUGCAAGAAAACUACUGUUUUUACUUGUAGAGGCUCCGUCGUCGGAUUAAUUAAAGAAAAAAAAAUCAAGAUCAAAAUCAAAGUCAAAUAAAAAAAAUUCAAAAAUUCAAAAAAAAAAAAAAAAAAAAAAAACCUGGAGCGGCUCGGAUCGCGGCUCGGAUCGCGGCUCGGCUUGGUGCGGCUCGGCUCGGCUCGACUCGGAGGGGCUGAAACGCGCGGGUCAGAAAGCGGGUCGACGCUUCGGGUCGGGUCGGGUUCGGCAAAACGCGCGGAUCCUCUUAUUAACUUAAAGCCAAAACGACGUCGUUUUGGGAGGGUAUAAAAGGCACCUUCCUCCGUUUUUCAGCAGACCGUUCCUCCCCUCUCUCUCUCUUCUUCCCUUCUUCUCUGCCUUCUCUCUAGAAUUUGAAGAACGCCGGUGCCGGAUUCUGGAAAUUUCGCCGGAAUCUGGGAAUUUCGCCGGAAAUUGGCCGGAAGUUGGCCGGAUGGUCGCCGGUUUCUGGGAUUCUCCGCCAAAAACUGGGUCUGUCGCCGGAAACUUCAAAGUUCACCGGAAUUGUCGCCGGAAAAUUCAAAAGUCGCCGGAAUUUUCACCGGAAUCUGGAAAUUUCCCAGAAAUUUCCAGAAAAUUUUUUCGCCAAAUUUUUCUAAAAAAUUUUUCUCACUGCCAGAACACUCCUAAACUUUUCCUUAGCUCUCUAAACACCCCUAUUCUCUCAAUCAGUAGCUUUUGCUUCUGUUUUCUGUGUUUCUGAACUGUUCCAGGAGGUGCUUUAUAUAGGGAUUGAUCAGGAGUUUCUGAUCAAUCCCAAUUCCUCCUUGGACGGGAAUUCAAUCUUUGAAUCCAAUUGGACUCUCUUGAUUGAAUUCCCAUUCCCGGUAGGAUUCUUCAGCUUCAAUCUUAGCCCUCCAAAAUCAAAAAUAAAAAAAAUACUAGAUAAUAAUCAGAUAAAUCAAAAGAUAUUUAAAAAAAAAAUCUGAUAAUCAGGAAAAAUCAGAACAGAUAAUUAAAAAUAAUAAUAAUAAUAAUAAUAAUAAUAAUAAAAUAAGAUAAACCCAAGUAUAUAUUACAAAAAAAAAAAUAAUAAUAAUAAUAAAUAUAUAACUAUAUACAUAUAAAUCUAAUCUAAUAAAAAAAUAAAUAAAUAUAUACAUAAUAAUAAUAAUAAUAAAAUACAUAAAAUACAAAAGAAGAAAAAGAAAAAAAAAUACAGGAUUGAAUUGGGCCUUACCCGUUUGGGCCAGGCCCAAUUGAUCUGGGCCCGGACCCAAUUGGGUGUCUACAAGUCUUACAGGCUCUGCUACUAGGUGGUAUGUCCAACUGGAUGGAACCUGCAUUCGUUAUUGGAGCGAUAUGGCUCAUAAUUUCAUUAGUCAAUAUCGACAUAUUAUGGAUCUGACUCUUGACCGUUUGUCUUUAUAGAACCUAGAGAAAAAAGCAAAUGAGUCUUUUAAAGAAUAUGCCUAAAGAUGAAGGGAUGUAGCUUCUUAAGUACAACCCUCUUUAACUGAAAAAGAGACUACAAUGCCAUUUGUUCGCACUUUGAAAUCUUUCCAUUAUGAAAAGAUGAUAGAGAAUGCAACCAAAAAUUUUGUUGAUAUGGUAAUUUUGGGAGAAAUUAUUGAGAGUGCCAUCAAGAAUGGUAAGCUAAAAAGAGGUGAAGCAUCCACUAAAAAGAUCCUAAAGAAGAAAAAGACUGAAGCUCAAACUGUGAGCUUUGAUAGGCAACAAUUCAAGGGUUAUCAACCCUACCCAUCACAAGGAUAUGCCCCAUAUUAUCCUGAUGUGAAUAACACCUCUCCUUAUCCAUACCAACCCAUCCCAUAGCCAUCCUACCCACCCUAUAGCCAUCCUACCCACAAACAUACCAACCUUCCUUCAGACCUUCGAAUGCCACAUAUAAUCCUAACACUCAACCUACCUCAAGACCUCAGACCCGUCCAACCAACCCAAUGGGAGGUUUCGAGAGCAACGAACCACUCGUGAAAAGCUUGUAUUUGACCCAUUCUUUAUGACCUAUACAGAGUUAUAUCGUAAGCUUUACAACAAUCAUUUGAUUGCUUUUAGUAAAUUAGAGCCACUCAAGCCACCUUACCCUAAGUGGUAUGAUCCCACAGCUCAUUGUGACUAUCACUAUGGGAUCGCUGGUCACUCCACUAAAAAUUGUACUAUCUUGAAACAUAAAGUGCAACGACUGAUCAAAGAUGGAAUGAUUAGUUUUGAUACAGGAAGGGUAACUACACCAAAUGUUAAUGGCAAUCCUUUGCCUAAUCACAAUGUGAAUGCUCUGAGUAAUGAACAUGAGUGCUAUCUGAAAAAGAAAGUGACAGAUAUUAAUACACCUUUUAGUCAGCUGUUUGAUAUUUUAUGGAAAGGUUACAUGAUACAACCAGUAAGUCUGCACAACUAUCAUGGAGUAAACAUAGCAAGCACUAGUUGUAAAUAUCAUAAUGGGGCAGAUGGUCACUCUAUCGAAACUUGUGAGCAAUUUCACCAAGAGGUGCAACAGCUCUUAGAUUUAUACCAGUUGAAAGUCUAUGAAGAGGGAGAAGUUUCAAAAAAUGUUGAAGUAUCCAUGACAGAUAAACUGCAAAGCUGUUUCCAAAAUCGGUGAUGAUUCAUUUUGGGAAUAAACCAAAGUUAGUCCUAGAUAAACUCAUUCUUAGGCCGGUAACUUUUAAAGUUUCGACUCCAUUCUCAUAUAAGGAUGACAAAGCUAACCCUAGAAAUAUGGUUGUGAUACAGUAGUUUAGGGGUAAGAAGAGAAUAUCUCUAAAGCUGAUGCCUCUAAUAUAACUGGUGAAGGAAGCAUUACCCAAAGUGGAAGAUGUUACACUUCAAAAUUAUUAGAGAAGGCUAGAAAAGAGAAAGCCAAGGUAGGAGAAGAAUGAAAUAACCCUGAAGUGGAACUUGAAGAAAAUCGCCUGAAGUCGGUUUCAGAAAAAGAGGCUUAUGAAUUCUUGAAGUUGGUAAAACAUAAUGAAUAUUCAGUUGCUGAAUAAUUGAACAAAAUGCCAGCAUGAAUCUCAUUAUUAUCACUACUAUUGAAUUUGAAACCACAAAGAAAUGCCCUACUGAAAGUAUUUAACCAAGCAUAUGUGGCACAUAAUGUAUCUAUUGAAUAUGUGAACCACCUAGCUAGAAAUCUAGUCAUGUCGAAUUAUAUUUCAUUCAACGAUGAUAAGAUUUCCUCAGAGGAAAGGGGAAAUGCCAAGGCUUUGCAUAUCACGGUCAAGUGCAAGAGCCAUAUCAUAGCCAAGGUCCUUAUUGAUAAUGGCCCCACUAUCAAUGUCAUGCCUAUGUCAACUUUGGCAAGGCUACCCAUUGACUACUCUCAUAUGAAAGGCAAUCAAAUGAUCAUGAGAGCUUUUGAUGGGACCAGAAGAGAGGUCCUAAGAGAUAUCGAGAUGCCCUCAUAAAUUGGGCCGUGCACUUUUAAUAUGAAGUUUCAAGUGAUGGAUACCUCUCCAUCUUAUAGCUAUUUACUGAAAAGGCCAUGGAUUCACAUGGUAGGUGUUGUGCCCUCUACCUUGCACUAAAAGAUCAAGUUUAAUGUAAAAGGUCAAUUGGUAGUGGUAGUUGAAGAGAAAAACAUGCUAGUGACCCAACCGUUGAAUGCUCCAUAUGUAGAGGUUGUCAAAAAAGUAAUAGAAUACUCCUAUCGAUCUUUUGAGCUAGUUAAUUUUAUAAGUGAAAGACUUAAAAAUUAACUUUUUUCAAGGAUAGUGAUGAGCCAAGUCAUCAAUAAAGGCUGGUAUCCAGGAUUAGGGCUGGGCAAGAACUUACAAAGAAUAAGGGAACCCCCGACAGUGGUAGACAAUAGUGAAAGACUAGGCCUAGGCUAUAGAGUAACAGAAUGGGAGAUCGAGAGAAGGCCAGCAGGUAAAAUAGUAAGACUAAUGAUUAUCCUACACCUGUAUGAGACUUUUAGACCUAGAAGAUUCAUGUACCCAGAUAUAAGAAAAAGCAUGGAAAGAGCUUUUGCCCAGUUAACCAUCCAUGCUAUUGAAGAUGAAGUGGGGCUUAAUCAAGAAGGGUGGGUCCACCUUUAUCUACCAAAUUAUAAGCUAAAUAAUUAGAGUGCCAUUGAAUGCCCUUGACUAUUGAAACUAAUUCAAUGUAAUUGUACAUCCUAAUAGUUAUUGCCUAAGGUAUUGGGGUGAUCUUUCUUGUUUGAGCCAUUUAUCUUUUAUUAUUCUAAUAAAGAUUAGGAAGGAUGCAUUUUCAUUCAUUUUUUCUUGUGUCUUCAUUAUUCCUAUUUUCUAAACACAUCUUGCCAACAUAUCCCAUUUCAUUCAAUUCCAGGUCCUUAAAUGAACAUGAAAAUAAUUAUGAUAACAAUUAAGAGGUUAGUUUUGAUAAUUCAAUUAAUACUAAUGAACUUGACAAUAAAGAGAAUUUUGAGGAAUAUGUUAUGCCUCCGGAACUAAUGAGAUUGAUUGAACAAGAAAAUAAGCCAAUUAAGCCUCAUCAAAAGAUAGUUGACUUAAUGAAUCUGGGAGAUGAAGAGAAUAAGAAAGAUGUCAGAAUUAGCACUUCACUUUCAUCAGGAGAUAGACAACGUUUGGCAAAUCUACUUUAGGAAUUCAUAGAUGCGUUUGCUUGGUUUUACCAAGAUAUGUCAGGGCUGAGCACAGAGAUAGUAGAGCACAGAUUACCCCUAAAGCCAGAAUGUAAGCUAGUCUAGCAGAAACUGAGGUGAAUGAAGCCUAAAAUGCUACAAAGAUCAAAGAAGAGGUGAAGAAAUAGUUUGAUGCAGGUUUUUUACAAUUGGCUUAGUAUCCAAAAUGGGUAGCUAAUAUAGUACCAGUUUCUAAGAAAGAUGAAAAGGUACGAAUGUGUGUAGAUUAUCAUGAUUUGAACAGGGCUAGCCCAAAUGAUAACUUUUCUUUGCCUCAUAUUGACACACUGGUAGAUACACACGGCUAGGUAUUCAAUUUUCUCCUUUAUGGAUGGGUUCUCAAGGUAUAAUCAAAUAAAAAUGGCCGCAGAUGAUAUGAAAAAAACUACUUUCAUGACUAUGUGAGGAAUCUUUUGUUACAAAGUCAUGCCUUUUGGGUUAAAGAAUACUGGGGCAACAUAUCAAAGGGCCAUGGUGACACUCUUCCAUGACAUGAUGCACAAAGAGAUUGAGGUGUACAUGGAUGAUAUGAUUGUAAAAUCUCGUGAAGGUGAAAAUCAUGUCACCAAUCUCAAAAAGCUAUUUGACAGGUUGAAAAAAUUUUAGCUUAAGUUAAACCCAGCCAAAUGCACCUUUGGGGUAAAGUCAGGCAAGUUACUAGGCUUUUGUGGUCAGUGAAAGAGGGAUUGAAGUCGAUCCAAACAAGAUACAGGCCAUUCAAAAUUUGUCACCUCCGAGUGCACCAAAGGAAGUUCGAGGGUUUCUGGGAAGAUUGAAUUACAUUUCUUGGUUCAUCUCUCAGCUUACCUACAAAUGUGAUCCCAUAUUUAGGCAUCUCCGCAAGAAUAAUCCUGGAGAAUGAAAUGAGGAAUGCCAAGUGGCUUUUGAUAAACUUAAGCAAUAAUUGUCAAGUCCUCCAAUGUUGGUGCCACCUGUUCAAGAGAAAUCCUUAACUUUAUACUUGAUAGUGUAUGAGAAUUCAAUGGGAUGUGUGCUGGGGUAGCAAGAUGAGUUUAGUCGAAAAGAGAGAGCUAUUUACUAUUUGAGUAAAAAGUUCACAGAAUAUGAAUCCAAGUAUUCCUCAUUGGAGAAAAUGUGUUGUGCAUUAACAUGGACUACCAAAAGACUCAAACAGUAUAUGCUCUAUCAUACCACAUGGCUCAUAGCAAAAUUGGACUUAAUUAAAUACAUCUUCGAAAAGCUUUCUUUAUCUAGAAGAAUUGUUAGAUGGUAAGUAAUGCUCUCGGAAUAUGAUAUUAUAUAUGUAAGCCAAAAGGUAAUAAAAUGGGGUGCUAUAGCGGAGUUCUUUGCAAAUCAUGCUACUAAAGAAUAUGAACUAAUGAGAUUGGAAUUCCCUGAUGAAGAUCUAAUGACUAUUUCUCAACUAGAGAAGGAGAAACAUUAAGAAAAGCGUUGGAGAAUGUAUUUUGAUGGAGCUGCCAAUGCCUUGGGACAUGGAAUUGGGGUGAUUCUGAUCUCUCCAGAAGAACAAUACUAUCAUAUAACAGUGAGGUUAAAUUUUAAUUGCACAAAUAACAUUGCUAAAUAUGAGGCAUAUGUCAUAGGUUUACCAGCUCCUAUAGAUAGAAGAAUGAAAGCAUUAAAAGUGUUUAGAGACUCAGCUCUAGUUAUAUAUCAAUUGAAAAGAGAAUGGGAGGCGAGAGAUUCAAAACUCGUUUCAUAUCAUAAGUAUAUUUUAGAGUUGAUAAAGCAAUUUGAAAAUAUCCAGUUUAACUAUUUACCUCAAGAAGAGAAUCUAAUUACCGAUGCCUUGGCUACUCUGGCUGUAAUGAUUCAAAUUAAUGAUAAUACUGACAUUCAGUCCAUCAGGCUAGAUGUUAAGGAUAUGCCAGCUCAUUGCUCCAAUGUAGAAGAAAAGAAGGAUAGAAAGUCCUAGUAUUAUGAUAUCUUAUAGUAUAUUAAGGAUUAGUAAUACCCAAUUCAAGCAACAAAAAACAAUAAAAGGGUCAUCCGAAGAUUAGCUAUGAGCUUUUUCUUGGAUGGAGAUGUUUUGUACAAAAAACAUCAUGAUCAAAUAUUACUAAGAUGCGUAAGUAAGGCUAAAGCAAGGAAAAUCAUUGAAAAGGUGCAUGAUGGAAAAUGUGGGGCACAUGCCAGUGGACAUAUGAUGGUGAGACAGAUCAUAAGAGUAGGAUACUACUGGUUGAUAAUGGAGAGUGAUUGCAUUGACUAUGCUCAUAAAUGUCAUAAAUGCCAGAUAUAUGCUGAUAAGAUCUAUGCUCCGCCAUCUGCUUUACAUGUUUUGGCACCACCUUAGCCAUUUUCAAUGUUGGGCAUGGAUGUCAUUGGUCCUAUCACCCCAAAGGCUUCUAAUGGGCAUAGGUUUAUUUUUGUGAUGAUAGAUUACUUCACAAAAUGGGUGAAGGUAGCAUCAUAUGCAAAUGUAACACAAUCUAUGGUUUGCAAGUUCAUAAAGAGAGAGAUUAUCUGUAGAUAUGGAUUUCUGGAGAGAAUUAUUUCAAACAAUGCCAAGAAUCUAAAUAGUAAGAUGAUGCAAGAAAUAUGUGCUUAAUACAAGAUCAAGCAUCAUAAUUCAGUACCCUAUCGUCUGAAAAUGAAUGAGGCAGUUGAAGUAGCUAACAAGAAUAUCAAAAAAAUUCUUGAGAAGUUGACUAAGACUUAUAAAGAUUGACAUGAGAAAUUACCAUUUGCACUGCAUGCAUAUUAAACAUUAGUGCGCACCUCUACUGGGGCAACCCCAUUUUUCUUGGUUUAUGGGAUGAAAGCUGUACUACCAGUGAAAGUCGAGAUCCAUCUUUAAAGGUUCUAAAAGAAGUUGAAUUGGAAGAAGCUGAAUGGAUUCAAGAACGCUAUAAAUAGUUAAAUUUCAUAGAAGAAAAGAGAUUGACUACAUUGUGUCAUGGUCAGGUAUAUCAAAGAAGAAUGAUGAGGGCUCAUGAUAAAAAAGUUCACCCCCGUUGCUUUCGAGAAGGAGAGUUGGUCUUGAAGAGAAUCCUCCCAACCCAGCACGAUAAUAUAGAAAAAUGGACUCCGAAUUGGGAAGGGCCAUAUGUGGUGAAACGAGCUUUUUCGGGUGGAGCACUGAUACUGACUUAGAUGGAUGGAAAUGAUUUACCCCAUCCUAUAAAUUCUGAUACUGUGAAGAAGUACUAUAUUUGAAAAAAAAAGAGAAAAAAUAAAAUGAAAAAUAAAAAAAAAUGAAAAAAGAAAAAGAAAAAAAAAGUGAAUGAAAAUGGAGGAUUCAAGUCAAAAACCCUAAAAGGGUGGUUUGAGUCAUAGGGGGUUUAUUAAGUUGAAAACCUGACAGGUAGCUUAGAUAAGAGAAUCAAAUCAAUUUGAAAAAUCUUGGGCCAUGGAGGCUAGCAAAUUUGGAGGAAUUCUAAGUUAUUAAGUGCAUCAGAUGAUUGGGUUUUCAAAAGAACCUUGAAAUGUGUUAUCAUGAUUGUCUGAUUGUUCAUUUUUGGGCAUUGUCUCCUUAUGCCUAUUUUUGUAAUUCUUUCUUGGCCAAAGUUUGCCAACAUUUUUGCUAAUAAAAGACAUUCUAUUCUUUGUAUGCCUCUUCUGUUGACUGUUUCCUAAUCAUUCUUGCAAUGGAUGAAAUGUAUGAAUACAUUCUUACUUUUUGAUAUUGAAAUAAUGAUUGAUAAAUAAAUAAUAACAUGAAAGACUACUACAUUACAUUGGAAAGGUCAAGAGAAAUAAAAGCAAAUUUGAGAUGUUCAGUUCCUGAUAAGGACAUUGAAUUUGGAAAGAGAUUACCUGUAGAAAGGAUACUAGAAUUAAAUGAAAGAGAUGAUUAAGAGUUACGCUGACUUGGUCUUUGAAGAACAAAUGGUUCGAUGCCCAAGAAAAGAGCUUGAGAAACUUUAGUACCACAAUUGAAUAAGAAUUAAUUAGCCAACAUUUGCAUAGCGUGCAUUGAAUUUCACGCACGUUGCAUAGUAUAUACUACAUUUAAGAAAAUAUAGUGCAUAAAUUCAAGAAGCAGGGGUAUUCCAAAAUCCCACAUGGAGAAGACAGAUGAGAAAACAUUUUCAAAUUUGAGAAAAAGCUUGCCAAGUAAAUUUCUAAUCCUUGAAAUAGGAUAUCUCUCGGUAUCAGGGUUGAUUUGUAAGACCUUUGGGCAUAAUCUCCUAAAAUUUCUUCAAACAUGAUUUUUAACUCCUUUAGACAUGAUUAUCAAUGAGCAUUUACUUUCAAAGUUGUGAUACCUCUGUUUAGAGGAGCAAUUUACUUUCCAAAAGUCAUUGAGCCUCUGAUUAGAGGAGCCUUUUAUUUUUCAAAGUCGUUGAGCCUCUGAUUAGAGGAGCAAUUUACUUUCCAAAAGUCAUUGAGCCUCUGAUUAGAGGAGCCUUUUAUUUUUCAAAGUCGUUGAGCCUCUGAUUAGAGGAGCAAUUUAUUUUCCAAAAGUCGUUAAGCCUCUAAUUAGAGGAGCUUUGUUUAUGUUUCUCAAAGUCGUUGAGCCCUUGCUUAGAGGAGCUUUGAUCAAAAUUUUAACAAAAAAAAAAGAAAAAGCAAAAAAAAAGAAAAAAGGUCGAGCGGAGUCUUGAAUGGGUGUCUACGUCUUUGCACAAUUUUUGUUUCACAGAAAAUGUGCAAAAAGGGGUAGCUGUAGACACUCAAUUUAAUCCAGCCCUGGAUCAAUUGGGCCUAGUACAAAUGGGUAAGCCCAUUUGCAUUUUUUUUAUUUUUUAUUUUUAUUUAUUUAUUUAUUACUGCUAUUAUUAUUUAUUAAUAUAUAAAGAUUAUUUAUCUAUUAACAUAUUUUAUUAUUUAUCCAUUAAUAUAUAUAUUUUUAUUAUUAUUUAUCUAUUCAUAUUUUAUUAUUUAUCUAUUAAUAUAUAUAUUUUUUAUUAUUUAUCUAUUAAUAUAUAUUAUUUAUCUAUUCAUAUAUUAUUAUUUAUCUAUUAAUAUGUAUAUAUAUAUUUUUUUUAUUUUUUAUCUUUUUCUUGAUUGAUUUUCGGCUAGGAUUAGGAUAAAAAAAUUAGAAUUCUACUGUGAAUUUGGGAUUCAAUCAGAGUCCAGAUUGGAUUCAAUGAUUGAAUCCCAAUCCAAGAUGGAAUUGGAAUUGAUUAAAAACUCUUCUGAUCAAUCCCUAUAAAUAGAUCCAUAAAUCAUAAAGAACAAAAGACAGAAACACACACAGAUAGAGAAAGAGCAAAAAGAAAAGAAAAAGAGGUGUUCAGAAGGGUCAAAAGCAAUUUUAGGAAUUUUUUUAAAAAUUUUAGAGAAUUUUAGGUGAAUUUUUUUCUGAAAAAUUUCUAGAUUCCGGUGAAUUUUCGAGCGAAAUUUGAAUUUUUCGAUGACUUUUUUGGCACUGGUUGAAUUUUUUGGUCAGCUACCCAGUUUUUGAUAUUUCCAGAACCAAUCAACUUUUCGGUGAACUUCCGACGAAAAACUUAGAUUCUGACAAUAUUUUUCAAAAUCCGACGAGAUUCAACCAGAGUUCUUGGUUUCUUUAGAGAGAAGAAGGAGAAAAACGGGGAGAAAAGAGAGAAGGAAAGAAGCAGUCUGCUAAAGAACAGAGGUUGGAGCCUUUUAUAGUGCCGUGAAACGUCGUCGUUUUGGCAUUAGUAAACCCACAAGAUCCCCGCGUUUUGCCAAGAUCCAACCUGACCUGAUCGCGACCUGGUCCAAUGACCCGCAUGCUAGCUGAUCCUUGGAGCCAAGCCGAGCCGAGCCGAGCCGAGCUGACUUUCCUAAACCAUGUCUUCGAGCCGCCUUUUCUGUCUUGAGCCGAGUCGUUUCCCAGUCGAGCCGAGCCGUUCCAAAGGUUUUUUAUUUAUUUAUUAUUAUUAUUAUUUCUUUUAUUAUUAUUUAUUAGAUUAUAAUUAUUUAGUAUUCCUUAUUUUAUUUUGUUUUAUUUUUAUUUUAUUUUUUUAAACGAUUUUCUUUAAAUAAAAUUCCAAAAAAAAUAUUUUUGAGGAAAAAGUUGAAAGUAUCAAUAUUUCUUGAAAAUAAGUUUUUUCCUAAAAUAUUUUUAAGGAAAAGUUGAAAAAUAUCAAUUUUCCUUGAAAUAAGUUUUCAAAAAAAUAUUUUCGAAGAAAAAGUUGAAAGUAUCAAUUUUCUUUUACAAAGCACUGAGUUUUUGAAGAGGAAAAGGAUUUAUAUCUAUAGAUGAAUCAUUAUUUUUUCCUUUUAUUAUUAUUUUUUCCUUUUUGAAUUUUCUUUAAUGUUAAAUUNNNNNNNNNNNNNNNNNNNNNNNNNNNNNNNNNNNNNNNNNNNNNNNNNNNNNNNNNNNNNNNNNNNNNNNNNNNNNNNNNNNNNNNNNNNNNNNNNNNNNNNNNNNNNNNNNNNNNNNNNNNNNNNNNNNNNNNNNNNNNNNNNNNNNNNNNNNNNNNNNNNNNNNNNNNNNNNNNNNNNNNNNNNNNNNNNNNNNNNNNNNNNNNNNNNNNNNNNNNNNNNNNNNNNNNNNNNNNNNNNNNNNNNNNNNNNNNNNNNNNNNNNNNNNNNNNNNNNNNNNNNNNNNNNNNNNNNNNNNNNNNNNNNNNNNNNNNNNNNNNNNNNNNNNNNNNNNNNNNNNNNNNNNNNNNNNNNNNNNNNNNNNNNNNNNNNNNNNNNNNNNNNNNNNNNNNNNNNNNNNNNNNNNNNNNNNNNNNNNNNNNNNNNNNNNNNNNNNNNNNNNNNNNNNNNNNNNNNNNNNNNNNNNNNNNNNNNNNNNNNNNNNNNNNNNNNNNNNNNNNNNNNNNNNNNNNNNNNNNNNNNNNNNNNNNNNNNNNNNNNNNNNNNNNNNNNNNNNNNNNNNNNNNNNNNNNNNNNNNNNNNNNNNNNNNNNNNNNNNNNNNNNNNNNNNNNNNNNNNNNNNNNNNNNNNNNNNNNNNNNNNNNNNNNNNNNNNNNNNNNNNNNNNNNNNNNNNNNNNNNNNNNNNNNNNNNNNNNNNNNNNNNNNNNNNNNNNNNNNNNNNNNNNNNNNNNNNNNNNNNNNNNNNNNNNNNNNNNNNNNNNNNNNNNNNNNNNNNNNNNNNNNNNNNNNNNNNNNNNNNNNNNNNNNNNNNNNNNNNNNNNNNNNNNNNNNNNNNNNNNNNNNNNNNNNNNNNNNNNNNNNNNNNNNNNNNNNNNNNNNNNNNNNNNNNNNNNNNNNNNNNNNNNNNNNNNNNNNNNNNNNNNNNNNNNNNNNNNNNNNNNNNNNNNNNNNNNNNNNNNNNNNNNNNNNNNNNNNNNNNNNNNNNNNNNNNNNNNNNNCCACAUUAAUAGAUUUUGGUAAUAGUUUAGCCCAGUUACCAUUUGGGCUAGGAUAUAACAAUAUAAAUAUAAAUACUACUAUAUUAUUUAUCUAUAAUUUAAUUUUAGAUUUAGAUUGAUUUUAAAAUUUUAUGAAACCAUAUUAAAACUGAAAUACUAAUUCAUAUUAGCUUUGAAACCAAACUAAAAUUUUUCAUUCUUCAAACAUUUGCCGUUUUACACCAAAUAAUGCUCAGUUCAUUUUUCAUGUCUCCGCCUUUAAAAAGCUACCUGCUCAAUAAUUUUUAUUGUUAGUAAAUUCAACUUGAUGAGAUAAGAAUUUGCAUCUUUUCAUAAACAUGACAUCAAAAUUAAUGCUAAAAAACUAGGCUCCCAUUUGAAAAAUUUUAGACAAAUAUAAGAGAGAGAGAUCAAUAAAAUAUUAUUUCAAUUCAUUAUUAGUGAAACUUUAAUUUUUUUUUUUCAUUCCUCCAAACCAAUGCUUAUUUAGAACUCAUUUAAUGAAUUUAUUUAUGUUGUGAUUAAAUAUUUGUAAUAAAUUAUUUGUUGUUAUAUAACAUAUUGAAAAUUUGAGUAAGUAACAACACUAAAUAUAAUUAAAUAUCACAAUAAUUUUUUUUUGCUAGGAAUAUAUAUAAUAGGAAUUCACAAUGAUAAAAGUUAUCGUUAUAUAAAAUAUUUUUUAAAAAAAAUCAAUUAAGUAAUGAUUAUGAAAUGUCAUUGCAGAUGUUAUACUAUUUUGCAACAAUAAUUUUUUAUCAUUAGAAAUAUGAUAAAAAUUUUUGAAAUAGCUUUUAUGUCAUUGUAUAAAAAUAUUUAAAAAAUAAAUUAAGCAACGACAUUGAAAAAUCAUUGCAAAUAAAAUAGGUUUUUGCCACAAUACCUUUUUAUCAUUACAAAUAUGAUAAAUUUUUCAUAAUAACUUUUUUUGUUGUUGUAUAAAAUAUAAAAAAAUUACUUAAGCAUCAAUAUUGAAAAAUCAUUGCAAAUAAAACAUAUUUUAGUAACAAUACUUUUUUAUUGUUACAAAUAUGGUAAAAAUGUUGCAAUAACUUUUUUUGUCGUUGUAUAAGACACAAAAAAAUAACUUAAGCAACGAUAUUGAAAAAUCAUUGCAAAUAAAAUAAAUUUUUGCAACAAUAAUAUUUAAUCAUUACAAACAUGACAAAAACUAGUAUAACAACCAUUUUUAUCAUUAAAUAAAAUAUUGAAAAACAACUUAAGCAACGGCAUUGAAAAAUCAUUGCAAAUAAAAUAAGUUUUCACAACAAUUUUUUGUUGUCGUUAUGAAUAGAAGUGUAAUUAACAACAAUAAAAUUUAGUAUUGUAUAAAAUAUUAAAAAGUUCAAUUAAGCAAUGAUUAUAAAGUCAUUGUAAAUAAAACAAUAUUUUGCAAUGAUAUUUUUAGCCCUUGCAAAAUAGAGUUAUCCACUUUCUUCUUGUGUUACCUUGUAAAAUUCAUGAAGAAUAGGGGCUGAAAUCUGGCCAUAAUGAUAUGCAUCUCUUUCCCACUUUGGCUAGAUUAGUAUUUAUCAUCUUGCUUUCUGUGAGAUGUGCUGCUGAUCCUACUUUUUCUGUAUUUGAUAUAGUUCAUGAAUACAAUUACUUAUAUUAACCUUCCUUGAAAGAUAUUGAAAAAGAAGAUUAAUUAACGGAUAAAAUAAUUACUAUUUUCAACUUUCCUGAUUAUUGUUUGAAGAGGAAAUGCCUUAUUUCUUUCAAAGGUCCAUUCAAAUGCAUCUUAAAUGAUGCAUUUUCUAGAAAAUUCGAGUUCAUUGUCCAUGUUUGAACAACAUAUUACGGGAAAGUGUCAAAUUUCCUUAAAUCCAGAUGCUUUGUGAGCUAAAACUUCAAUUUUAUAUCAUAUAUGAUAUCUUCAUUGGAAUACUAUCUAAAGAUGAAUAAAUAGGAAAUUGAGAAGCUUGGAUCUUAAAAAUACUUUUCUCUUAAUAGAGUAGUUAAAUUACUAAAUUGGAGUGCUAGGCACCUUGUUGGCAAGCAUCAUAGCUUUAUGUCCUAGUUCAGUAUUUGCAUUAUUUACUCAACACCUUGUUUCAAGCAAGGUUACUUACUAUAUAACAAAAAAAAAGUGCACUCCAUUAAUACAAUUAAUAGAUUUUCAGUGUAAUUCCAAUAAAAAGGCAAAUGUGAUUAUGAUUAUUUGCUAACACAAAUUGUGUAAAUAAAAUUGCAACCAUAAGUUCCAUAGGUUCGAUUAUGAAGCUAAAUAUGCAUGAUGACAUGAUCUAGUCGCUUUUAAGCUAGUCACAAUCUCCCUAUGUUGAUGCUUGAUAGCACUAAACUUUUGUAUUUUCUUAUCUCAUUUAGUGCAAUUUCUCUUGAAUAUUGGCUUGUUCCUUGUGAAUUUUGGCGAAAAAACUCCUAAAUAUACAAAUAUUUAAUGUGUAGGUGAAAAUAUGGAAAAUGAGGAAUUUUGAAGCUUUUGGACUCCUUUUGGAGGAUUUUUGGUGCAAAAAGCCAUGAAAAGCCAAAACUAGUGUGUUUGUGCUACAUUGCCACUCAUGGAAGUUUUCCUCACCCUUUUUCUCUAUGAUUUUCUUAGCUUAUUUGAGCUUAAUUGAAUUUUAUUUCAAGUUUUAAUUCUCACAUUUUUCAUUUGAAAAUGUCCUUUUUAAUUCAUUAGUUAUUGUUACCUUUGUGGUAGUUUUGCAAGUGUUAGAAAGGUGACUAGUGCACUAGUGCAGUUUGAAGCCAUAUUUGGACUUGUGAAUUUUUCAUAAUUUUUCAUACAUAAAUUUUCCACUAAAUGUUCUGUAUUUGGCAGAAAAUUGAAGAAGAAAUUGGUUACAAUUGAUGCCAAAAUUAUUGGAAGCAAAAUUCAAGCAAGCUUGUUGGAUGCACUUGCUAGGUGAAUAAAGGAUUGUGGUGCCAUUUUGGACAUUCAAAGAAGGAUAAUUGGAGUUGCUUGGUUGGUCAUUUUAAGGCUUCUCAUUAGACAUAAUUUUGACUUUUUAGAGCUCACAAGAUCAAAUGAAGAAAGCUUGAAGUAAAGUGAAGUAAAGAGAAGCAUAUAAGAAAGCUACGAAAGCAAGACAGAUGAGUUGGAAGGAUCUAGACGUUGUGGCAACUUAGCUGGAAUUUUUUUUGCAUUUUGAUUGGUUGAACCACCUCACAUUUGCUUAUAAAUAGGAGGGAAUGGUAAGCCAUUUGGGGAGACUUUCAUAGCAUUUUUCUAUUUUUUUCUAGAAUUUUCAUUUCUUGCAUUUUACUUUAUUUUCUCUCAAGAUAUUUUCCUGCUUGUUCAUUUAGAGGGUUGUUUAGGGGAAAAUUGCAUUUAUUUUUCAGUAAAAUAUACUUUCCUUGCCUUUUAUUUUCAAUGCACUUUAAGAUUCUUUCAAUAAAAGUUUAAGAUUUUUAAGGGGUCGUUAGAUAUUGUUGUGUGUGUUUAUAUUUUAUGUUUCUUUAAAUUUUUUUAUUUUUAAUUUAUUGAAUUUGAAAUCAUGUUUGUAUAAAAUGUUUUUGUUUUAGAAAUAUAAAAACAAAAACAUGGAAAAGAAAGUGGUUAAAGAUUUUAGGCUCCAUUUGUUAUUAAUAAUAUAAUAAUAUUUAUUAAUAUAUUAUUUAUUAAUAUAAUUUUAUUUAUUUAUUAAUAAAUUAUUUUUAUAUAUUAUAAUAUUAUUUAUUAAUAUAUAUUAUUUAUAAAUACUAUAUUAAUUUAUAUUAUAUUAAUAAUAUAUUAUUAAUGUAACAUAUUAUUUAUUAAUUAAUAUAAUAUUAUUUAUAUAAUAUAUAUUGUAGACACCCAAUUUGGUCCAGGCCCGGACCAAUUGGGCCUGGCCCAAAUAGGUAAGUGGGGACACCCAAUUGGGUCCAGGCCCAGAUCAAUUGGGCCUGGCCCAAAUGGGUAUGACCCAAUUCAAUUUGUCCUGUAUUAUUUUAUAUUUUAUGUAUUUUAUUAUUUAUUAUUAUUAUUAUUAUGUAUUAAUAUAUAUUUUUUUAUUAGAUUAGAUUUAUAUGUAUAUAGUUAUAUAUUUAUUAUUAUUAUUAUUUUUUUUUUGUUUGUAAUAUAUUUUUGGGUUUAUCUUAUUUUAUUUAUUAUUAUGUUUUUUUAAAAAAAUUAUUAUCUGUUCUGAUUUUUUCCUGAUUAUCAGAUUUUUUUUUAUACUAUAAUAUCUUUUGAUUUAUCUUUUCUAAUUAUCUAUUUUUUUUAUUUUGAUUUUUAUUUUGGAGGGCUAAGAUUAAAAGUUGAAGAAUCCCACUGUAGAGGGGAAUUCAAUCAAAAGAGUCCAAUUGGAUUCAAAGACUGAAUCCCCAUCCAAGGAGGAAUUGGAAUUGAUCAGGAACUCCUGAUCAAUCCCCAUAUAAAGGACCCCUGGAACAGAUGUAAACACACAAAAAAUAGUGAGCCUGAGCUACUGAUUUGAGGGGAAAAGGCGAAUAGGAGAGUAUAGAAGGCUAAGAAAAGGUUUAGGAGAGUUCUAGGAAUCAUCAGAAAUUUUUUGGGAAUUUUUCGAAAUUUUUUUUUCUGGGAAUUUCUGGAAAUUCCAGAUUCCGGUUGAUUUUUCCGGCAAAGUUUGAAUUUUCCGGCUACAAUUCCGGCCAACCUUGAAGUUUUCGGUGCCUGCCCAGUUUCCGGUGAAGUUUCCCAGAAACCGGUGAUCUUCCGGCCAAUUUUCGGCGAACUUCCGGCAAAAUUUCCAGAUUCCGGCGACAAUUUCCAGAAUCCGACGAAAUCCCACCGGAGUUCUUCAGCCCUUAGAGAGAAGGGAGAGAAAAAGGGAAGAAGAGAGAGAGAGGGGAGGGGUGUUCUGUCGAAAAAUGAAGAGGACUGCCUUUUAUACCCUACCAAAACGACGUCGUUUUGGCUUUAAGUUAAUAGAGGAUCCGCGCGUUUUGCCGAACCCGACUCGACCCGAGCGUCGACCCGCUUCUGACCCGCGCGUGCAUGCCCCCCUCCGAGCCAAGCCGAGCCGAGCCGAGCUUCCCAAGCCGCCCCUCGAGCCGUUUUCUCUUCCUUGAGCCGAGCCGAGCCGAGCCGCGAUCCGAGCCGCUCCAGGUUUUUUUUUUUUUGAAUUUCUUUUAUUUUCAUUUAUUUGUUUUUUAUUUUUUUUAUUUAUUAGAUUAGGUUUAUUUAAUAUUCUUUUUAUCUUUAUUUUGGUUUUACUUUCCUUUAUUUUUUUAUCUUUAUUUAUUUUCAUUUUUUUUAUUAUUCUAUUUUCUUUAAAUAAAAAAAUCAAAAUUUCCAAAAAAAAUAUUUUUAGGGAAAAGUUGAAAGUAUCAAUUUUCCUUAAAAAUAAAUUUUCAAAAAAAAAGAUUUUUGGGGAAAAGUUGAAAGUAUCAAUUUUCCUUAAAAAUCAAAAUUUUCAAAAAAAAAAAAUUUUUAGGGAAAAGUUGAAAGUAUCAAUUUUCCUUGAAAAUAAAUUUCAAAAAAAAGAUUUUUGAGGAAAAGUUGAAAGUAUCAAUUUUCCUUAAUAAAUUUUCAAAAAAAUAAAUUUUUAAGGAAAAGUUGAAAGUAUCAAUUUUCCUCGAAAUCAAAAUUUCAAAAAAAUAUCUUUGGGGAAAAGUUGAAAGUAUCAAUUUUCCCUGCACAAGAAAAAUCCUUCUUUCUUUCUUUUUGAUUUUGAUUUUGAUUUUUCUUUAACUAAUCCGACGACGAAGCCUCUGCAAGUGAAACAAUAGUUUUUCUUGCAUACUCCUGAGGUGAGGGAAUUUUCUCAAUUUUUUGCUAAAAGUAUUAGAGUCAAUUGAGAAUAAUUUCCAAUAAUUAAUUACUUGGUAAAAUUUUAAAGCUUUUUGGAUAACACAAAUUUAAGCUGGUACCAUCUUUUGAUGGGCGUUGUGAGGGUGCUAUAACCUUCCUCACACGUAACCGAACUCCCGAACCUUGUUCUGGUUAGUAGACCUGAACCUAUUCUUUUAGGGGCCCUUAAACUUAGGUGUUCCCUAAAAGGACAGAUUCUUUAGGUGGCCAAUCGCACCUAGAUAAAAAAGAUUGGUGGCGACUCCCUAAAGUCAAUGUCUAGCGAUAGAUCCCCGGAUCUAGACGUUAUGACAUAUAUAAUAAUAUUUAUUAAUAUAAUAUUUAUAUAAUAAAAAUAUUAUUUUAUUAAUAAAAUAAUUGUAACGUCACUAUAGUGGUUUAAUUGUAAUUUUUGUUACUAGUGCUUGUUUGGUAAUAGUGCCACAUUGUUUUCAAAAAACUGAAAACAUCGUUUUUCUAUUUUCAAUAAUUUUCAAAACAAAGCUUUGUUUUCAAUUUUCAAAAAUAGAAAAUAAAAACAACCUACCAAAUAUGUUUUUGUUUUCAAUUUUCAAAAAACCUGAAAAUGAAAACAAAAAAUAGAAAAUAAAAACAAAAACAAACAAUCCUUAAGUUUUCAAGUUCAAUUUGAUGCAUUUUUACUUAUUUCUCAAAUAUGUUUAGCAAUUCAUGUUCUUGAAUUAGCUGUGAUUUUUCUAUUAAAUCUUGAUCAAAUAUUGCUUGUUUCGAGCUAAAUUUUUUUUUUCAUGAAUUUUUUAUUCAUUGUUCUACAAAUUUGAAAAAAAAUUGCAUUAAAAUUCGUUCUACACAAUUUCAGAAAAAUCUGUAAAGUUUCAUUUGAAUCCAAAAGGUGAGCUAGCGCUUGAGUAAGUGACAGCACUUCAAGUUACUUUUCUCCUAGCUAGGUGUUUGGUUUAUAAUUUUCAUCCAUGAAUUGUUAGUUUCUAGAUUUAAGUUCUUGCUUUCGGUUUUGAAUUUCUAGUUGGCAUUCAUGUUUUUGCUAUUUCAAUUCUCCUUCAGUCUUGUUCUGAUUUUCGAUUUCCUUUUGGUUUUGCAAUUUCCAGUUCAAAUUCAUUCAAUUUGCAUUAGCUUAGCUCUACAUUCUUUGUUGAACAUUCAAUUUUCAGAUUUGUAUCUAAGUUUCAGUUUUACUUGUUCUUCAUAGAUCUUGUGUUUUUGUUACUUUAGUUGCAAUUUAAUCUUGAUUUGAUCUGCAAUUGCGUUUUGUUUUUUUAAAUUUCAUUUUGUUUAGAUCAAGUUCUAAGAAUUUUCUAGAAGUUUCUUUUGUUGAAAGUUAGAAGUUAGUUGAGAUAGUUAGUUUUCAGUAAAAAUAAUUUCUUGACUGUCCCAAAACUUUAGCGAAAAUUCAAAAAAUAUUACUACUUAUAAAAUUAAGAAAAAAAUAUAAUCUUUUCACUUUCUUUAAUAUUAUUAUUGUUUUGUCUAUCAAUUUUAUUUUAGAUUAAAAGUUACUAUUUAUUCUUGAUUUUAUUUUUUAUUAAUUUAUUAUUCAUAAUAAUUAUUUAUUUUGUUGCUUAAGUUAAAAUAUAUAUUUUAUAAAAAUAAAUUAUAAAAAUCCUAACAAAAAAACAACAAAAAUAAAAUAAAAUCAUAAAACAAAAAUAAAAUGAAAAAAAGAAAUCUUAUCAAACGAGUCGGGUUAGAAUGCGGGUUGGCCUGUGGGUUGGUACAUUGGCCCGAAUCCCUUAAUUCCAAAACAACGACUUUUUGGGUCAUUAUAAAAGGCCCCUUUUUGGAUUUUUUUCUUAUUUUUCUCUAUUGUUCUAUCUCUCUACAAACUAGAGCCUCUCUUUCUAACAAUUCCUUUUUCCUUGUUGAUAGCUAUGGCAACCCAAAUUUCGGCCAAUUGUCGUUGUGCCAUGGUCAAAAUCUUUAACUAGCAUCAAUAAAUUCAAAAUAUUCCUAGUUCUCAACAAAAUACCUAGAUUUCGAUCAUCGAAAAACUCAUACAACCACCGAAAAAUUUAAAAUUUUCCAAAAUCAAGCAAAGCAAAAAAAAUUUAUUUUAAAAACCCUAAAAAAUCCCAAACUUAUCCCCUUUAUUUCCUAAACACUUUCUCAACUAUUUUAAAAACAAAACAAAAAAAAAAAAAUCCUAAACCACCUAGAUCAAAACCUUUGCUCUUGAUUAAAUUUUUAUUUUUUUACUAACGAUUCCUCCUAUGAGGAUGUGGUGGCUUUGUUUACUAAGUUUUUUCUUUUUUGUGGUUAAAUGUGUUGUUCUAGGCAAAAUGGUCAUUGGCUCCCUUUGUUAGUGUUCUCCUUUAUGAAAAAUUUUUUUUACUUGAUUUCAAAGACUAAUAUGAGAUCAAAUCCUAGAUCAUUAGGGAUAUAGACCCUUAAUUUUUUGCUGCCAACUUAGGCAGAGGUAGGUGAGCUUUUGGGGUGAACAAGAAUAAAGAAAAGACAAAGGAAACAAAUAGAAGAAAAAGACAAAAGACAUAAUAAUAAUAAUAAUAAUAAUAAUAAUGAAAAUAAAAUAAAAAAUUAAAAGUUUUAGUACUAAAAUAAUCUAAUAAACUUAAUUAAGAUACCUGAAUGGAUUUGAAUGAAAUUGGAAUUGGUUUAGAUUUAUUUUGACAAAAUAUUCAAUUUUUUGGAUAAAACAGAUGAUUACAAAGGGUAGAUCUAAGAUUAUUAGGGUUGAUUCUCAAAAUCUAAGGUCAGAUAUGAAACAAAAGCGUUAGGAUAAGUAUACGGUGAAAAUUUAAGGUCAAAAGGUGAUUGAAUGGCACUAACAAGCACGAGUCAAUAACGGCACUAUUUAAUUCUAGCAAAAUGUUGGUAUUAUAUUUUUGUUUGAAAGUUGUGAAAUAUCUUUUUGGAAGUGUUUAUGAACUAAAAAUUUUACUUUUAUAGCCUAAAAUUUUUUUCAAAACGAACCACACUUGGAUCUUGGGUAAUGGCCAACCUAAUUUCACUGAUCUGACCAAAUUGGAAUAUCUCUAGCACUAAACACGGUCGAAAACUCUCUUAGACCUAAAUCGACUAAGAACCACUUUUAACCAGUUGAAUCGUCACAAAUCAAUGACUGGCUCACCAACGAAUUAAGUAAUUUUUAUUUGGCAUUUUUUAGUUUCCGAUUAUUUUUGUAUAAUUCUUUUUUAAAUGAUUAUUUGCUCUACAAAUUUUAGAUUCUAAAUAAAUAUUAUAUCUUUUUAUUUCUUUUUGAAAAAAUAGUGUUAAUGAAAGUAAAAUUUAAAUUUCAAAAAUGGUAAAAUUCAAUUUAUACUAAAUAUAAAAGCAUAAAAAAAUUAUGAUAAAUAAAAAUGAGAAAGGAAAUGUUUUCCAACAAGAGGAUUUUUUUUUUUUAUGAAAGUUUGAGUUGUGAUUUUUAACUAAGUGAAUAAAUUUAUCUAAAAUGUUAUCAAAGUUUAAGGUGUCUAGAAAAAUUUUUAAAAUAAAAGACUUUCCUUUUCUUUUUAAGAAAAAUCAUUAAAUUAAAAAUAAAUAAAUAAUGAACGAAAACAAAUUAGACAAGAUAAUGGGUAAUAAAUAAUAAAAAUUAAUAAGCAAGAUUACCAAGACAAGUAAAAUUACAUGUAUCUCAUAUCUUAUUACUUGUAUUUUACACAUACACAUAUAUAAAUAUAUCUUGAAAAUAAAUGUGAAUUUCCUACGAUGGGAUUCUAAGAAAAUCAGAGUAAUGAUUCUUUAAAAGCAUCUAUAUGAGAAUAAUUUUUUAAAAUACUGCCAAAAUAAUGGAAACUUUAGAAUAAUCUUCAAUAAAAAAUUCUUGUUUACUUUUUAUCUAUUAAAAAAAGAAAGAUAUUAUUCAAAUGAAGUUAUGAGUAUUAACUUUAAUUAUAAAUAUUGAUUUGAAGAUAAAUAUUAGCCUCUAAAAAUGAGAUUAUAAAGAAAUUCAAGUAAUGAUUCCCAAGAAAUUCUCAGGUGAGAAAAUUUAUCUUAAUGUUACCAACAUAUUGAAACAUUUUGAAAAUCUUUCAAUAACAAGGUUUCAAUUUAUUUUUCAAAUAAAAGUAAAAUAAUAAUUUUUACAAAGAAGAAAAAUUUUCAUGAAGAAAAUGAAAUAAAAAAAAUCAAAAUUAUGAUAAAUAAAGGAAGUCAAGGAAAUUAAUUUUAAAUAUCAAAAUUAAAACAACUUUUGUCAAGAUUAAAGGAUAAUGCAUUAUUAAUUGGUAUCAUUCUUAAUAUGGAUGUUAUGGGAUAUUAAUUCUUUCCAACACGUAACUGGACUUUUGAACCAGGCUUUGUUUUUUUAUGCAAAUUCAAAAAUUAUCAUUUCAAAUAAUCUUAAUUAAUUUUAAGAUUUUAUUAAAAAGCUAAGUUUUACUAUGUUACUAAUCACAUUUAGCCAAAAAUAUUAGUGGUGACUCUUUAUAUUUUUUAAUUCAUUUAGUGGCCUUCAAAAUCAACAUGACAACUUCAAAACCUAAAAAUUAACCUAAAAUAAGGUGCUAUAAAAUUCCUAUAAUUAGGAUCAUUUUUCUCUUGGGUAGGGAUUUUUGUCGCUACAAUGGUGAUCUCAAAAGAUGACAGUCAUGGCUUGCUUGUUGUACUCAUUGAUCAAGCCAUCUUGAUGGUGGUGGUGGUGGUGCUGGCAAAAUAUACUUGUUACCAAAAAAGGGUGAAAAUGAAAAAGGAGAAGGAAAAAAACAAAAGAAAAAAAAAAGAUGAAAAGAAUAAAAAAGAAGGGGAAAUGAGAGGAAAUUGAGCCAUCAACAGUGGAUCUAAGGCCACCCAUGAAGGAAGACAAUGUGAGAGAGAUUGGGAUUUUUAGAUUUUCAUUGAUACAAAAAAGAAAAAAGAAACAAAAAACAAAUGAAAGAGAAAAGGGAGCUAUUGUCAACAAGACAAAUGUAACAAGAUAAAGAUCAACAAUAGUGAUAACUGUGAAAAAAGGCUAACGAUGAGAAAAGGUAAUGUGAUGAUUGUAGACACCCAAUUGGGUCCGGGCCCAGAUCAAUUGGGCCUGGCCCAAAUGGGUAAGGCCCAUUUCAAUCCUGUAUAUUUUUUUCUUUUGUAUUUUAUGUAUUCUAUUAUUAUUAUUAUUAUGUAUAUCUUUAUUCAUUUAUUUAUUUUUAUUCAGAUUAGAUUUAUAUGUAUAUUAUUUAUAUAGUUAUAUAUUUAUUAUUAUUAUUAUUAUUAUUUUUGUAAGAUAUUUUUGGAUUUAUCUUAUUUUAUUAUUAUUUUUUUUAAAUUAUCUGUUCUGAUUUUUUCCUGAUUAUCAGAUAUUUUUUUUACUAUAAUAUCUUUUUAUUUAUCUGUUCUAAUUAUCUAUUAUUUUUUAUAUUUAUUUGAUUUUUUUUUUUUGGAAGGUUGAGAUUGAAGCUGAAGAAUCCUACUGGGAGUGGGGAUUCAAUCUAAAGAGUCCAAUUGGAUUCAAAGACUGAAUCCCCGUCCAAGGAGGAGUUGGGAUUGAUCAGAAACUCCUGAUCAACCCCUAUAUAAAGGACCCUUUGGAACAGUUCAAGAACACACAGAAAACAGUCAGCUAGAGCUACUGAUUUGAGAAGCAAAGGCGUAGGGAAGAGUAUAGAAGGCUAGGAAAAGGUUUAGGAGAGUUCCAGAAAUUAUCAGAAAUUUUUUUGGGGAUUUUUCGAGAUUUUUUUUUUCUGGGAGUUUCUGGAAAAUUCCAGUUUCCGGUUGAAUUUUCCGGCCAACCUUGAAGUUUCCGGCUAAAAUUCCGGCCAACAUUGAAGUUUCCGGCGAACUGCUCAGUUUCCGGCGAAGAAUCCCAGAAAUCGGUGAAUUUCCGGCCAACUUCCGGCGAAAAAACCCAGAUUCCGGCGAAAAUUUCCAGAAUCCGGUGAAUCUUCCACCGGAGUUCUUCGGUUUUUUAGAGAGAAGGGAGAGAAAAGGGAAGGAAGAGAGAGAGGGGAGAGGAGCGUUCUGCCGAAAAACGGAGGAAGGUGCCUUUUAUACCCUCCCAAAACGACGUCGUUUUGGCUUUAAGUUAAUCAGAGGAUCCGCGCGUUUUACCGAACCCGACCCGACCCGAGCGUCGACCCGAUUCUGACCCGCGCGUGCCCAGCCCCCCUCCGAGCGAGCCGAGCCGAGCCGUUCUUCCCGAGCCGCUUCUCCGAGCCGUUUUCUCUUCCUUGAGCCGAGCCGAGCCGAGCCGCAACCCGAGCCGCUCCAGGCUUUUUUUUUUUUUUUUGAAUUUUUUUUGAAUUUUUUUUUUUUGAAUUUUUUUUUUAUUUGACUUUGAUUUUGAUCUUGAUUUUUUUUUCUUUUUUCUUUAAUAAAUCCGACGACGGAGCCUCUGCAAGUGAAACAGUAGUUUUUCUUGCAUACUCUUGAGGUGAGGGAAUUUUCUCAAUUUUCUGCUAAAAGUAUUAGAGUUAAUUGAGAAUAAUUUCCAAUAAUUAAUUGGAUGAUUUUGUUUUUUCUUUAAUAAAUCCGACGACGGAGCCCCUGCAAGUGAAACAGUAGUUUUUCUUGCAUACUCCUGAGGUGAGGGAAUUUUCUCAAUUUUCUGCUAAAAGUAUUAGAGUCAAUUGAGAAUAAUUUCCAACAACUAAUUACUUGGUAAAAUUUUAAGGCUUUUGGAUAACACAAAUUUAAGCUGGUACCAUCUUUUGAUGGGCGUUGUGAGGGUGCUACAACCUUCCUCACACGUAAUCGAACUCCCGAACUUUGUUCUGGUUAGCAGACCUGAACCUAUUCUUUUAGGGACCCUCAAGCUUAGGUGUUCCCUGAAAGGACAGAUUCUUUAGGUGGCCAAUCGUACCUAGAUAAAAAAGAUUGGUGGCGACUCCCUGAAAGUCAAUGUCUAGCGAUAGAUCCCCGGAUCUAGACGUUACGACAGCUUGGCGACUCCACUGGGGACCUUGAGAGUCAGGCCAGCAAAUAAUUUGUGUUAUCCAAAAGCCUAAUAAAAUUGAACCAUUUUUGUAUAUAUGUGUUAUUAUUCAUUCCUGUUUAUUUAUCUUGUUAAUUAUGUCAUUCAUGUGCAUGUGCAUAACAUGAGCUCUAUACCCGAGCUCCGUCCCUCUAGGAGGGAGUAAAGUACCUAUUGCUUUCGUGAGGUCUAAUGCCUCCGUAGUGGCUAACGAAAUACUCCCACUCAAAUUGAACCUUUUCCGCUUGUAGCCUGUAAUGGGUGAGGAUUAGGGUGCCUUACUAGUCUGUGAUGGACAAGGAUGUAAGGAACAAUUUGAGGACCUUUAGACUCUGACUUUAAAACCACAUGUAGUGAACCUUAAGAGUGCCUAACCCUAGGAUAGAGUCCUUUCUACCCAAUGAUAGAUAUACCCUGAAAUUAGGACACAAAAAAGGUGUUUAUCUAAUCAUUUUGAUUGCUUAACUUUGUGUAUUAUUUUUUGUAAUGUUAUGCAUCAGCAUUACUUUCAUUUCAUUCAUGAAACUAACUAUGUUGUUUGUCUGAUUGUAUGCAUCUGUAUUCUUUUCAUGAUCAUGUUUCAACACAAUCAUUUGCAUUCAUUUCAUGCUAGAUUUCAUUCAAAAAAAUGUACAUUUCAUUUGUGUAUCAAAGCAUCAUACAUAAGGCACAGCAUAACAUUUCUAAUCAUGAGUAUGGUACUCAAGGUCCGAGGAUAGCUCCAUCUAGCGAAAACCUUGCUCAUCCAUACAACACAAGAUCCAGAGCAAGGCAAAUGGAGGAGGAAAGUUCUCAUAGAUUUGAAAAGCUAGAAAAAGCUCAGGAGAAGAUUGAAAAUGAACUUAGCAAAAUUCUGGAGGCCCUCAAUAACAUGAAUAAGGGGAAAGGAGUUGAAGGAAGUACAAGCCAGCAAGAAGUGGCUGACCCUUUGUACCCUCCAGGUUUUGGCCCAUCUCAGGUCCAGCCUGCUCAAGAGGUCCCGCCAUAUCCUGGAAUACCAUCAGCUUUCAACCCAGGGCAGUAUAAUAGCUAUAUAAAUCCUGUCUUCACUGAAAAAGUAGCAGAACCAAUUCCUGACCUAGAUGCCUUAAAGGAGAAGGAAAAAGAAAAGAUGAAAGUAGAAGCUGAGGAGAGUUCCAAGAUUAGCAUGCUAGAGCAGAGGCUACGGGCUGUGGAAGGAUUUAGCUUUUAUGGGUCAGUAGAUGCUGCUGGGCUCUGCCUAGUCCCUGAUGUGGUUAUUCCCUAUAAGUUCAAAGUACCAAAAUUUGAAAAAUAUGACGGUACCAAGUGCCCCAAAACCCACAUCACCAUGUAUUGCAGGAAGAUGGCAGCUCAUGCUCAUGAUGAAAAACUUCUGAUGCAUGUUUUCCAGGACAGUCUUACUGGCUCUGCCGCCAGAUGGUAUGUUCAGUUGGAUAGGACUCGUAUUCGCUCUUGGAGUGAUAUGGCACACGACUUCAUCAGUCAAUAUCGACACAUUAUCAAUUUGGCUCCUGAUCGUUUGUCUUUGCAGAACCUGGAGAAAAAGGCAAACGAGUCUUUUAAAGAAUAUGCCCAGAGAUGGAGAGAUAUAGCUUCACAGGUGCAACCUCCACUGACAGAAAAAGAGACCACAGUGCUGUUUGUUAGCACUUUGAAACCUCCCUAUUAUGAAAAGAUGAUAGGAAAUGCAACAAAGAAUUUUGCUGACAUGGUGAUCUCUGGAGAAAUUAUUGAAAGUGCCAUAAAAAAUGGCAAGUUGAAAGGAGGAGAAACCAAGAAGACAUCAGAAAAGAAAGAAGCUCAAGCUCAAGCUGUGAGCUUUGAUAGACAACAAUUCAGGGGUUAUCAACCCUAUCCAUCCCAAGGCUACUCUCCAUACUAUCCCGCUGUGAAUAAUGCCUCAUCCUACCCAUACCAGUUAGCUUCACAACCAUCUCAUUUAUCCACUUACCGCCUUAACAUUCAAGCUCCUGUAAGAACUCAAGUUCGCCCUACUAACCCAGCAAGUGGCUCGCGAGAACAACGGACUGCUCGAGAAAAACCUGUAUUUGAUCCAAUCCCUAUGACUUAUACAGAGUUAUAUCGAGAGCUUUAUAAUAGCCACUUGAUUGCCCCCAGCCAUGUGGAACCUCUUAAACCACCCUACCCAAAGUGGUAUGAUCCUACAGCCCACUGCGACUAUCACUAUGGAAUUACUGGCCAUUCUACUGAAAAUUGCACUGCUUUAAAGUAUAAGGUGCAACGGUUGAUCAAUGAUGGAAUGGUAAGUUUUGAUCAAGGAAAAGCAACAACAUUCAAUGUUAACACCCUAAGUGAAAGUCAAGAACAGAAAGGAUCUGGAGAGUCACAAUGAAUUGAGGGGCAAGACGUCAAUGGGGAUUUCUUCACCUGAUCAUAUAGGGGGCUAAUUUUUAAUGGAGAUAAGGCGGGUUGAAAGUUUUUUUGUCACUUUAAGAUUUCUUUUCAAGUAAUGUUGGAUUUCUUUUUGCAAUAUGACUUUACUUGUUAUCAUUUUAAUAAAGGCAAGUCAAUGCAUUUCAUUACAUUUUUCUCUUUCAUUUGACCAUUAUUCCAUACCCUGCUACCCUUCAUAACUUCACAUUCCCAUUCUUAAAUUUCAGAUGAUGAAUAUUUAGACAAUGAUAACAAUAAUUCUGGGAUUUAAUUUUGAGAACUCAUCCACAUUAAUAUGAGAAGAUGAUUUGAACAGAAGUAAGCUAUUACUGGAGGAGAAACAGAUAUGUCUUGAAGAUGUGUAAUCUUUUAUACAGAUUCAUGAGCUUUGUUCAAUAGAUGAUGUUCAAGAAAGGUAUUCACAAUUGAGAUGAAAAAUGGCCACCUUUCUUUUACCAUUGGAAAAACCAUUUAUUGCUACCCCUUUGAGCCAAUCAUGAUUUUUUUUCUUGAAGAACCCCAACCAAGGAUCACCCUCUACACUGGAGGGUAAUUUUUGAAAAAAAAAAAAAAAAAAAAAACACCACAAAAGGUCUCAAAAAUGAAAAAAAAAAGAAAAAACAAAUGCCACACAUGACUUGGGGCAAAGUAAUGAGAAUCCUUUGUGUGAUGAAAGAAAAAAGUAGUGAAAUGAUGUGGGGGCAAAAUGCCAGGCUGCAUCAAAUGAUCCUUUGGUUUUGAACCUUUUUAAUACAUGUUUUGAGCCUAUUAUAUCCAUUUCUUUUAUGACCCUUCCCCUUGGCCUACGUUACAACCUUGAAAAGUCCAUUUGGAUCAAGUGUGAAUACUCAACUUGAAUGAUCAUAUGUUGAGCGAAGGUAUGCUCAUGAGGAAGCAAUGAAAUCAUGGUCUAAAGUUGGACGUAUGAAAGAUAUCAACAAUGGAUGAAAAAAAAUGAUGAAAAAAAAAAGAAAAAAAAAAGGAAAAAAAAAGAAAAAAUGAAAAAAAAAAGAAGGAAAAAAAGAGAAAAUAAAAAAAAGAGAUUCAAAUUGAAAACCUGAAAGGGUGAUUUUAGUAAAAAAAAAUCAAGUCAAAUGGCUCACAUGAAUGAAAGAUCAAAGACAUCUGAAGAUCCCUCAAAGACUGGGGCCAGAGUUCGCCAAGCUCAAGAUGACUUCAACAGUAAAAUGGAAUGAGUUUUUGAAAAAGAAAUCCUAGAUUAAUGUUGAAAAUUGUCUGAAUAUUCAUCAUUUGACAUACCAUUCACCUCAAUGACAUCCAAUCUAUUUCAUUUCCCAUUUAUUUUCUACCAAAAUAGAUCUCCAUUGAUUAUCUUUAUCAAUAAUUCACCUUUCUGUUCUCUUAUUGUUUCACCCCUAGAAUGAAUUGAGAAAUGCUUGAUUGCAUGUAUUUGUCAAAAUUUGAAAUGAUAAUGAAUGAAUGAACAUGUACUUAAAAGAAUCUUACAUUCAUUUGAAAAGAAAUCUAAGAUGAUGAAGAAAUGGUAGAAACCUAAAAGAGAUGAUGGGGCAAAUCUGGAAAAGUGAUGAAUUGAUCGAUAUGACUUGCAAGUUAUGAUUGAAUGAUGAAGACAAUCAGUGGACAGAGUUUGUUUUUGAAUGGUUAAUGCUGAGACAGAGUAAGGACCCAGUGAUGGUGGAUGAAAUUUGUUUUGAAAUUUGCUAGUGCUGAGAAAUUCAUUGAAUGAUAGUCAAGGGAUGAUCGAUUGAUGAAGCUUAUUCCAAAGUAUUGAAAAACAAAACAAGAAAGAAUGUGAGUGGAAGAGACAAUUGAGAGCUACACUGGUUCGAUCUUAGAAGAGCAGUGCAAUUGGAUCCUUGAGGAAUCAAAGGGCUUGACACCCAAAAAAAAAAAAGCUUGAGAAACUUGAGUACCAUACAUUGAACAGGAAUUAAUUGGCCAACAUUUGCAUGGCAUGCAUUGAAAUUCAUAUGCAUUGCACAGCAUACACUACUUUCAGGAGAAUAUAGUGUACAAAUUCAAGAAGCAAGGGUGUUCCAACAUCCCACAUGAAAAAGACAGAUAUGAAAAGACUUUGCAAGUUUGAGAAGAAACUUGUCAGGUAAGUUCCUAAUCCUUGAAAUAGGAUGUCUUUUGGUAUCAGGGUUGAUUUAUAAGACCUUUGGGCAUAAUCUCCUGAAAUCCCUUCAAACACAGCUUUCAACUCCUUUGGACAUGAUUGUCAAGGAGCCUAUUAAUUUCCAAAGUUCCGUUGCCUCUGUUUUAGAGGAGCAAUUUAUCUUUUCAAAGUCGUGGUGCCUCUGUUGAGAGGAGCAAUUUACUUUUCAAAGUCGUGGUACCUCUGUUGAGAGGAGCAAUUUACUUUUCAAAGUCGUGGUGCCUCUGUUGAGAGGAGCAAUUUAUUUUUUCAAAGUCGUGGUGCCUCUGUUGAGAGGAGCAAUUUACUUUUCAAAGUCGUGGUGCCUCUGUUGAGAGGAGCAAUUUACUUUUCAAAGUCGUGGUGCCUCUGUUGAGAGGAGCAAUUUAUUUUCAAAGUCGUGGUGCCUCUGUUGAGAGGAGCAAUUUACUUUUCAAAGUCGUGGUGCCUCUGUUGAGAGGAGCAAUUUAUUUUUCAAAGUCGUGGUGCCCUCUGUUGAGAGGAGCAAUUACUUUCCAAGUCGUGGUGCCUCUGUUUAGAGGAGCAAUUUACUUUUCCAAAGUCGUGGUGCCUCUGUUGAGAGGAGCAAUUUAUUUUCAAAGUCGUGGUGCCUCUGUUUAGAGGAGCAAUUUACUUUUCCAAAGUCGUGGUGCCUCUGUUGAGGAGCAAUUUACUUUCCAAAGUCGUUGCCUCUGUUUAGAGGAGCAAUUUAUUUUCCAAAGUCGUGGUGCCUCUGUUUAGAGGAGCAAUUUACUUUCAAAGUCGUGGUGCCUCUGUUUAGAGGAGCAAUUUACUUUUCCAAAGUCGUGGUGCCUCUGUUGAGAGGAGCAAUUUACUUUUCAAAAGUCGUGCCUCUGUUUAGAGGAGCAAUUUACUUUCAAAAGUCGUUGAGUCUCUGUUUAGAGGAGCUUCGGCAAAAAAAAAAAAAAAAAAAACAAAAAACAAAACAAAAAAAAAAAAAACAAAAAAAAAUCAAAAAAAUCAAAAAAAAAAAAAAAAACAAAAUCAAAAAAAAAUCAAAAAAUAAAAAUGUUGAGUUGAGUCUUGAUUGGGUGUCUACGUCUUUGCGCAAUUUCUGUUUCACAGAAAAUGUGCAAAGAGGGCCACCUGUAGACACCCAAUUGGGUCCGGGCCCAGAUCAAUUGGGCCUGGCCCAAAUGGGUAAGGCCCAUUUCAAUCCUGUAUAUUUUUUUCUUUUGUAUUUUAUGUAUUCUAUUAUUAUUAUUAUUAUGUAUAUCUUUAUUCAUUUAUUUAUUUUUAUUUAGAUUAGAUUUAUAUGUAUAUUAUUUAUAUAGUUAUAUAUUUAUUAUUAUUAUUAUUAUUAUUUUUGUAAGAUAUUUUUGGAUUUAUCUUAUUUUAUUAUUAUUUUUUUUAAAUUAUCUGUUCUGAUUUUUUCCUGAUUAUCAGAUAUUUUUUUACUAUAAUAUCUUUUUAUUUAUCUGUUCUAAUUAUCUAUUAUUUUUUAUAUUAUUUGAUUUUUUUUUUUGGAAGGUUGAGAUUGAAGCUGAAGAAUCCUACUGGGAGUGGGGAUUCAAUCUAAAGAGUCCAAUUGGAUUCAAAGACUGAAUCCCCGUCCAAGGAGGAGUUGGGAUUGAUCAGAAACUCCUGAUCAACCCCUAUAUAAAGGACCCUUUGGAACAGUUCAAGAACACACAGAAAACAGUCAGCUAGAGCUACUGAUUUGAGAAGCAAAGGCGUAGGGAAGAGUAUAGAAGGCUAGGAAAAGGUUUAGGAGAGUUCCAGAAAUUAUCAGAAAUUUUUUUGGGGAUUUUUCGAGAUUUUUUUUUCUGGGAGUUUCUGGAAAAUUCCAGUUUCCGGUUGAAUUCUCCGGCCAACCUUGAAGUUUCCGGCUAAAAUUCCGGCCAACAUUGAAGUUUCCGGCGAACUGCCCAGUUUCCGGCGAAGAAUCCCAGAAAUCGGUGAAUUUCCGGCCAACUUCCGGCGAAAAAACCCAGAUUCCGGCGAAAAUUUCCAGAAUCCGGUGAAUCUUCCACCGGAGUUCUUCGGUUUUUUAGAGAGAAGGGAGAGAAAAGGGAAGGAAGAGAGAGAGGGGAGAGGAGCGUUCUGCCGAAAAACGGAGGAAGGUGCUUUUAUACCCUCCCAAAACGACGUCGUUUUGGCUUUAAGUUAAUCAGAGGAUCCGCGCGUUUACCGAACCCGACCCGACCCGAGCGUCGACCCGAUUCUGACCCGCGCGUGCCCAGCCCCCCUCCGAGCGAGCCGAGCCGAGCCGUUCUUCCCGAGCCGCUUCUCCGAGCCGUUUUCUCUUCCUUGAGCCGAGCCGAGCCGAGCCGCAACCCGAGCCGCUCCCAGGCUUUUUUUUUUUUUGAAUUUUUUUUUGAAUUUUUUUUUUUUGAAUUUUUUUUUUAUUGACUUUGAUUUUGAUCUUGAUUUUUUUUUCUUUUUCUUUAAUAAAUCCGACGACGGAGCCUCUGCAAGUGAAACAGUAGUUUUUCUUGCAUACUCUUGAGGUGAGGGAAUUUUCUCAAUUUUCUGCUAAAAGUAUUAGAGUUAAUUGAGAAUAAUUUCCAAUAAUUAAUUGGAUGAUUUUGUUUUUUCUUUAAUAAAUCCGACGACGGAGCCCCUGCAAGUGAACAGUAGUUUUUCUUGCAUACUCCUGAGGUGAGGGAAUUUUCUCAAUUUUCUGCUAAAAGUAUUAGAGUCAAUUGAGAAUAAUUUCCAACAACUAAUUACUUGGUAAAUUUAAGGCUUUUGGAUAACACAAAUUUAAGCUGGUACCAUCUUUUGAUGGGCGUUGUGAGGGUGCUACAACCUUCCUCACACGUAACCGAACUCCCGAACUUUGUUCUGGUUAGCAGACCUGAACCUAUUCUUUUAGGGACCCUCAAGCUUAGGUGUUCCCUGAAAGGACAGAUUCUUUAGGUGGCCAAUCGUACCUAGAUAAAAAAGAUUGGUGGCGACUCCCUGAAAGUCAAUGUCUAGCGAUAGAUCCCCGGAUCUAGACGUUACGACAAUGAUAAUAAGAGAAAAGAAAGAAAAGAUGGUGUUUAGGGCUUUUAAGACUAAUUUUAUUUAUUUUGUAUCAAAACUACAUUGUUUUGGUAGAGAGAAAAACAAAAAGAAAAGUAGAUAAAAAAGAAGUGAUUCUCAAGUACCACAAAAGCAUCUAAAAAAUGCCACAUAUAUUGACACAUGGCAUGAGAAAAAUCUUUUGUUAGAACUUUGGGUGAUUUUUAGUGCUGACGAACAAUGACCAAUGAUGGAAAAUGGUGUCAAUGAUGGUGGUUGAUGCUGAAAAUUAAGAAGUUUGGGUGAAAAGGGUGAAUUUUAAAUAGAAAUAAAAGGGAAAAAUGAAUUGAAAAAAAAAUUGAGUUUUGAUAUUGUACUGCAAAAAAAGUAUCAAUGUGUAGGCUCGAAUUCAGACCUAGAACACAUUUUUCCUUCCCAAAGACCCAAUACCUGAAGCAGACUAAGUCCCAAGUCCACUUAACAAGCCCAAUUUCCUUGGACUUCUCUUUAUUUGGGUCAAUCCCAAAUUUGUGGUAAAUUAUUAUCUUUUUUUCGUUUAUUUUCUUUUUAAAAAAGAAUGUUAUCAUUUUUAAUUAAAUUGACAUAUUUUUUACAAAAAAUAAUUUUUUAAUUAAAUUGAUAUAAAAAGCAACCAUAUGUAUAAUUAUCAAAAUCAAACUAGAUACUAAACUGUUCAAAGUGUUGGGUCAUUGGUUCAACUGUUAGGUCAAUCAAGUCAAUUGUUAAACUAAUUAAGAUAUAUAAAUAUAUAAAUAUUUUAAAAAUUUAAUCCAUUAUGUGAUAAGCAAUAAAAUUCUAUUGUAGAUAAUCUCAAACUUAAAAAAUUAAAAAUAUAUAACAGAAUAUAAGUGUAAAAAAGGUAUAUGUAUUUAAAAAGUGAACUUAAAUUAUGAAAAUAAAUUUAAAAUUCAAACUCGUAACUCAAACUCUAAAGAUACUAAUUGAAUAAUUCAGCUAUAUUAUUAAAAAAAGUAAAUACUCUAAAAAACUUAAAAACAAAAAAAAAGUUUAAAAAAGAGAAAGCUUAUGUAAAAUAUAAAUUUUAAAAAAUGACAUAAAAAAAUUUCCUUUAAAUUGAUGAUAUUUGAUAUAAAACAAAUCAAGCUCCAAAAUGAUAAUUAAAGUUUUAAUUUUAGCCAAGUUUUUAUCCUUUAAUUUGAUAUGAGUGUGUCACCUAAAAAUAUAAAUGAGAAAGCAGUUAAAUUUUAUUAAGUUAUUCUUUAAUGUGCAUAACGUGUAGGUACGAACACAUGAUACUGAUAAUUAAAUUUGUAUAUUAUCAUAACAUUUAGAUCUGAGGAUCUAUCGCUAAACAUUGACUUAAGGAGUCACUACCAAUCUUUUUUGUUUAGGUGCGAUUAGCCACCUAAGGAAUCUAUCUUUUCAAAGAACACCUAAGUUUAAGGGUCCCUAAAAGAAUAGGUUCAGGUCUGUUAACCAGAACAGAGUUCGAAAGUACGGUUAUGUGUGAGAAAGGUUAUAGCACCCUCACAACGCCUAUCGAAAGAUGGUACCAGCUUAAUUUUGUGUUAUCCAAUAAGCCUUAAAAAUUUACUAAGUAAUUAAUUAUUAGAAAUUAUUCUCAAUUGACUCUAAUACUUUUAGCAAAAAAUUGAGAAAAUUUCUUCACCUCAAGAGUAUCAAGAAAACUACUGUUUCACUUGUAGAGGAUCCAUCAUCGGAUUAUUUACCAUUAAAGAAAAUUCAAGAAACAAGAAGGAAAAGAAAUAAAAAAUAAUAAUGAUUUAGCUUUAGAUAUAAAUCAUUUUCUCUUCAAAAACUCAUUGCUUUUGUACAAGAAAAAUUGAUACUUUCAACUUUUCAUCAAAAGCAUUUGGGAGUUUCUAUUUUAAGGAAAAUUGAUACUUUUAACUUUUCCUUAAAAAGUUUUUUUUUAAAAAAAAAUUUGGUACUUUCAACUUUUUCUAAAAAUGUUUUUCUGAAACUUUAAUUUCUAGAAAAAUUGAUACUUUCAACUUUUCUUUUAAAAUAUUUUUUUAGAAAAAUUAUUUUCAAGGAAAAUUGAUACUUUCAACUUUUCCUCAAAAAUAUAUUUUUUUAGAAUUUUAUUUUAAGAAAGUCAUUAAAAAAUAAAAUAAAAUAAAAAUAAAAAUAAAGAAUACCAAAUAAUUCUAAUCUAAUCAAUAAAUAAUAACAAUAAAUAAAAUGAAAAAAAAAACCUUAACAUGACUCGGCUUGAGGAAAAAAAUGGCUCGAAGAACACGGCUCGAGAGCGUGCGGCUCGACUCUAAGGGAAGGUCAGUAUGCGGGUCGCUGGACCAGGUCACGAUCAGAUCGGGUCAGAUCUUGACAAAACGAGUGGAUCCUGUGGGUUCACUAAUGCCAAAACGACGUCGUUUUACGGUACUAUAAAAGGCUCCAACUUCUAUUUUUUUGCAAACUACCUCCCUUCCUUCUCUCUCUUCCCCUUAGCUUUCUCCUCCUUCUCUCUACCUGUGAAGAACAAUGGUGGAAUUCUCACCGAUUUUUGGGUUUUUCUACCAAAAACUAGGUUUUUGGCUAGAAUACUCACUGAAAAACUUGAAUUUCGUCGAAAAAUUUCGUCAAAUUUUGGAAAAUUUUCAUAAAUUUUCCAGAAAAAAAAAACUCCGAAAAUUUUGAGAAAAUUUUCCUAAAAGUUCUAAACUGCCUCUAACACUAUUUUUGCCUCUGAUUUCACCUCUGUGCCUUUUCUGUAUGAUUUAUGGACCUAUUUAUAGGGAUUGAUCAGAUUUUUGAUCAAUCCCAACUCCGUCUGGGAUUUGGAUUCAAGUUUUUGAAUCCAAUCCAGACUCUUCUAGUCCCAUAUCCAUGAUAGAAUUCCAACUUUUUCUGAUCAAUAUCCCUUAAUCCCAGCCAAAAAAUAAUCAAGCAAAAGAUAAAGUAAAAAAAUAGAUAAAUAAUAGAAUAAAUAAAAAAUAAAAAUAGAUAAAUAAUAAAAAAUAUUAAUAGAUAAAUAAUAAAAAAUAAAAAAUAAAUAUUAAUAAAUAGACAAAUAAUAAAAAUAAAAAUAAAAAUUAAAGCCAAUUGGGCCUGCUAAUUGGAUCCUGAAUCGACCCCAAUGGACUUAGGCCCAAACCCUAUUAGAUCAGGUCCAAUGGCCUUGGGCCCAGAGCAAAUAGGGUAUCUACAUAUAUGGAUUGAGUCGAGCCAGAUUCGAGUCUAGCCUAGUUAGAAUAUUAACAAAUUUUAAGUUUGUUCAUACUCAUUCAUCCCAAAAUAUAAUUUUAUUUUGCUACUCAGGCUUAAUUAAUUUUUAAAAUACUUUACUGAAGCUUGCCUAUAUUUUAUUUUUUAAAUAAAAAUAAUUUUUAUAAUAAGUAUUAAUUAUGAUAAAAUAAAUAAUCAACAAAGUAAACCCUAAAAAAUACUUUGUUAACUUAAUUCAAUAUUUGAAUGUGAUUAGUAUAUAUAGACAUAGGAUAUUAACGUAUAUAUUAUAUAUUUUUAUGUAAUAUAAAUAUAAAAAGUAUAUAAUAAUUAUUUAGGCCUAAUCGGAUUCGAACUUUAAACUUUAUGUCCAUGGCCUAGUACAAGUUUUUAAACGGGUCUAAAAUUCAAGUUUAGGCCCAUUUAAGAACCUAAAAUUCAUGUCUAAGCCUUCCCAAAAUUAGGAAGGGCUUUCGGGCUCGAAUGAGUUGCCCAAUCAAUAUAAUUUAAAAGUUUAAUUCAUUUGGUUCAUGUAAUUAUCCUUAAGAGAUUGCAUCUAAGAUAUCUGAAAUUUAAAUUUCAAUACUUAUAUUUUUUUCUCAAUAUUUAAGUUGUGACAUCUUUUAUAUAUAUAAAAAAAUACACCUUUUAAAGAAAAAAAUUUAAAACUACUAUCUCUUUGACAAUAAAGAUUUUAAUUUACCUUAUCUUAAGAAAAAAAAUUACAAAUUAGAAGCUUUUAAACCCAAUCUCAAUUAUUUAAUUACCUAUCCGAUGUAUGAUAACAGAAUGAUUUGAUUUGAUGCAAGAGAAAAGCAAGAAGACUGAUUGAUCCUGGCAACUGGUAGCUUGAAUUCUUCACCUAAAAUUUCUUGGUCUGCUUUGACGUGUGUAAAAUCAAUAUCACUUCAUUGAUCCUCGCGUUUAGAAAAUGAUCAUUAGCUUUCCUGACUUGAAAUUUCUCUGUUUGUUUUGACGUUUGUGAAACCAAGACCUCUUGAUUGAUCCUUGCAUUUGAUAGCUUUAAUUCUUCACGUAAAAUUUCUUAGUCUACCUUGAUGUGUGUGAAACCAAGACAAAUUGAUUGAUCCUUGCGUUUAUAAAACGAUCAUUAGCUUUCCUGACUUAAAAUUUCUUAGUCUGCCUUGAUGUGUGUGAAACCAAGACAACUUGAUUGAUCCUUGCGUUUAGAAAACGAUCAUUAGCUUUCCUGACCUAAAAUUUCUUAGUUUGCCUUGAUGUGUGUGAAACCAAGACAAUUGAUUGAUCCUUGCGUUUAGAAAAAAAUCAUUAGCGUUCCUGACUUAAAAUUUUGUGAAACCAAGACAACUUGAUUGAUCCUUGCAUUUAGAAAACGAUCAGUAGCUUUUCUGACUUAAAAUUUCUUAGCCUGCUUGAUGUUUGUCGAAAGCAAGAUGACUUGGAUUGAUUCAAGGCCUAGCACUUAGAGCAUGUGCUUAGCUUUUCUGACUAGAUUCCUUUAUUUGCUUUUAUGUAUGUGAAGAAUAAAAUAACUUUAUUGAUACUUCUUUUGUCUCUCUCAUGGAAAAAGAAUUGCUUGCUCAGUUUUGGAUUACACCAAUCACGGCUUUGAUAUGUGGUACUAUCAUAAACUUAUCUUAGGGUUGAAUUGAAACUGACACUCCAUGUGUCCUCAAAUCUCUUUAUCCUUAUUUGAAUUUGUGUACAUAUUAAAUAAAAAAUUGUGGUAAAAAAAGCGAGCCUAAACAAUGAUCAUAUGGCAAAAAACAAAAAGAUCUUUUUAACUUUUUUUUAUUGAAAUUUAUGCCAACAGUUACAUGAUAUCAAGGCAGCAAAUUUCAUUGAUUUUUAAAGUUAUCGAUUUGAAAUAAAUGAAAUCAAGAUAAAUUUGAAAUAAAUGAAAUCAAGAGAAAUUUUGAACUAAAUUAAAAAGAUAAAUGUGAAAAAUAUAUAGUUUUUUUUAUAUAAUUUUAUGAAUUGUUUGAAGGGUAAAAUGAAAAUGCACAAGAAUUUCAUUAAAUAUUUGGUCCCAUAUAUUAGCAAAUUUUAAAGAAAUUUUAAUUUAUAACUUGGUUUUAAAAUAUUAUUAUAUUAACUUCAUUCUUUUCAUAUUCCGUUAAUUAAUACUAAAAAUGAAUUUUUGAAAGAAAAGAUUAUAAAUAAAAUUCAUUUGAAAACUUUUUAUAUUCUACUAACCACUGAAAUUAACUAGAAUGUUAAGUAAAGGAAAAAUCAUAUGAUAUUAUCAUAUUAAUUUAAUAUUUUCAUAUUCUAUAAAUUCAUUAUUUGAAAAUAAAUUUUCAAAAAUAAUUAGAUCACUUUUUAUUUGGAAUUUGAGUACGAUAUUGUAUUUUAAAAUUUUAAAACUAUUUUUUUCAAUAUUGAAUGUUAUCAAUGAUCAAUUAUCCUAAUAUAAUUUAUACUUCUUAGAGAAAUAUAUAUAAUUUAUAUUUAUAUUUAUAUAAAAGAAUGACUAGCUGCAAUUUCAUACAAGCCCAUGGCGUAAAACUAGGAGUCAAGGAGAAAUGACUAGUUGGGUCUCACAAAGUAUGCAAGUCCAAUAAAUACAAAGAAAAAGAGAAAAAGAUAUAUUGGUUUUAGAUAUGCUUUGUAAAAGGAGAUCAAAAGCAAAUUAGAGGGCCCAAAAUCAAAAGCUUGACUCAUUUUAUUUAUUGUGAAGACCAAGACCGUUGGUAUCAAUUGCCUGGUGAUAUCAAAUUCAUCCAAAGAUUUAUAAAAGUACUGGACUACCUGUUUAGUAAUAAAAAUUGACAUUUCAUUAAAAAAAAAACUCUUUGAAAAGAAAAAAUAAUUUAAAAAUGGCCUAUUUAGGUAAUAAAUACUUUUAAUUUUCCUUACCUUAAAAAAGUAGUGGUUACAAAUUAGGAGGUUUUACACCCAGGCUCAAUUAUUUAACAACCCAAGUAUGAUAAUAAAGUAAUCAAAUUCAACAUAUAAUAUUAAAAGAUCGGAACGCAGUUAGAAGAAGACCUUAUUGUUUUUGGAAACCAUAGAAAUUCACAUGUUAAUAUCGUAAUAAUAAUAGUGGUUGCUUUGAUUUAAAAGAAAAAAUAGUGGUUGCUUUGAUUUGGUAAGUUUUAGAUUAAUCCUUGCUCUUGCAACAAAGUCAAUUGCUUUUCUGACUUCAAAAUUUCUUAGUCAGGGUCAAUUUCUGACUUCAAAAUUUCUUAGUCAGGGUCAAUUGGAGAGAGAAUUGCUUGCAUUAGGUGGAAUCAUUUGCAAUAUAUAUAUAUAUAUAUAUAUAUAUAUGAUAAUAUUACGAUCACAUGAGAUUAAAAUUAUAUGAAAAAAAAUGUGAAAGUGAUAUUAUUUAAAGUUUUGACAAAAAUUCUAUGUGGAUUUGACAACAACAAAAAAAAGUAUUUUAUAUUUGAUUUAUCAACAUGAAUUUGAUAUGAAAAUUUUCAUAUUUUAUAUGUAUAUAAUGAUAUUGACAUAAUACAAAUAUAUGAAUUACUAAAUCUAUUUUGGACCGUAUCAAUAAAAAAUUUAAUAGAAGUACCAGAUUUCAAUAUACUCAUAUGGGGCAAAGAAAAUUCAUUAAAAAUUAAUUUUUUAUAGGAUGUUACUUUAUGGGUGGGUAGCUUUUUUUGAAUAAGAUUAAAAAAUUUUUUUAAAAUCUUAAAUUUAUAUUGUUAUUCUAUUUUAACUUUGGAUUUAAUGUAAAUUUACCAAUUGGUUAACUCAACUCAAUCACGUUACCAUUAGUGUGUGUGUGUAUAUAUAUAUAUAUAUAUAUAUAUAUAUAUUCACAAUUUUAGUUUAAAAAUAACUUUAAAUUUAUUUAGCAAAAAAAAUUUAGAUUGUAUUGUAUCCUAACAACAUUAUCAUCAUUAUUACCUUAGAAAAUUUUUUUUACAAAAUUAUAAUCGAUUUAACACCUUUCAUUAUAAAUUAAAAAUUAGUUACAGAUAGAUGUGGUGAUGACACAUGUUCAUAAGGGUCAUAGAAAGAUUUAAUUCAAUUUUUAUGGGUACUUUUGACAUUUUAUGAGAGAAAUUGGGAGUUGUAUUUUGGACUUAUUUUAAGAUGUUGAAUAAAAUUUUCAUUAUGUUUGAGCUCUUAUUAUGGUUUUUUUUCUUAUUAUAAAUAUAAAAUUAUGCUUUAUGUUUUUAUUUAUUUGAUGUGUUCAUUUAAAUUUUUAUAAUUUAAUUUAUCUCUAUGCUUAUUUGAGUAAUUCAUUUGCCAAAUUUUUAGGGUGCAUUGAUAUUAAUUAAAUAUUAAUUUGGGAUUAUUAUUAGAAGUAGAUUUUGUUUACUAAUUUAUGUAUAAGUUGAUUAUUUAUAAAAGAAUGAUUAAAAUAUUAUUAUUACAUAUAAUUGACAUUUAUAUCUCGAGUGUUUAAGUAAUAACAAAAUAAUAAAAUAACAACCGAAUUGAAACACGAUCCUAAAGCGAGUAAGUUUCCAAACUUGGAAGUAUUUCCAUUUUUUAAAUAAUUUCAAUAGCAUUAACUAUUGGGCUCAUCUACUAUGCUAUAUAUAGGAGAAAUUUUUACUUGGCAUAUUUUUAUUGAAUACUACAACUCACAUUACAAAUAGACAAUAGUAAUAUUUUAUUUUAUAAAAAUAAUUUAAUAAUUUAUUUUAUUUUAUUUUAUUAGAUUUUGACACACCUGAUAUGUGAGUGAAGAAGUAAAUAUUUUGAUAAAAAAGGAAGUUCGCUAAUAAAAGAUGUUGCUUGAUGUAUUGGAUGUGUAGUUUUUUUUUUUUUUUUACAAAAACAAAUUUAAAAAAUAAGUAUCUGUACCUACAUAUUAUUAUUAUUAUUAUUAUUAUUAUUAUUAUUAUUAUUAUUAUUAUUAUAUCUUAAAUUUAAGUGAUUUCAUUAAUUAAAUUGAUUCCAUCUGGUUUAAAAAUAACAUAGAUUACUAUAUUUUCUCCAAGAAGAGAGAUGCAGCAUUACUAUUUUGCAACACUCUCGCGUAACACGUGGAGUCACGGGGCCUAAUAAAGUGCACAAGACAAGGAAUAAGAAGAAAGGAGAUAGAAAAAAAAAAUAUAUGCUAAAAGAUAAAUUAAUUUCAAAAUAAAAAGCUUCGCUCGUUUAUUUAUUGUGAAGACGAGGACCAUCCAACGACUUUCCUGUCGAAGUCUCAGUCAUGUUGACUAGUUGAUUCCAUAUUUAAGUAUUAUUUUGAGCAGACUUCCUCAAACCAUCCUACAUUUUCAUCAAUUCCCACAGCCAUGAACAUGAGAAAAUUCCAUUUUCUUUCAUCAGCUUUAAUGUUCAUUCAUUGUUUGAUGAUUAGUUACGCCAUGAUUGUGAGGAACCUCACCACAGACCAACAUGCUCUUCUCGAAUUUAAGCACCGAAUCAUUGAUCCUCAUAACAUCUUAGCCAAUAACUGGACUACCACUACCUCUGUUUGCAAUUGGGUUGGUGUCUCUUGCGCUUCUAAGCAUAGGAGAGUCAACUCUUUGAAUCUUCCAAACAUGAAUCUUAUAGGAACUGUCCCACCACAUUUGGGAAAUCUCUCAUUCUUAGUAUCUCUUAAUUUGAGUCACAACAAUUUUCAUGGCCUUUUACCGAGAGAGUUGGGACAAUUAAGUCGUCUGAGACUCAUAGAAUUAAGCUUCAAUUUUCUUAGUGGGGAAAUUCCUUCAUGGUUUGGGAGAUUAAAUAAAGUUUUAUAUUUGAGCCUCUGGAGCAACAAUUUGACAGGUACAAUCCCUCAAUCACUAGCUCAAAUGUCCAACUUGGAAAUCUUGGACUUGAGGCAGAAUCUCGUUCAAGGACACAUUCCACCCGAGAUAAGUAAUCUUCUAAAUCUAAGGAUACUUCGUCUGGCAUUUAACCAACUUUCUGGUUCUGUCCCUUCAGUCAUUUAUAACAUUUCCUCCCUACACAUGAUUUCUCUUACGUCUAACAGUCUAUCUGGCAGUUUACCUGAAGAUAUAUGUCGCCAUCUUCCAAAUCUUGAGAGAUUUUACUUGACCUUAAACGAGUUUUCUGGUCAAAUUCCAUCAAGUAUAGAUGAAUGCAGGUGUCUUCAAAUUUUAACAUUAAACUUUAACAGAUUCAGUGGCAGCAUUCCAAGGAGUAUUGGAAAUUUAACGAGGCUCAAAGUGCUAAGCUUGGAUGGAAAUAAUUUGGAAGGUAAGCUCUUUGUUUUUUCUUUGAUAAUUUUCUUUCGAUUGAUCAUUAAUUAAUUUUUGUAUUAAGUGAAACAUGAUUCCAGCUAAAACUCCCUAAUUUAUGCUACUAAAAAUAGCUUUGCUUUAACCAAGACUCCAACACAGUUAAUUAAAACUCCUUCUAAUUGGUUGUUCGUUUUUUCUUGCUUUUAUUUAAUCAAAAGGUGCCAAGAAAUAGAAGAAAAUAGUAAAAAUUUUAAAUAUCUUCUAUAUAUAAAAAAUAUAAACUUUAAAAGUGAUUAAAUGCAGUAGUAAAAAUUAAAACAUUUUUAUCUUAUUUAUAUAAAAGAACGAAAUUGGAAAGCGUAAAUAGUGAACAACAUAUAUAUCUUUGAUAAUUUAUUAUCAUAGAUAUUUUAUUUAUAAUUAAUGAUUUUCUUGUUAAAUUAAAAUAUGACUAAUUUUAUUUAUUUUCUUAUCAACAUUGAAGCUUUUAUCAAAAUAAACUUUCUUUAAUUUAUAAUUUGAAAUUAUUGUAAAAGAAUUACUUUUAUAUUUUUGAAAGUAAGAGCUAAAUUUAAUUUAAUUAUUGGUAUCAAAUUAAAACUGCUUACUAUUAAUAGUAACUAUGAAACUCAUGUUAUUUUCUCCGGUCAAGUUUCAUGGCUGAAAAUCUUUAGUAUUCCAUGAGUAUCUUAUAUUUAGGAAAAAGAAAACAAAAAACCAUAAGGAAACUAUCUCUUUUCCUUGAAAUGCUUGGACAAAUGCCUAAAAUAAAUUAGUUGGCGUUAAUGCCUCCCUCAUAACAAGGGCUGUAGCACAUUUGACAUUACCCAUCGGAUUUCGUUUUUUUUUUUUUUUUUGGAUAAAUUAUCCAUUUGGUCACUUAAUUUUGCAGUACUAUUAUUUGAGUAUUUGGUUAAAAGAAAUGAUGGUCAAUCAGAGAAAGAAGUGAAUGAAGUUAUUGCUUUAAUUUCAUCCCGUUGUUCAACUGUUAAGAAUUUAUGUCUUUUUAGUUUUUUCUUUUCCUUUUCUGUUAUUUGGUUGUUCGUUUAUAAUCCAACAAGAAAAGAGGAAAUUGUUAUUUGAUGAAAGCACUUUUCACUAAAACAUGAGCAGUUUUAUUCCUCAAAACAAUAUAAAUGGGAAAUACACCCUUGAGAGCACAGAUUUUAUUCUGAAAUUAAAUUAUUUUACUGUAUAGUUUUAGAUUCAUCGGUAUUAUGUAAUAUUUGUCUAUCAAAUAUAUAUAUAUAUAUAUAUAUAUAUAUACAUACACACACACACAAAUGCACUUGUAUUAUAUACAUAUUCAUAUGCAAUUACAAGUUUUAAAAAUCUUACUACUAUAAAUUUCUAAAUAUUUAACUCCCAAAAUUCUAAAUAAAUGAAACAACUAUAAAAAUAAUAAGUAUAUAAUACAUUAUCAUUAAAGAAAUUUAAUAGUUUAAUUUAAUGGAAACAUUUAAUUUUUGGAUCUAAUCAUGAAAAAAUAAAAAUAAUGAUGAGAGCAAAAGAAUUAAAAAUUGAUUAAAAGAGCCAGAACAAUAAAAAGGUUUAAACAGGAUAAAAUAAGAGGUAAAAUUUUAUAUCAAUCAAAAUAUCAUUUUUUACUUGUAUGACUGAGACGGACUAGUGCGUUGGAUACAUACAGGCUGAUGCAAAGAUCAAAUAAAACAAUAAUAUUAUGUGUUGUGAUUCAAAACUGAUAUAUAUUAGCUAAUACGAUGAGUAUGGGUACAUUAUCAAUAACCAUGGUAAAAUCCUUGUUCAAUGAUAUAACCAAUAGCACCAAUAAAACUGUAAAAUGAUAAUAUUAUGUCCUAAUUAAUACAGAAUAAACCAAUGUGGUUUAUCCUAAGAAGCGUUGAAAUUUUAACAUUUCUCUAAAACAUGUCUGGGUAUGAUUUUGCCUUGGAUCUUGCUCAUAUUAUAACAGUUUAUAUCUUAUUUUCUGGUCCAACUCACCAACAUUAAGAUCCGCUUGUGCAAAAAGCAAGAUUGCUGGACCAAUUAAACAUUUAUGCUAAUGAAAUAGCUUUUUGAUUUCCUGCUAAAGAUGCCAAAAAAAAAAAAAACAUCUUUUGAAGAUAAUGUUUGGAACGAGAAUUAAAUUAUUUAUUUUACAUCCAUAAACUUUGGAGCAAAUAGUUUCAUUAUCAAUGUCAUGCCAAGCAAAAAAACGUUUUUAUUCUACUUUAUAUAUACAGAUAUAUAUAUAUAUAUUUAUCUUUUGACGAUAAUGUUUGAGAUGAAAAUUAAAUUAAUUAUUUUAAUCCAUAAUCUCAUAAAAUUUGGACAAAUAGUUUCAUUAUGAAUGCAAUGCCAAGCAAAAAAAAAAAAACAUAGCUUUUAUUCUACUUUAAUAGUUUCAUUAUGAAUGUAAUGUCAAGCAAAUAGUUUCAUUAUGAAUGAACUCUUGUAACUUGGUUUCUUUAUGUUCACGGGUGAAAUCCCUUCGAAAAUUGGAAAUCAUUUGAGCUUGGAGAUAUUUUCUGCCCCAAAUCUGAGGCUUGUUGGUCCAAUCCCAGCUUCCAUCUAUAACCUUUCUUCUUUAAAAGAAAUUUAUCUCCAUAGCAACAGUCUCUCUUGCAGUAUUACAUAUAAUAUGUGUUAUACUCUUCUCAAAACUUCAGGUGCUUGAUAUUUCUGACAAUGAAUUUUAAGGCCACAUUCCAAGAAGUAUAGGAAAUUUAACCAAACUUAAAGAGAUAUAUCUAAGUCAUAAUGAUUUAGAAGGUAAGUUUUUGCAUUGGAUUAUUUAAAUUUCAAUUGAUUGAUACUUUUUAUUAAUUAUAUUAAAAAAAUAACUAAAAAAUAAAAAUUAAAAGAAUGAUCAACAUGAAAAUAAUCACAUUUGAUUUUCUUUUAUGCUUUUCUCAUUUUGACUCAAACUUUUGGAAUUUGAAGAAAUUAAGUUUUCCUUCAUAUUUUAAACAUCAAAGAAAUUAAGAAUUUAUUGUGUAAUUGACUUUUAUUGCAUUUUAAAUAACCUCAAUAUUAUUGGAAUGUUUAGAAAGUGGAUAGUUUUAUAAUACUAAGUUGUUGUUCCUUUGUAGGUGAAAUUCCAUGGGAGAUUGGGAAUCUUAUUUCAUUGGAGACAUUAGCUGCAUCAUUUAUGCGCUUAAGUGGGUUGAUUCCACAUUCCAUCUUCAACAUUUCUUCUUUGAAGGCAAUUAGUCUUGCAAAUAAUAGUCUAUCAGGUAAUUUCAUUAUAAACAUUUCAUUACUUUUAUGUUUAAAAUUGUUUACUUUAGUUUCAAAAAAGUUUAGUUUAGGAUUACAAAACAAAUAAUCAUAAAAUUAUGAAAACUGUUAAAAAAAUGAAGUGUCAUUGAAAGGCUUGAGAAAUGUCUUUUCAAACCUCUUUUAUCUUAUUAAAAUCAAAUACUGUUUCCAAUUAAACCAGGGAACGCAAAACAAAGACUCAAAAGAAUUUAAAAACCAAACCUGAAAAUCGAAAUUUCCAUCGAUUAGAAAAUAUUUUAAAAUUUUUAAAAAACAUUUUAUAAUGGAAUCAUGCCCCUAACUGGGAUGCGCACCACUAGCUAAGUCUACAAAGUUGGCCAAUGUGGAAAAAGGAUAGGUACCCAAAACUUGUGAUGUAAUAUGGCUAUUAGUUAUUAUCCCAUUGCAAUUAUAUACAAUAAAACUAUUUGAUUUGGUUUAUAAUGUGAUAAAAAGCAAUAUUAACGUACAUUGUUACUCCCAUAUUAAUUUAAUACCGACUUAAUUUAUUGUUACAUCUAACUUAAAGUAGUAUUAUUAUAUUUUAUAUUUUUAUAUUUAUUCAUCUGCAAAUAUUUAAAAUUUAUAUUUUGUGUAAUAAAAAAUUUAACAAUGUAUUUUAUUACUUUCAUAUUUCUUAAUAGUGUGUAUCCGCGUGGGCUAGUUUUAUUGGCUAUAUGUGAAAUGUUUCAUAAAAAUUAAAUUGAUUAAAACUGUUAAGUAUAUAUUAAAAGGAUUGUGAAAUUCCAAUUUUCAUUAUGAGGGAUAAAUUAAAUAAGAUUCAAAUGAAUAUAUUUGAUUUUUAUCGUAACGAAGUUGUAAAAAACAAUAAUAUUCAGAUUCUAUAGGUAUACUCAAAAGUUUAUAAACUGUAAUCAUACAAGAUGCAUAUGAAUAUAUUUGAUUAGCUCUUAAUAAGUUGUUAAAAUAAUGAAAUAUGCUAGUCACAUACAAUAAAAUUUGAUGGGAGGAAAGAAUUGAUCAAUGGAGCUAUUUGUUAAUUAUCCAUUUUUUCCCACCGCAUGGAAUUAAAAUGAAUGUUGUAUUUUGAUAUUCUGUAUAUUGAAAACAAUAAAAGAUGAUGUAUAUUUGUUUAGUUUUAUAUAUAAAUGAUAAAAAGGAAGCUAAAACAUUUGAAACUUGAAAAACAAAAAAAUUAAACAACCUGAAUAGCAAGAAGAAAAAAAAUGAAAGAAAGAAAAAUGAGAAGUAGAAAAGAGAUAGAGAUUCUAGAAAUGAAAAUAUGAUAUAAUAAAGUACAUGUAAAAACGUGCAUUCUAAAAUAGAAACUCACAUAAAAAAUUAUAAUUAAAACCUGUAUUGUAAUGAUUAUUUGAUUUGAAGUAGGAAAGAAAGAGUCUUUCCAUGUCAAUAAAACCAAAUUAAAAACCUUUUAGUGUUUGUUCCCCCAAAUAUUUUUCUUUUAACACUGAUUUAAGGUUUCAUUAAAUUGUAACUGAUCCAUUUUGUAAUUUCUAUUAUUACUUAAAGACAUUAGGUCAAUUCAUUUUAUAGUUUUUCUAAAUUUAUUAUUUAUUAACAACAUGUAAUAUUGUAUUAAAAUUAAUAUAAUUUUAUUAUUUAUUAACAAGAUGUGAUAUUAUAAUAAAAUAUUAAAUUUAAAUCUUCUAAAAUAUAAAAUUUUUUAUUGAAUGGAUAAGGUAAUUUUAAUUUGAGCAUUAUUAUAUUACAUAUAAAUAAUAAAUUUAAAUAUGGAAUUUAAAAUUAGAUUAAAAUUAUUAUAACAUUAUAUAUUAAGUCCACUCUUUUAAUACAAAAAUUAGGGCUCAUACGUUUACUUAGCCUAUAUUAUUUUUUACUCAACCCAUUCUUUUAAGACAAAUGAGUAAAGUUUAUAUGAUAAUUGUGGACCAAACUUAUGAUUAAUUAUAUUUAACAAAAACCAAUUUCAAAAAAAAAAAAAACAAAAACCGUUGUUUUAAAAUAUAGUAUUAAUGAUUUUCUUAGUUGUACUCUGUUCCUAAAAAAAUCAACAUUCAAAAUUAAAAGAUAACCAUUCUUCACUUAUCCAACCACGUGUCAAUUUCCAAUUCGUCCCCAACUACCAUGCUUUUAUCACAGGAUUGUUCUAAUAUAAUGUAUAGAUUGUCUAAAGUUAUCUAACUUUUUAUUUGGAGCAUUUCAGUUAUAAUUUUUUUACUAUAAUAUUAUAAUUAUUUGCUAAUCAUAAUAAAAUAUUAUAUAGGGAUCAUCAUUUAUAAAUAUGGGUUACAUAUAAAAUUUUGAUAAAUCUCACACAAUUUUAAAUUAUAAUUAAUUAAUUAUACUAUAAUAAUUAUAAAUUAUAUGCUCUUUUUUUUUUUUUUAUUAUAUGCAAUAAAAAUAAGUGCUACUUUACCCUUUUUUGUUGUCAAAUUAGAGAAUUUAACUGUUCUUUUACGAAAUAAAAAGCUAUAGUUACGUAAUUGUUUUUGCUAAGCCAUAUUUUUAUUAGAGAUCAAAAGACCAUCAUAAGUGAAAUACAAGAACCUUACCAAGAAACAUAGUUAAAGCCAUACCAGAAACAACAUAAAAACCAUCUAGCACAAUUCUAAUGAAAGACUUCCAUCUAAAAUGAAGAUAUCAUUACAUCUAAACAAAAAUGAAAAAAAAAAAAAAACACUACCAUGGUCGGUAAACAAAUAAUGGGAGCAAAGACCACUAUCCUUACAGAACAAAAUCACCACCAUGUCUUACAAAAAAAAAAAUCUCUAUCCUCCUACCUUUGCCAUGACAUCUACCACAUCAUUCAGAUUUUUAAAAAAUUUUCGUCAGACUGGAUGUUCCAAUUGAUCUCCAAAGCAUCACAAUUUCAGAAAAUAUAGACAACAACUUUCAUGGUCGAUGAUUCUUUUUACUGCAGUUAACAGCCACCAUAAAGCCACUUCCAUAUCCCAAAAGCAUACAAAUAGUAAAACGCUAAAACUCCCAAUAUUAACCUCAUAUCCACUAUCAUAUCCUUCAAACACAACUUUAAAAAUACCUUUUGCCAACUUCCUUAACUGUGGUAUUGAUAAAGCUUGUAAAUAAGACCAAAUUCAUUAGAACCUUUAAAUCGACAAAGCCCUUUUGUAUCAAUCUUGAUGAAGCUCCCCCAAUCCUGUCUUUCUAAACCAGCAAUACGUUGAAUAAUGGAACCAUCAUCUUCAUUUACAGAUAAACCCAAUAAUUUACCAACUUCCCAAAUCUUCUCAGCCUCUUCUAGAAAAGCUCUAUUUGCAAAACCAAUAUCUUCAUCCGAAAGUGGUCUUGAACAAUGGAAACUAGAGGUGUCUUUAUCUGGCGAGACUUGCUUUUGGAUCUUUCCAAUAUUUUGCCUUAACGUUUUUUCCUUCUUUUACCUGCUUGAAUAGUAACAAGGUGAAAUUUAUCUUCAACGUCGAAAAGUUUCUCAGCGUCUAUAUUACUCUUGGUCAUAAGCUUAAUAGAAACUGGAUUUGACUAAAGAUCAGUUAAGAUAUUUCCACCAAUAGAAUCCCUAAGCGCAUCUGAUGGGCCAUUUGAUAUCCCAAGAGAUGUAGAAGUAUUAAUAUCUUGAUCCUCUAGAUUGGACUCAUCAACCACAUGAUUCAAUUUAGACUUUCAUUGUUCUGUUUCAUCGGGAUUCAAAAGAGGUUCUAAAGAAGAAUUAAUUGCAACACCUGUAUUUAACUCCGCAUGCUCCAUAAUUGAUCUGUUUUCAAGAACAAAUAUUGGAUAUAUGUUCAGAAACAACAUUUAACUCCUCUUGUUCCAAGUUUAUCUCAUUCCCAAGAUCGGCAUCAUGUGCUUCUUUAGAAUAUCUAGGUGUAUUAACAGUUGCAAUAACAGUGUUAUCUUCAUCCAAAGCCACAAAAUCAGCAUCAUUUUCAAAUUUUGAGUUACUCAGGGAGUCCUUGCCGUGAGGAGAGAAAACAUCUUCACCGCCAUCUAUGAACACUGAGUUGUCCUGGUCUGAUCUGUGAGGACUAGUCGAACUGUCAAGAGAGUGUCCAUGUUCAACAACUUUAAUGGAGUAAGCAUUAUCACCCACAGUGACCUUAAUCUCAUCAUGAAUGGCUCUAUAAUCAUUUGUUAAAAUCAGGACUCUAUCUACAUCUAAACAUUUUUUUUCGUUUGUGUAAAAUCAUCCAGCUUAAUAAGCUCACCCCAUAAACUUCCAAUGGAAGAGAAACACUUGGAAUUCUAAGCGUGAAGUGGAAUACCUGACAAUCUCAACCAAAUAAGGUCUGAAUGGCAUAUGUAGCUAGGCUUCCAUGGAGUAAUAGACGUGAACCAAUUUUGAGACCACUCCUGACCAAGUUCCAGAGAUAAUAACAUACUUUCUCUGCUUUCAAAAGUCAAAAGAUUCAUAUUCUCAACCAUGAUAGUGACAGAACAAUCAUCAAAGUCCUCCGACAAGAUUUGGUUAGUGGCAUUUAUAGUAUCAGGAUAUCUAACCAUCCCAACAGCAUUCCGUUGUAAUCUCUCCAAAUCUAAAUUUUCAGGAACGUAAUUAAGUAUGUCAAGCGAUUUUAAAACCUCUUCUUGUUGACCAUCUGAUACAAUGUUAUCCUUUAACUGAGUGGAUUUGACAGAACUAGAAUUAACUUGAGACCUUUGAUCAUACCUUGCCGUUUGAAAAUGUAGAGUGGAAUACCUCAGGUGCAAACCAGUUAGAAAUUUGAUAGCCCUCGAUGCAUCCCGUAGAUCAAGCUAAUGGACAAAACCAACUAAGACGUUCUUGGCUCUCUUUUGAUUUUUGGGGACGUAAAAAUCAAUCACCCUCCCACAUCUGACAAAACGGUGCUUGAGAUUAAAGAGACUACAAUCUGGAAAAAUUCCAUCAACAAACAGUGUAACAAAAUUUUUCUCCCAAGGUAAUGUUCUUGUGUGGCCUUCAUAGCAUCCAAGUAGAGCUUUUUGAGUUACCUUUACUUACCCUCUAAAUAGCUUUUCACCCUCUAAUAAUUGUGUAAUCAAAAACAUCAUUUUAAAAUCUUUUUCAUUAGUUUCACAUUUUGUCAUCAUAUUACUAAAUUUUUAUUAUAGUAGUAAAAUGUAUACAGUAUUACUCCAACAAACCUCAAAUGAACCUCCUCUGGUAGAGCACUCGUAAGGUUCUAUCAAACCUUAGGGAAGUAAGAAAGUGAUUUUCAAACUAAACAGAGUACAUGUACUUUUAACAAUCUUUUCACAGAAUCUUUGUAUUUUUCUCUUAUAUUAUGCAUAUAGUCUAAAAUGAAAGAAAUUUUAUCAUUUCUCUUGAGCCUUUUUUCCUAAAAUGUCAUAGAUAAAAAUUCUAAUUUAUUUCCAAAUAUUUACACUUUCAGAUUUUUCUUUUCUCAAACAAAUUAAUGUAAAUAUACUUUUAUUUUUUUAUUUUCUUCAUUUUUAUCUUAUUUCUUUUUCUUUCAUGAACAAUUUCAUCAUCCAAAUUUUCUUUAAUCUUUUUUAUCAUUAAAGCAAUUGAGAUAAGUUAAAGAAAAUAAAAUUCUCACAUAAAUGGAAAACAUUUUAAGCAUAUACUAGAAACCUUAUAAUAAUUUCUUUUCUCCCUUCCUUUCUUCUAUCUUCUUUUUUUCUUUUACGUUUCUUUUUCAUCUUCUGUACUUUAUUAUACAUAAGUAUGGAUCCCUCUAAUCAUUAAAAAUAAGAAAAAAUUUUACAAAUUAUAUAUAUGUAUAUAUAUAUAUAUAUUCCAGAUCAUCAAACAAGAAAAACUUGAAGUUGUUUCAUUUUUAUAAUUGUUUCAUGUUUCUCCUCACAUUCGCAGAUGUAAGCAUUGCAUUCACUUCAGAUUGCAUCAUAGAUUCAUGAAAAACACAACAAAGCAAAAGAACUAAUUUAUUUCUUGUAUGGAAAGAUGCAAACUUUUUUUUUUGUCCUUUUAGGUAAAUUACCAUACAUGAGCUCUGCUUCAAAUCUUGAGAAGCUUUACUUAUGGGACAAUAAUCUCAGUGGAAAUAUUCCUGGCUCUAUCUCCAAUGUUUCUAAGCUCAGAAUCCUAGAAUUACAAAAUAACUCUUUCUUUGGCCUUAUUCCAGAGACACUUGGCAAUUUGAGGUUCCUUGAGCACUUGCUCCUUUGGUCGAAUCAUUUGACCACCAAAACUUCAACUCAUGAGUGGAGCUUUCUCAAUUCCUUGGCAAAUUGCAAGUAUCUAAGCAUUUUAGACCUAUCAUUCAACCCGUUGAAUGGCAUCCUUCCAGCUUCUAUCUCAAAUCUUUCCACAUCACUUCAACAAUUUAGUGUCAUUGAUUGCAAAAUUAGAGGCAGCAUUCCCAUGGAAAUUGGUAGCUUAAGCAACGCUAUAUUGUUAGAUCUUUCCUCUAAUAAAUUGAGUGGACCUAUUCCAACAACAGUAGGAAGGCUAAAAAAUCUCCAACUUUUGAAUCUUUCUGGAAAUAAGUUACAAGGCUCUAUCCCACAUGAUCUUUGUGGUUUGAAGGGAUUGUUCAAAUUAUCAUUAGGUGCAAAUGAGCUUGAUGGACUUUUACCGACAUGUUUGUGUGAUUUGACUUCUCUGAGAUAUCUAUACUUGUUCUCCAACAAAUUGCAUUCGCAAAUACCUUUAAGUUUUUGGAGCCUUAAAGAUAUCUUAGAAGUAGACUUGUCAUCAAACAAUCUUAGCGGUUCACUUCCACUUGACAUUGGAAAUUUAAAGGUACUUAUCUCUUUGAAUUUGUCAAGGAAUUUAUUAUCAAGUGAUAUUCCAUCCACAAUUGGAAGUCUCCAUGAUCUACAAGUUUUGAAUCUUUCCAGAAAUAGAUUACGAGGCCCUAUUCCAAAAUCAUUGGGUGACUUGAUGAGUUUGAAAAGCUUGGAUUUAUCUAACAACAAUCUCUCUGGAGUUAUUCCCAAGUCUUUGGAAAAACUUUAUGAUCUCAAUUAUUUUAAUGUGUCUUUCAAUAGAUUGGAAGGAGAAAUACCAAGUGGAGGGCCUUUUCUGAACUUCACAGCCAAAUCAUUCAUGAAAAAUUAUGCACUAUGUGGUUCACCUAGACUACAAGUCUCACCUUGCAAAAAUAAAAUCCAUCCAAAAUUCAAGAAGACCGCUCUUCAUGCUUUGAGGUAUGUUUUACCAACAUUUGCUUCAAUAAUAAUAGUUGUAGCUGUCAUAAUUGUCUACAAAAAAGGGCAGCGGGGGAAUAUGAAUUUGGCAACGGUUGAAGAUUUAAUUCCUCUCAAGAAAAGGAGAAGAGUUUCGUAUAAUCAACUAUUGCAAGGGACUGGUGGAUUUAGUGGGAAUAACUUACUUGGUUCAGGAAGUUUUGGCUCUGUAUACAAAGGAAUACUUUCAGAUGGAACAGAAGUCGCAAUAAAAGUUUUCAAUUUGCAAAUAGAUGGAGCAUUUAAGAGUUUUGACAUUGAAUGUGAAGUGAUGAGCAAUAUCCUUCAUCGCAAUCUUGUCAAGGUUAUUACUUGUUGUUCAACUAUUGAUUUCAAAGCCUUAGUGCUUGAGUUCAUGCCUAAUGGGAGCCUUGACAAAUGGUUAUAUUCUUACAACUAUGUAUUGGAUAUCCUACAAAGAAUCAACAUAAUGAUAGAUGUUGCAUCGGCAUUAGAAUACCUUCAUUUGGGACAUCCGAUUCCGAUAAUCCAUUGUGACCUAAAACCAAGUAAUGUCUUAUUGGAUGAGGACAUGGUUGCACACGUGGGAGAUUUUGGAAUUGCCAAGCUAUUGGGAGAAGGAGAUUCCACCAAACAAACAAUGACACUAGCUACUGUUGGCUAUAUGGCGCCAGGUGAUUUUUUUUUUUUUCUCUAUUCCAAGACGAGUAGAUGUUAAUAUUUUAUCAUUUUAUUGAUGAUUAAUGAUGCCUGAAUACAUGAGAUCAUUUUAAUGAUUCAAUUAUAUUUAAAAUACAGAAUACGGAUCAAUGGGAAUUAUUUCAACAAAGAGUGAUGUCUAUAACUAUGGUAUUCUAUUAAUAGAGACUUUCACAAGAAAGAAGCCCACAGAUGAAAUUUUUGUUGGAGAAAUGAGUAUAAAGCAUUGGGUGAAAAGCUCAUUAUCUAAUGAAAUAAUUGGUGUAAUAGAUUCUAGUUUAGUGCAAGAAAUGGAUGAAUAUUUUGUUAUUAAGGCAAAUUGUAUAUCAUCUAUUAUGAGAAUAGCUUUGGAUUGUUCAGCUGAAUUACCUGAAGAUAGAUUAGAUAUGAAGAAUGUUGUCUCCAUGCUGAAGAAUAUCAAAAGAGAAUAUCUAAACAACAUUACGCAGGAUGAAUAAAUAUGGUAAGAAAUGCAAUUAUAUAUAGUUUAAGCUUAUAUAAAAGUACAUAGAAUAUAUUUAUCUAAUUUUUUUUAAGAAGGUAUUCCAUUAAGCUUUAUAUUUUUUUGCAGGUUAAGGGUACUACUACCAUAAUAUGUAUUUUGGUUCAAUAAUCAAGGUACUUUCAUCACUUUUGAAUUUUUAUCUGUAUAUUUAUUUAUUAACUUUGAACUCUUUAUUAAAGUAAUUUUUUCUUAAUAACAUUUUAAAUUUUACAGUAAAAACUAGAGUUUUAAUUGCAUUAAAUCAUUAAAGAGUUUAAAUAAUUAUAAGAUUUGCAUUGCUGGUGAAUUUCAAUAACUUCUAUGUCUAAGUAAGGAGGCAAGGUAGUUGUAAACAUAUAAAAAGGAUUUUCUUGAUUAAUAAAUAUCUUUUUCACCUGGAUAUGUGGUUACAUAUAUAGGAAGUUAGGCUCAUUUUGUAUAUUUGUGUUUUCUUUUAUUUUUUUAUUAAAUUCAUAUUAUUUCUCAGUACAUAUAAUUAAUUUGUAUAUGUUAUGUAUGAUACGUAACAUAUAUAUAGAUUAUCGUUUCUAUAUAUUUAACCAUAACAUAAAUUAUCAUGAAGAGAGCCAAUAAAUUAAAUUAAUUUUUAUUUAAUUAUGGUAUUUAUUAAUAUAAUCAUUGAUUAGGAAUACUUUUUCGCUACAUCUCUUUUUUAUUUCAAUGAUAUAAUAACAAUAAGUAUAUAAUUUUACAUAAUAAUCAAUUUGUAGUAAUAUAUUUUCUUGUAUGAAAAUUAUGACUCAUAUAAUUGCAUUUUUAAGUAAUUUGGAUUAGAUGAAAAUAUUGGUUCGUAUCUUUUAUAAAUAUAUAUAUGUAUAUACAUGUGUAUAUAUAUUUUAGGUGAUUUAUGAUUGAGUAUGGAAUUAUAUGUCUUUUUAUAAUUAAUUAUUUUUUAAUUGGUAUUUGGGUAAUAACUUAUUAAUGAAUUUUAAGUGAAAUAAAAAUUAUUAGAAUUAUUAUAUAAUUAGUAUGUAACAUUUCAUUGUUUUUUAUUUUUCUAAAAUAUAAUAUUGUUAUAUACGAUAUUAGUUAAUACACAUCAUUUUUCUAUUAAGAAUAUCUUUAGUUAAGAAGGUGAUAAUAAAAAUGUAUUAAGGAAUUUAGAAGAAUAAAAAAAUUUGAAAAGUUAAUAAAAUAAAUUACUCUAGAAGAAAUCUAUUUUAUCAAUCCAUCCCUCCUUACAAGGUUACUUUCUUAAGAGACUCUGAAAAUAUAUUAUUUAUCAUUCAAGUACUUAAAUUAUUUGUGUUUGUUAAAUAAAAUAGUUGUAUUAUUCUAAUGUUCACAACAAUUUUUUAUUAAUUUAAUUAGCUAGGAAAUUAUAAUAAAUUUCAUUAAUAGAGAAAUAUCAUAAUGUUUGUAAAUAAUAACUAGAAAAUAUAGAUGAAUAUAUUAAUAUUAAGCAUAUUGUUAUAAAUGCAAAGUUUAAAACUUUCUAAAAAAUAAAGUUUUGAAUAAUUAUUAUAAAUCAAAACAAAGAUAAAUGUAAUACACAUCCACUCACGGAUACAUUAUACAAAUAUAGAUGUUUAAUUUUUUAUAUAAAUGGUUAUUACUAAAACUCCACAAAAAUGUAUAAAAUAAUAUUUCUAUCAUUUAAUAUUAAUUAAUAAACACGUUUUCCUUACUAACGAACAUUUUAAUUAGGAAGCAAAUACUCCAAUGCAUUUUCAAUUGUAAUGAAAUUCAAAAGCGCCUAAAAGUAAAUUAGAAAUCAAUUUUCGUUAAUCAAUGAUCAUUACUAGCUAUUAUUUUUUGUUUUAAUCUUAUAACAAUAAUAUUAUUGUUUAAACUCUUAAUAACUUUUGUUUGUUGAACACUGAAAUAGCUAUUUUAUUUUGUUUGUUGAACACUGAAAUAUAUAGCUUUUUUUUUUUUUGCUUAAUAUGCAAAACAUGUUUUAUUUAUUUUAAUAAAUUAACUAUAUUAAUUACUGUUUAACAUGGAUGUUAAUUACAAUAUUGUUAAUAUUGAACAAAUGUUUACAAAAUUAAAAUAAUAUUCAUAUACGAAUUUACCAUAUAACAUAUAUAUAUAUUUAUUGAAAUUAAACAAUUUCAAAGAUAAAAGCAUGAAAUGACUUUACCUAAAAGUGAAUGUUAAUUUAUUAAUUAUUUGCUUUGGUAAAAUAGAUGUUAUUAAUCACAUAAGCCAUUAUUGAAUUUUUAUUGAUUUAGUUUCCUAUCGAUUUAUAAUUUUAAGCUUUUGAAAUGUUUAGAUUAGUCAAUCAUCAUUUAUACAUACUCAUCUAAGUUUAUAAAUUAUUGUCUCCUAUUUUUAUGUGAUAUGAUGUUAUUAAUUUAUCAACUAUCAGUAUGGGCUUUUUUUUCUAUUAUUCACAAACCAAUUUAGCAAGUAUGAUGAAAAAGAAUAAUAAUAGAGGUAGGUGCAAGCUUCUUGAAGUUCAUCUUUUUUCUUUCACUUGAUUAUUGUUGGAAAUUGGUUUUCAAAAUAUGAAUGCAAGCUUCUUGUCCAAAAACAAAAAAAAAAAGAAAAAAAGGGAACUGAUGCAAGUUUUGUAACUUUAUUGCAGUAUGUAACUAACGAAUUCAGGGUGGACUAGAUUGUGCUGUUUCUUCUCUUAUUGUGAUUGCUUAACGCUUGAGCGAGAGAUUUAUGGUGUGUUUGUGAAUUGGAAGUUCACCUUCCAAUGGCGUGGAAUGUCUAAGAAAGUUCAUGAAAUCAUGGCUAAAAGUGGUGUGGUGUUUCUUCUUGAGAAAUGCAAUCAUCCUUCUUGCAAUGAUUUUUUUUUUUUAUUUUCUAUUGGAGGAACAUUAGAGUGAUAUGUUUUUAUUUGGAAUCCAUAGUUUUAUUGAAUCAUAUUUUGAAAAUAAACUAUGCAAAGUUUAUUUAACUUCAUGCCAAUGGUUUUCCUGUUACUUUAUUCUAUGAAGGUGUCAAUAUUUUUUAUUCAAUAAAUGGUGAGUAGCUAAAAUACAAGUAACUCAACUGAGAACAUAUGAUAUAAUUGUUUAUAUUUUUGUAUUCAGGAAGUUGUCAAUUUUUCUCAUUUUAGAAGAAUUAGUUAGUUUCUUUUCUUAAUAUAAUUGAACUCUUGAUUCCAAGUAAGGAUUUGAAGUUAAAUAGUCCAAACACAAUUUUUGCUACAAUGUUUUGGUGCACAACAAUUGCUAAUCAUUUUUCUAUAAAUUUCCUCAUGUUUUCAUUUGUUAAUUAUUAAUUUUUUAUAGAAUUAUUUAAUAAAUUGAAAACAAACCUUUGAAAGGAAAAUUGUCAAUGUCAUCAUUUGGUUUAAAAUAAAAAUUGUUCAUGAAAAUAUCACUAUUUUUUUUUUUUUUGUUUUCAUAAAUGAUAGGGAGAGGAAAAAGUGUAAAAUUAAUGAUUUGAAAAUAAUGGGAAUUUUUUGUACUUUUUAAUUAAUGAUUUGAAAACAACGUUUAAAAAAAUAGAAAUAAAUUUUAUUCAAAAAAACUUUUGAUAUCCUAUUAACUAAUGAGUUUGAUUAAAAAUAGGUAGGAAAAGAAAAGUUAUACAAAUUAUAUGUAUUAAUUCCAAUUUUUUCAUAUUUUAUUUAGUUAAUUAUUUGAAAAUAAAUUUUUGAAAUAAAAUUAUAAUUUAUUAACUAAUGUCUUGAAAAUAAAAUUUUGAAAGAAUAAAAAAAACAAAUCAAUUUUAUUUAGAAAACUUUUCAUAUUUCACUAACCAUUAAAUCGAACUAAAAUGAUGGGGAAAUAUUCCAUAAAAUCCGAAGUAUAUUUAAAGAUCUUUUCAAUUUGAAGAAAGUUUGUAUCAUCCAAUGUAUUUAGACUUUAUUGUCAAAGGAUGGCUCAAUUUGGACUGCUUGGAUCAAGGCCUAUUCUCUUAAAGGAGAAAUUAUUUGGCAGGUGUUUGAAACUCAAAAUUGUAGUUGAAGUUGGAAAAACUAUCAUGGCUACCCUCAGUUUACAACCCUAAAUCUUAUAAAAAAAAUCAAAUGCAUAACUAAUCCAAACCUUUGAAAUUCAAUAUUUCUUUAAAUCUAAUAUCAAACCCAAAAAUUUGAUACAAAAUAUCAAACUUAGAACAACUCUACCAAUAUUUAAAGCCCUUGUUUAUGGUUUAGCAUUUUGAAAAUUUACAUUUUGUUCUUUUUCUCCUGCAAAUAUGUCUAACAAUUUUACACAAAUCAAAACUUAGAAAUCAACUCAAAACAAAGGUAAUAUAAAAACCCUAUAAUUAGCAUUACCUUUUUCUUGAUUAGAGAUUUUGGUUGCUACAAUGGUAGUCUCAAAGGAGAAUAGUGAUGGCUUACUUCUUGUACUCAUCGAUCAAGCCAUCUCGUAGGUGGUGAUAGUGAAAUAUAUUUAUUACCAAAAAAUUUGAAAAUGAGAAAAAGAAGAAAAGAAAGAAAGGGAAAAAAAAAAGGGAAAACGAAGGGAAAUUGAGCCAUCAACAAUUGUUUUGAGGCCACCCACGAAGAAAGACAACGCGAGAGAGAUUCAGAUUUUCAGACGAUGUAAGAAAUAAAAUUAGUCAAAUUGAUAACAUUUAAAUAUUUCUCGUAUAAAGGUUAAGUUUUUAUUCUACCAUGAGCAAUUUCUCGAGGUAAAUAUUUUAUUUUAUUGAGGCCCAAAUCAAUUGGACUUGGCCUUAUUUGAAAUCCAAUUAUUGAAUUUUAGAUUUUAGACUUUUUAUUUUAUUUUUUCGUAUUCUUAUUAUCCUUAUUUAUUUUAUUUUUAUUAUUAUACUAUUUAUCUUGAUUUUAUCAUUAAUUAUCUGAUUAUCUUUUAAAAAAAAUUGAUAAUUUGGAAGUUUAAAAUGAUGUUAUCUGGGUUAAGAUGCUAGCUUCAUCAGAAGCAGUUUGAGAUUAGAUUUACUAUAGGGAUAAUCUUUAAUUUUAAAGAAAUCUAUUCCUAAGUAAGUUGAAACUCUCGUGAUCUUAACUAUAAAUAAACUUUCAAUUCACAACAACUAACAAAAAAAAAAAAUCACAGAGAAAGCAAUCAACAGAGAAAAUCAGAGGGCAACACAGGGGAGAUAGGAGCAAAUCCCCAUUUUGUUCGGCCGCUCCCAAUUGCCAGUCACCACCAUCAGUCAUCCACUACCUAAACCAGCAACCGAAGACUACCACUACCUUUUCUUGCCCAAAUAGUAACCAUCGAUCCAAAAUCCAACAAAUAAUCAAAACACAAUAACCAGAGUCAAGCAUCAAAAAUAGCCACAGAGAUAGAAUCAACAAUCGACAACAAUCGAAAGACGAAAACAAAAGAUAUUCUUCUAGCAGCGGUUUUCGCUUUGGGAUUCACUUUUAGUUAGGCACCUUUUGGUAUUCUUUCAAACGGCAAAAGAAAGGGGAAGGAUUUGGAGGAGUUUUUCAAUGAUCCGAGUAGCUGGGAUUAGGAAUUCCAAGAAGUGGUAGAAUGGUCUUUGUGUUUAAAUUUGCAAGGUGUUGUGAGAUUCCAAAAAUAAUCAGGGAAGUGACAACUUAUCGGCAAAAAGGACGAGAAAACAGCAAAAACUGAGAGCUGUGUUGCUGAAAUGAGAAGUUGGGCUUUAUCCUUUUGCAAUAAAGAAUAAAGAAAGGGGAAGGAAUGUUCUAGAACUUGAAGAUCUGGUCAAGUCCAAAAAGCUUAUAUUUUGAGUGUAACCUGAGGAGGAUUCAAGAACCCACAAUUUGAAGCCUCGAACUCCAGCCCUACUUUUUAGCUUAGGCUGGCCUGCGUUGGAUUUGAGUUGUAACUGAAAUUUCAGGUUUUCAUCUUUUUUUUUUUUCCUUAUUUAAUUUUCUGGUUCUUUUUUUUUUUUAUCAUUUAUUUACUUUGUUAUACAUUUUAUAAAGCAUUCAUUCUUAAACUAGAAAAAUGUUUAGUUGCUUCACACUUAAAAAACUAAAAUAUGGUAGAAUAAAAUAUAUUUAUACUAGUAGUUUUCUUUAAUUAAAAUAUUAUCAGAAUCAUGUAUUUCAUAUAAAUCUUGAAGAUAGAUAACCUUUUUUUUUGAAUCAUGUAAUUUAAUUCAAACUUUAAUUAUAAGUGAAUUUUUUUCUAAGGAAUUUACUUUUCAGAAAUUUUUAGAUAAGCAAUUUCUUUUAAAUUCUCCAUGGUGGAAAGUUUAGUUGAAAACCUAAAAAAAUAAAUUUAAUUUCUCGUCAAUUGAACACCAAAUAUAAAAAAAAAAUGAAACAAAAACUCUAAAAUAAAUGGCAAUUAUCCUAAUGAGAUAAUUUUAGAAAUCAAGAAUGGUUGAUUUUUAGAGAUUUUUAAGUGAGAAGUUUUCUUAUAAAUUCUCUAGAAUGGUGGACAAUUUAUAUGAAAAUGUUAAUAAAAAUAAUUUAUGAAAAUAAGAAUAAAGAAUAUAAUCCUAAAAGAUAAAUAAAAUUACCAACUAGUAAAAUUUUAGAACUCAAGAAUUGUUGAAUUUCUAGAAUUUUUUUAAAUGAGAAGUUUUUUUUUAAUAUCUCAAACUGGAGAUUUAGAUAAAAUUUUCAAUAACAAUAUUGACAUUUGCUUUAAAAUCAUAAAAAAUUUUAAAAAUAAUUUUAGAAAGUUUUAGAAAUAACAAAAAUAUAUCUUAAAAAAUAGAAAAAUAAUAAAAUAAAUUUGAUGUUGGGAUUCUAAGAGAUCAAGAAUGGUUGAUCCUCUAAAAAAUUUCAAGAUGAGAAACUCUAGAUAAUAAAUUUAUUUCUAAAAUUUUAUCGUAAUGAUGGUAAAAUUAGAUGAAUUUAUAAUAAUUAUAUUUUUAAAUGUAGUAAAUAAAAAGGAUAGAAAUGAGAAGUUUUGGAAAUUGAUUUUUUUAAAAAAAUUUUAGGUAAAAAAAGUAUUUCUAAAAGUUUUUAAAAUGGUGAAAAAUUUAGAUUUGUCUCCAUAGAAUAGAAAUUUAGAUACAAAAAAUUUACACAAAAUAAAAAGAAUAAAUUUUGUGGAUGAAAUUUCUAAUAAUUACAAAUGGAUGAUUAUUUAAACAAUUUCUAGGUGAAAAAAUAUUUCUAAUUUUGACCUAAAUGAUGGAAGAAUUAUAUAUAUUUUCAAUAAAAGUAAAAUAAAAUAUAAAUGAUUAAGUUUUUUUUUUUAUGACAGAACCUCUUCAAAAAAAUAAAUGUGAUUUUUAAAUACUCCUGUUGAGGAAGUAUUUUUUAAGAAUUCUGCCAAAUUAAUGAAAAAAUUUUAAAAAUUAUUUUUAAUAUUUAAAUAUUAAAGUUUAAUAAAAAAUCAUUAGAACCAAUAAUCCUUAAGAUAAUUUAAAAUUAAAUGGUAUCAUCUUAGGAUGGGAGUUAUGAGGAUGCUAUAAUUUUUUUCGUAUGUAAUCGAACUCUCGAACCCUAUUCUAAUUAGUAAACCAAAACAUUUUUUUAAAGACCCUUAGUCAAGUUUAAAACAUCCUUAAAAUGAAUAUAAAUAGAUUCACCAAAGUGAUCAAUCAUAUUUAAUCAAAAAAUAUUGAUGAUGACUCUUUUAGUUGUAUUUAGCGAUAAAUUUACGAAUUUAUAUAUUAUGACACUUGGUAAAUAAUCUUUAAAUCCAAUAUAAAUCCCAGACUUUGGAAUGGGAAAGCUUCGCUUCAUUCUAAACUUUUAUAUAAAAAACAUUUUGUGGAACUAAUAUGUGACUUAUUGCACAUUUUGAAAGUUUGGGGGUACAUUAUACAAUUUUUUAGUUUAUAUAUCAAUUUAUACGUUUUAAUACAUAGUUCAUGAACUAUACUAGUAAUUAAUUCAUUCCAAAAAGUGUCUAUUUCCCUUUUAAGAGCUCCAAAUUGGUGUUGGGCAGGGUAGGUUUAAGUUCCUUACCUCUGUCUAAAAUGGCACAGGCCAGAUUUGCUUGCCAGUCGGAAAAACCAACAGGGCAAUAAAAGAAGAAAAAAAAGGAAAAAAGAAAAAGAAAAAAAAAAGAAAACGAAAUCUAAUGUUUUUAAACAAUGGGGUCGGUAUGAUGAAUACAUUGCUUCAGCUUUAGACAAGUAUCCAUAUUGCAAUGAUGCUUUCUAAGGACAAGACUAAAGUCGCAAUGAAUUUUUUUUUAUAUGUCAACACAAAUGGACUGGAAAUCUUGAUGGAUGGUAAACCUUCCGUAACUUUUCCCAUAUAGCUUAGAGAUGAGAAUUGUCCUUGGGUGUUAAGUUCUUCAAUCUUUGCUAUCCAAACGUUUGAUUGAGAAAAUCAGUGUUUAUCUUCUUUUUUUUUUUUUACCGAAAAGGAGUUCCUUCAAAGGUUUGUGACCCCUUAUGAGGAUCUUUCUUUAUUAAAGGUAUAUGAGGAGAAGCUAGGCCUUUCAAGAUAGAUUGUACAUAAGCUGAAUAAGUGAAUUUUCAUAUCAUUUUUUUAAAGGCUUAAUCUCAGUGAUAAUUUUUCUUUUCAUGCCUUUGAAAUUCAAAAAGAAAAUUGUGGGCUGAAAAAGAACAAAGUGAUAUGCAUCUGUCUUCCAUUUCGGGAUUUUAAUGUUAUGAUCUUAUUUUGUAUGAGCUGCAGCCACUGCUUUUUUAGUUUGAUCAAGUCCACUAAUGCAUUAUCCUUUUUGGCCUACAUGUAAUAUGAUGGAGAUUCAAGAUAAAACGAAAAAGUAUGAAAUAAUUUACCUUUUUUGAGUUAGUUUUUUAUACUGAAUAAAUGACCAGAGUAACUGUUUGAAGAGGAAAAACACUAUUUCCUUGUCAGAAGGGCAGAAACUGAAUUUUGAGUGCUGCAAAAACUAAAUUAUCAAAAGCACAAAUUAUUAUCAUCCUGAUUCCAUGUCUAUCCAGGGGUUUUCAGAACCAUGAAUUCUUCAUUAGACAUUCCAGAUGGCAACCUCAAAAACCCAUCUUAUAGUUUCCAUUCUAGUGUCCAAGUCCCUGCCACCGUGCAUAUAAGGUCUCUUUUUUUUUUUGCAUUUGGGAUAAGAGAAGGAGUUGUAAGUACUGAAAUUCAAACCACAAACCUAUUAGAUGUCAUUUUUUGAGGAUAACUGCAUGAACCAUCUACCAGCUUCUAUAUAAGGUCUUAUUUGUUCCAAAGCUUUUCAAAGAAAGGCUGACAUUAGACAUUUGUAAAUUGGGUGGAGUAGCAACUGAUAUUAAAAACGGGUUGCACUUUCCACCAUGGUGGCUAUGGAGCUGACCAUCAUUCUUUAAUAGCACUGAGGAGAGCAUUGCACAUUUUACAACAUAAUGUGAUGGAAAUAUUCAUUUCUAUGGAGAUGUAAAUCCAAACUGUGGUGCCUUGUGCUAGUUCAGUAAUGUCUCCAUUCUUUUAGUCCUAUGGGAUUAUGCGAAGGGAGAUGGGCUUGUGAUAGAACGAGAGGAUGAUUUCCAAGGACAUGCAUGCUCUACUUGGUUCAGAAAAAAAGGAGAUGAAGGGAGACAUCCCUGUGUUUUUAAAAUUUUGAUGUAAGUUCUUUAUUACUUAAUUAUCUGCUACUGGUUCUUCAUUGUUUUAGGGCAAAGAAUUAAAUCAUGAGAUAUAUCACCUGUAAUUAUUGCAUUAUAAUUCAAUGAUGAUUUAAACUCAAAUUAACUCACACUCGAAAUGGCUAGACUUUAAAAUAAAUGGUUAGAAUUAAAUUGGAAGGUUUUUUUUUUUUUUUGUUGAAAUUAUACAUUUUUUACUUUUAGAUAGAAAGAAAAUAUCAAAAGUCAAAUGUGAUCAAUUAAUUAAUUUAAUUUAAUAUAUCAAAUUUUAUUAAUUUAUUAAUAAGUAAUAAAUAUAAACAAUUAAAUUUUAAUUUUAAUAAAAUAUAAUUUAGAGGUAUAAUAAUAUUAUUAUAUUUAUUUAUUUUAAUUAUUAAAUAUAAUAAUCGUAUAAUAUAUAAGUAAUAUUAAGAUUAGUUCUAUUAAACAAAUAAACUUCUUAAGUCUUUUAUGAAUAAUUUUUUUAAAAAUAUAUAUAAAACAAUAGUUUGUAAUAUAUAUACAAUUAUAUUUUUAUUAUUUUUAUUAUAUAUAAAAUUAAAACUCAAAAUAAAAUGUUACAACUUAAAAAUUAAAAAUUAAAAUCCAGCCAAACGAGUCAAGUCGUGUUAUACCAUGCUACUAUCAAAUAACAGUAGAUAAUUUUAGCAUCUUCAUUUUUUAUUACACAUUUGUACUAUAUACUAUUCAAAUUUUCAAUUAUUUAAAUUAUAUUAAUAUUAUGUCUAAGUAAUUUUGAUAUUUUUGAAUUGUUUUAAGAUUAGAUCAUUAUGUUAAUUAAGUAAUCAAUAUUAAUAGUAUUUUUUUAUCUUAUCGUACUAUUAGUGAUGAUUUUGAAAGUUAAUUUUUUUGAAAUUAUUUAGUUAUUUGUUCAUUUUUAAUUCAUAUAUAAUAAAUAACGUGGACAAGUAUGAUUACAAAAUAUCGAUAUAAAUUACUAAUAAUAAAUAUUGAAUAUUAAUAAAUUAAAAGUUAUUAAUAAAUUUUUAUCAUGAAUAAAAUUAAUUUUAUCAUGAAUAUUAAAAUUAAAAUUUUUUAUUUUUAAUGUAAAAAAUAAAAUAAUAAUAAAUAAUUUUAAAAGAUAAAAAAAUAAAAAUUUUAGAUAUUAAAAAUAUAAAAUUUUGAAACAUUCAUAAAAAAUUUAAACAAAAAAAAAUAGAACAAAAAGAGCAAAUGAUAAGGCCAGGACACGCCAUUCAUGCUAAAAAUUAGUUUGUAACAUUAAUACUCAGAUUACAAACUGCAAAAUUAGUUUGUAACACAAAUAUCUCGAAGAAAAUGAUUCCCAGUGAACCAAUCAUGCUCAAAACCGUUAGAAAAUUCAAGUUUCACCAAAAGCUGUGAAUUUCGCUAAAAGAAUUCGUUAAAAAAUUUAAAAUUCAUUGAAAAAUUUAAAAAUUUCUAGAUUCUUGCAAAAAAAGGGCCAAAAGUUCAACUUGGAUCUUUGCGCCUCUUUAAUCCCUUAAUAACACUAAUUUUUCCAAAUUAAACUGAUUCAAAUAACUAAAAUUGCAAAAAAAAAAAAUUCAAAUUAAAAACCCUAUUGUGGAAAAUUUUUUUUACUUGCUUUCUACCUCUGCGAUUGCCUUUACUUGUUGUGUAUAUUGUGUUCAAUUAUUGUUGCUUAUAUAAGCCUUUAGUCCCAGCUCGUUUAGAAUCCAAAUCGAAACAAAAUGUUGAUUGGGUUAAUUUUAAAAAUUAUCAUAUCCUUUAUUCUUAAAAGAUUCAACUUAUCUUCACAAAAAUCAUCAUCAAAAUUCAUCUGAUUUCCUUCUCUUUAUUUAUCAUUUUGUUUAUCUUCCCGACCUUUCAAUUUCAAUUUUUUUUUUUACAGAAGAGAUAAAGAAGAUAAAAAAUAAAAUUCAUAAAAGAAAAAGGAAUUAGGCUUGGUUUAGAACCUAUCACAGCCCAAGAAUUCCAACAAGGGCCAACUUUAUUCCCAAUAAUCCAACAAGAGCCACAAUGUUAUGCCCCACAAUCAACUACCACUAUAACUCAAGGAGUCAAUUGAAAGCGCAAAAAAAAAAAAAAAGAGAAAAAAUAAAUAAAUAAAUAUACAAAUAAAAACGAAAUUUGGAAUUUACAAAAGAUUUCAAAUUAAAUUGGACAUCUACAAUUGCCACCUUAGGAUGUUGCUUCCAUCAAACCUGUCCAAGAUUUAAAAGUUGGUUGUCAUCUCUUUUAUGGAAUUAAAUUUGUCCAUAUUGCUUGAAACAAAACCUUAAGAAUGUUAGAAAAAUAACGUAAUAUACAGCUAUAACAUACAAUUUGUAAAUACUUCAAUGUUUUGACAACUUAAGAACUUCUUAUAACCUUCUUGAUGAAUAGUUAGAGUUGAGCAAUCAUGGACCUUCAAAUAUGAACAAAAUUACUUCAAAGUGUGCUACAAAAUGUCACUUUUCUUAAUGCUUAUAUCACCCUAACUAGUUAUAGCAUGCAAAAGGGAUGAACCAAAAUGGCUCUGAGAUAAAGUGAAGCUUUGUUUGUUUAUACUUUGCACUAGUAUAACAAACCACUAAACACACUUUAGUAGAAACGAAAAUAUCUUAUCUUAACAAGGUUUUCUGCUGUAAACAAUGUCAAAGCAAUAAGCUUUUAAUUGAGAAAAGAUUAGGAGAAAGAAGAAAGUAAUUCUGAAUUGAAUUAGAUUACAAAAUGAACUCACAUCAAUAUCUAUUUAUAAAGAUUGAAUCCUAAGAUUGUUAUUUUUUUAUUAUAUUGUUUCAAUUAAAGAUCAAUUCCUUUUGAUUAUAAAAAUGCAUCUUUGAGAGAGUACAAACAUAUUUAUUCAUUUGAAUAAUCAAACAUUUCAUACUAAGAGAAACCAUUUGUCCUAUUUUUGGAAAUCACAAUUUUUCACGCAAAGUAGUCUAUUGCUCCAAGAAAGCAAUCCAUUGCUUCUUUGUGUUUUCAAUUUUUGAAAUGCUUUUCGUAGUAGGGUGGUCGACUCCUCUAUAAAAUAAUCGACUAUUUCUUCAUAUAAAAUGCAUUCUCCAAGUGAACAGAUGACUCCUUUCAAUUUCCAAAAAGGUUCCACAUUUGGUCUCUUAUAGAGUAGUCGACUCAUCUUUAAUAGCAAUUAAAUGCAUUUAGCAUAAAUAAAUUCUCAUAAGACUAUCAUCUACUGGCAGUCGAUUGGAUUAGGGUUUGGAAUCAGUCGACUCACUUUUUAGACAUACCAAUCAAUUGCUCUAAGCUAAUAGUCGGCUACUAUUUAUAUAGAAUCUAAGUUUAGUUUAUGUUUGACAAAGCAGUCGACUUUAUGCCCUUGGCAAUCAACUGCUUUUCCUAAAAGUCUAAGGCAAUGGACUCUCCUGAGCAUGGCAGUCAAUUGCUUACAUAUAUAGUCCUUUUAACAUGAUUAUUUUAAGUAUAUCUUUUAUCUUAGGAACCAUACCUUAAGUUAUUUACUAACUUAAUUUAUUUUUGAUUCAGUUAUUUACAUAAUCAUAUUUUCAUAUUUUAAAAAUAUUUUCAAAUUGGGAGUGCCAUUUACAUAUAUUUCAUACAAAUAAAUUGUACACAUAUGCAUUAUCUUUUUUCUUUCAAAGUUAUUCUUUUUAAUGUAAUUCUUAAAUUCUAAUAUCUAUAUGAAAUUUGUGUAUAUGUUACGUGUAUAUAAUCUUUUCCUUAAGUAAUAUGAUAUCAUAUUUAAUUAGUACACAUCAUGUAUUUUUCGUUGACUCAUAAUUCGUAAAAAAAAAAUAAGUUAGUAGCUCGGCAGUGAGAUUAAUAAAAACUAAAACAUAUAUAAAAUAAUUUUUGCUAUUUAUGAAUUUUAUUUAUUAUCAAAACCCAUUAUACUUUCAUAUUAGUGACUCUAAUUAUGCCUGCAAAAAUUAUAUUAAAUUAAUACACAAAAAAUAAAAUAAAAAAACUGUCUAAACAUUUUAAUUCGUCCGUGUGAAAUGUCCUCUCUUUAGUUUGGAUUCAUUUGGUUUCAAUUGUUAAUAGCCCUUUCUCUUUUGGUGUAGGCACUUUUCUUUUUACUUAAAAUCAUUAAAAAUUUACUAAUUAGAAGUUGAGUAUUUUUCUUUUUCUUUUCCUACGUGCAGUGCAUAAAAUUUUUAUUCUUCAAUGGGUGUAGUUCCAUUUUAUUUCUUCGAAACAGGUAUUUUAAAUUAUGGGAGCAUCAUGUAAUGUAAUUAAUCCUUUUUUUUUCUACAAGCAUUAUGGCAGUGUUUACACGGCAAAUUGUCAACGUGGCAAUGAGACCAUUUUCUCUUCUUCCAAUUAUCAUAAUUUUUUUGGUUAAAAGUUUCCAAAAAUUAACGCUAAUAUUAAUUAUUUAAAAUAAUAAAAUAAAAUCGUUAAAUUAAAUACAUUAAAAAAAAAUAAAAUGAACUCUUCUGCCAUAUUGAUAAUAAAGAUUUUAAUUUGCUUUGCUUAAAAAAAAUAUUAGAAAUGAAAAGCUUUUACACCCAACCUCAAAUAUUUAAUUACCUAUCUAGGGUACGACAAUAGAAUGGUCUGCUUUGAAGUGUGUAAAACCGAGACUAGUUGAUUGAUAGUUGCGUUUGGAAAACGACGAUUAGUUUUCUUGACUUAAAAUUUCUUAGUCUGCUUCGAUGUUUGUGAAAAGCAGGAUGAUUUGAUUAUCCAUGCACUUAGAACACGAUAGCUAUCUUGACUUAAAAUUUCUUAGUCUGCUUUGACGUUUGUGAAAAGCAGGUUGACUAGAUUAUUCAUGCACUUAGAACACGUUCGAUAGCUUUCUUGACUUAAAAUGUGCUUUGAUAAGUCUGUUGAAAGCAAGAUGACAUGAUUGAUUCUUGCACUUGAAACACGGUUGCCAGCAUUUAUUAUUUUAAUAUUUCUUUCUCUGCUUUUAUAUUUGUGGAAAAUAAGAGGACUUGAUUGAUCUUUACGUUUAGAAAACUGUCGUUAGUUUUAGCUUUCAUGACUUAAAAUUUCUUAGUCUUCUUUGAUGUUUGUGAAACGCAGCAUGACUUGAUUAUCCAUGCUCGUAGAACACGCUCGAUAGGUUUCUUGACUUAAAAUAUGCUUUGAUAUGUGGAAAACAAGAUGACGUGAUUGAUCCUUGCACUUGAAACACGGUUGCUCGUUUUUCUUAUUUUAAUAUUUCUUUCUUUGCUUUUUAUGUUUGUGGAAAAUAAGAUGGACUUGAUUUUUCCUUGUUUACACUUUUAGACACCGAUUUUGUUUAGGUCUAUUAUUUUUAAUUUUUGUUUAAUUUUAAUAAUAAUAAUUUUUAAUAAUAAUAAUAAUAAUAUUGGUUUGAUUAAAACUAAAAAUAUUAAUUAAAAAAAAAAGAAAAGAUAAACAAACAGAGGGCUAAAAAGCGGCGUUGUCACCAGCCCUAUUUAGCUAACCACCUAGCCCCAUCCAGCCAUCAGACUAGUCCCAUCAGAUCAGCCACACUUGUAACCUAACCAAAUCAGUCAUCCUUACAGACACCUACAACCACGCGCUAUAGACACCUACAGUCACCCCCUACAACCCCUAGACUACCUACUAUCUCGAGCAUACGUACGGUCAUAUAAAGAACCCAACUUCCAGGUUAGAAGAGGCAUACUCGAACACCCCCAAAAAAUCCCAAAAACAUGAAAACUCCCACACCUAAGAAACCCAAAUAGAAAUAGAAACAAAAAAGUAAAAAUAAAAACAAACAAUCUUCCCCGUAGGGAGGAACCUAAUGCCAAAGCUACCUGUAAAAGCAAAAAAAAUCACAACAGUCUUAUUUAAAAAAAAAAGGAAACAAAAACUUUGAGCCUCGAUCUCCGCUGAUCGAGGCUAUUUUCGACAAAAAAAAGGUUAGAUCCAGGAAAAGCGUGUUGAAGAGAGUUUCUGGGAAUAUUUUUAGCAUUUUUUUGCCACUGGCAACCACCGAUAGUGACUGUCGACAGUGAUCUAGGCAGCGACCGGUGCGACUGUCUGGUGCUGGAUUCUGAUUGAAGCUAGAGAAUUUUUUUUUGGAGGUUGGGGAUUUUUUUUCAGGUAAAAGGAGAAAAUAACUAAAAAAAAAAUUUAGGCCUUUUAUAGAAAUCGUAUAAGCCAAAACAACGUCGUUUAAGCCAAGAAGAAUUCGCGCGUGGACCUGGACCUGACCCGGGGUCCGUGCAACUGACCCGCCAACCCGGCUUCUUAGAUAGCUCUGAACCGAUUUGACUAUAUCGGACCGAACUACUCCAUAGACCGGCUUGAACCGCUCCCCAUAUGACUUAACCGAACCGCGUGCCAAACCGACCCAUUUUCGAACCAACCGAAUCACCGUUGACCGGUCCGGUUCAAGUAAAAAAUUUUCUUUUGAAUUUUCUCAUUUUUUUUAUAUAUUAUUAUUUUUGUAAUUUUGAGUAUUUAUUUUUAUAUUUAUGCAUGAUAAAUUUUUAAAUUUGUUAGGAUAAAUAUUUAGUUGUUUUUAAUAAUAAUAAAAUGAAAAUAAAAUAGGAUAAUAACUUUAAAAAAGUAUAAAAAAUGCUAUAAUAAUAAUAAUAAUAAUAAUAAUUGAAUAAUAUUUUUAUUAUCUUUUUUUUGUUUGUUUUCUUUUUAACAAAAAAAUGUUAUCAUUUUUAAUUAAAUUGAAAUGUUUUUAAUAAAAAAAUAAUUUUUUUAAUUAAAUUGAUAUAUAAAAGCAACCACAUGCAUAAUUAUCAGAAUCAGACUAAAUACUGAACUAUUAAAAGUGUCGGGUCAUUGGUUCAACUGUUGGGUCAAUGAAGUCAAUUGUUAAACUAAUAAAGAUAUAUAAAUAUAUAAAUAUUUUAAAAAUUUAAUCCAUUAUGUGAUAAAUAAUAAAUUCUCUUAUAGACAAUUUCGAACUUAAAAAAUUAAAAUAUUUUACAUAAUAUAAUAAGUGUAUAAAAAGUACAUGUAUUUACAAAGUAUAAUAAACUUAAAUUACAAAAAUAAGUUUAAAAUUCAAACUCAUAACUCAAACUUUGAAAAUACUAAUUGAAUAAUUCAAUCAUAUUAUUAAAAAAACCAAAAAAAGUAAAUACUCAAACAAACUUAAAAACAAAUAAAUACAAUAAAUAAAUGUUUUAAAAAAAGAGAAAGCUUAUGUAAAAUACAAAAUUUUAAAAAUGAAAUAAAAAAUACCUUUAAAUUGAUGAUAUUGAUAUAAACAAAUCCAGCUCCAAAAUAAUAAUUAAAGUUUUUAAUUUUAGGCUACAUUUUUAUCCUUUAAUUUGAUAUGAGUGUGGUCACCUAAAAUAUAAAUGAGAAAGGAGUUAAAUUUUAUUAGGGGGUUAUUCUUUAAUGUGCAUUAAUGUGGUAGGACGGAUAAAACCAUUUAAUUAUCUAAUUUUAAAUUUUUUUACUAUCUAUUUACUUUAAAAUAUAUUAUUUAAUUAAAAUACUACAAUAACUCCAUAAUUUUAAAUUAUAAAACUAAAUUAAUCCAUAUUGUUUAAAGUCUUUAAAAAUUAAAACCAAAAAUGGUUCAAUAAAAACUACCCAGUUAAGUGAUUUAUUUAUUCAACCGUCGGUUCAAUGUAAUUUAAAGGAGGUUAAUUGCAAGUUUAGUCUAUUAAUAAAACUAAACUGAUUUAGGUAUCGACUUAUCAAUUCAACUCAUCUGAUCGAUGAUCCAAUUUGAUUCUAAUAAUUAUGAUCACAUUCAAAGCGAUAUCAUGAACGCUAGUGUUUUAUUAAAAAAGAAAAACUCUUGCAGCAUUAAAAAACUAUUUUAAGCACACAUACAUAUAUAUAUAUAUAUACACAUAUAUAUAUAUAUAUUUAUGUAUUACUAAAGGUAUUUGUUCUAGUUUAUUCAAGAGUUUUUUACAACAAAAAUAUAAAUAAGAUGUUUUACUUUCAAAAUUUUAAAAUUAUUAAUCAAAGCCCAUUUGGCUUUUUAAAAGAUUUUAUAAGUUAAAACCUUUUCAAAAGUGUUAUUGUAUAAUAAAAAAUAUAUUGCUUAGUAUUUUUUUUUUUGACAUUCUCAAUUUAUUUGUUAAUAAUUCAUAAAAUAAUAAAAAUGAAUUAUUUCACAUACAUAUUUUUUUUACUUGAUCAAAAUUUUCUAUUAAUCUCAUUUAUUUUUAAUUUCUAAUUAAUAAAAUAUAUCUUUGUUUUAUUUAUUGGUUUGGCUUAUAAAGUUAAGCCUUUUAAUUUGUAUUUAAUAAAAAUCUAUAAAAAUAUUAUUAAAUAGUUUUGUUAAUGUAGUAGAGCAUUUUUGCAUUAUGUUUGUCAAAUACUAUUUUAACACUUUUUGCAAAAAAAAAAAAAUCAAUCAAACCAAACAAAUUCUAAAUAUCAUUUUAAGAAUAUAAGUGAUAUUGUAAAGUAAGAAUAAAAAAUCUGGUAUUACGCUAAAAUAGUGUUUACAUGACAAAAUUCUCAAUGCGAAGAUGGAGAUAUCUUUUUUCUUCUUCCCAUUUUCAUAAUUCUUUACAAUUAAAAUUUUUCAUAAAUUAACAUUAAUAUUAAUUUUCAAAUAGUAUAAUAAAAUCAUUAAUUAAAUACAUUAAAAAGAGAAAAAGAAAUAAAAAUGGUCUUUGGUGCCAUAUUGGCAAUUUAGAUACAAACACAAGAUACUGAUAAUUAAAUUUGUACAUGAAUUGAGUUGGGCCGGAUUCGAAUCUGGCCUAGUUAGGAGAUUAACAAAUUUUAAGUUUGUUCAGACUCGUCCAUCUCAAAAUAUAGUCUUAUUUUGCUGCUCAAGCCUAAUUAAUUUUUAAAAGACUUUACCUAAGCCUACCUAUAUUUUUUAAAAUAAAAAAUAAAUGUUAUAAUAAAUAUUAAUUAUGACAAAAUAAAUAAUCAACAAAGUAAAGCCUAAAAAAUACUUUGUUAACUUAAUUCGGUAUUUCAAUGUGAUUAGUAUAUAUAGACAUAGAAUAUUAAUGUAUAUAUUAUAUUUAAUUUUCUUUAUUUUUAUAUAAUAUGAAUAUAAAAAAUAUAUAAUAAUUAUUUGGGCCUCGUUGGAUUCGAACCUUAAGCUUUAUGUCCAAGGCCUAGUACAUUUUUUAAACAGGUCUAAAAUUCAAGUUCAGACUCAUUUAACAAACCUAAAAUUCAUGUCAAAGCUCUUCCAAAUUUAGAACAAGCUUUCAAGUUCGAGCGAGUUACCCAACCAAUAUAAUUUAAAAGUUUAAUUCAUUUGGUCCAUAUAAUUACCCUUAAGAUAUUGUAUCUAAUAAGUUUGAAAUUUAAAUCUCAAUAUUUGUUUUCGUUUCUCAAUAGUUAAGUUGCGACAUUUUAUAUAUAUAUAUAUAUAUAUAUAUAAAUAAAUCUUUCAAAGAAAAAAAUUAAAACUACUAUCUCUUUGAUAAUACAGAUUUUAAUUUACCUUACCUUAAGAAAAAAAAUUAUAAAUUAGAAGCUUUUAAACCCAACCUCAACUAUUUAAUUACCUAUACAAGGUAUGAUAAGAAAAUCAUUUGCUUUGAUGCAGGAGAAAAGCAAGAAGACUGAUUGGUCCUUGCAUUUGGUAGCUUUAAUUCUUCACCUAAAAUUUCUUGGUCUGCUUUGACGUGUGUAAAAUCAAGAUCACUUCAUUGAUCCUUGCGUUUAGAAAACGAGCAUUAGCUUUCCUGAUUUGAAAUUUCUCGAUCUGUUUUGACGUGUGUGAAACCAAGACCACUUGAUUGAUCUUUGCAUUUGGUAGCUUUAAUUCUUUACCUAAAAUUUCUUAGGCUGCCUUGAUGUGUGUGAAACCAAGAAAACUUGAUUGAUCCUUGCGUUUAGAAAACGAUCAUUAGCUUUCCUGACUUAAAAUUUCUUAGUCUGCUUUGAUGUUUGUGGAAAGCAAGAUGACUUGGGUUGAUCCAAGGCCUAGCACUUAGAACACGUCGCUAGCUUUCUGACUAGAUUCCUUUAUUUGCUUUUAUGUAUGUGAAAAAUAAAAUAACUUUAUUAAAACUUCUUUUGUCUCUCUCAUGGAGAAAGAAUUGCUUGCUCAGUUUUGGAUUACAACAAUCACAGCUUUGAUAUGUGGUACUAUCAUAAACUUGUCUUAGGGUUGAAUUGAAACUAACACUCCAUACGUACCCAAAUCUCUUUAUCUUUAUUUGAAUUUGUGUACAUAUUAAAUAAAAAAUUGUGCUAAAAAAAGUGAGCCUAAACAAUGUUCAUAUGGUAAAAAAAAAAGAUCUUUUUAACUUUUUUUGUUGAAAUUUAUGCCAACAGUUACAUGAUAUCAAGGCAGCAAAUUUCAUUGAUUUUUAAAGUUAUCGAUGGAAUUAAUGGAUAAAUUUGAAAUAAAUGAAAUCAAGAGAAAUUUUGAACUAAAUUAAAAAGAUAAAUGUGAAAAAUAUAUAGUUUUUUUUUAUAUAAUUUUAUGAAUUGUUUGAAGGGUAAAAUGAAAAUGCAAAAGAAUUUCAUUAAAUAUUUGGUCCCAUAUAUUAGCAAAUUUUAAAGAAAUUUUAAUUUAUAACUUUGUUUAAAAAUAGUAUUAUAUUAACUUCAUUCUUUUCAUAUUCCGUUAAUUAAUACUAAAAAUGAAUUUUUGAAAGAAAAAAGAUUAUAAAUAAAAUUCAUUUGAAAACUUUUUAUAUUCUACUAACCACUGAAAUUAACUAGAAUGUUAAGUAAAGGAAAAAUCACAUGAUAUUAUCAUAUUAAUUUAAUAUUUUCAAAUUCUAUAAAUUCAUGAUUUGAAAAUAAAUUUUCAAAAAUAUUUAGAUCACUUUUAUUUGGAAUUUGAGUAUGAUAUUGUAUUUUAAAAUUUUAGAAUUAUUUUUUUCAAUAUUGAAUAUUAUCAAUGAUCAAUUAUCCUAAUAUAAUUUAUAUCUCUUAGAAAUAUAUAUAUAUAUAUAAAAUUUAUAUUUAUAUUUAUAUGAAAGAAUGACUGCCUGCAAUUUCAUACAAGUCCAUGGCGUAAAACGCGGAGUCAAGGAGAAAUGACUAGUUGGGUCUCACAAUGUUUGUAAGUCCAAUGAAUACAAAGAAAAAUAGAAAAAGAUAUAUUGGUUUUAGAUAUGCUUUGUAAAAGGAGAUCAAAAGCAAAUUAGAGUGCCCAAAAUCAAAAGCUUGACCCAUUUUUUUUAUUGUGAAGACCAGGGCCGUUGGUAUCAAUUGCCUCGUGAUAUCAAAUUCAUCCAAAGAUUUUGUAAAAGUACUGGAUUAUCUUUUGGUAAUAAAAAUUGACAUUUCGUUAAAAAAAAAAAACUCUUUGAAAAGAAAAAUAAUUUGAAAAUGGCCUUUUUAGGUAAUAAAUACUUUUAAUUUUCCUUACCUUAAAAAAGUAGUGGUUACAAAUUAGGAGGUUUUACAACCAAUCUCAAUUAUUUAAUAACCUAAGUAUGAUAAUAAAAUAAUCAAAUUCAACGUAUAAUAUUAAAAGAUCGGAACGCAGUCAGAAGAAGACCGUAUUGUUUUUGGAAACCAUGCAAAUUCACAUGUUAAUGUCGAAAUAAUAAUAAUGGUUGCUUUGAUUUAAAAAAAAAAAAAAUAGUGGUUGCUUUGAUUGGGUAAGGUUUACAUUAAUCCUUGCUCUUGCAAAAAAGUCAAUUGCUUUUCUGACUUCAAAAUUUCUUAGUCAGCGUCAAUUGGAGAGAGAACUGCUUGCAUUAGGUGGAAUCCUUUGCAAUAUAUAUAUAUAUAUAUAUAUAUAUGAUAAUAUUAUAUAUAUAUAUAGGAUAAUAUUAAGUAUAAUACAAUCACAUGAGAUUGAAAUUAUACGAAAAAAUAUGCGAAAGUGAUAUUAUUUAAAAUUUUGACAAAAAUUCUAUGUGAAUUUGACAAGAACAAAAAAAAAGUGUUUUAUAUUUGACUUAUUGACAUGAAUUUGGUAUGAAAAUUUUCAUAUUUUAUACAUAUAUAAUGAUAUUAACAUAAUACAAAUAUAUGAAUUUUCAAAUAUAUUUUGAACCGUAUUGAUAAAAAAUUUUAUAAAAGCACCAUAUUUCGAUAUACUCAUAUAUCAUGUGGGGCGAAGAAAAUUCAUUAAAAAUUAAUUUUUUUUAUAUGAUGUUACUUUAUGGGUGGGUAGCUUUUUUUUGAAUAAGAUUAAAAUUUUUUUUUAAAAUCUGAAAUUUAUAUUGUUAUUCUAUUUUAACUUUGGAUUUAAUGUAAAUUUACCCAUUUGUUAACUCAUGACUGCAACUCAAUCACGUUAUCAUUAGUGUGUGUGUGUAUAUAUAUAUAUAUAUUCACAAUUUUAGUUUAAAAAUAAAUUUAAAUUUAUUUAGCAAAAAAAUUUAGAUUAUAUUGUAUCCUAACAACAUUAUCAUUAUUAUUACCUUAGAAAACAAAAUUUACAAAAUUAUAAUCCAUUUAACACCUUUCAUUAUAAAUUAAACAUUAGUUACAGAUAGAUGUGGUGAUGACACAUGUUCAUAAGGGUCAUAGAAAGAAUUUAUUCAACUUUUAUGGGUACUUUUGACAUUUUAUGAGAAAAAUUGGGAGUUGUAUUUUGGACUUAUUUUGAGAUGUUGAAUAAAAUUUUCAUUAUGUUUGAGCUCUUAUUAUGGUUUUUUUUUCUUAUUAUAAAUAUAAAAUUAUGCUUUAUGUUUUUAUUUAUUUGAUGUGUUGAUUUUAAACUUUUAUAAUUUAAUUUAUCUCUAUGCUUAUUUCAAUUAAUUUCAAAAGAAAGAGAUAGGAAGAAAAAAAAAAGAUGCUAAAAGAUAAAUUAAUUUCAAAAUCAAAAGCUUCACUCGUUUAUUUAUUGUGAAGACGAAGCCCGUCCAAAACUUUCCUGUCGAAGUCUCAGUCGUAUUGACUAAUCGAUUCUAUAUUUAAGCAUUACUUUGAGCAGAAUUCCUCAAACCAUCUUGCAUUUUCAUCAAUUCCCACAGCCAUGAACAUGAGAAAAUUCCAUUUUCUUUCAUUAGCUUUAAUGUUCAUUCAUUGUUUGAUGAUUAGUUACGCCAUGAUAGUGAGGAACCUCACCACAGACCAACAUGCUCUUCUCGAAUUUAAGCACCGAAUCAUUGAUCCUCAUAACAUCUUAGCCAAUAACUGGACUACCACUACCUCUGUUUGCAAUUGGGUCGGUGUCUCUUGCGCUUCUAAGCACAGGAGAGUCAACGCUUUGAAUCUUCCCAACAUGAAUCUUAUAGGAAUUGUCCCUCCACAAUUGGGAAAUCUCUCGUUCUUAGUAUCUCUUGAUUUGAGUCACAACAACUUUCAUGGCCAUUUACCGAAAGAGUUGGGACAAUUAAAUCGUCUGAAGCUCAUACAAUUAAGUUUCAAUUUUCUUAGUGGGGAAAUUCCCUCAUCAUUUGGGAGAUUAAAUAAAGUUUUGUAUUUGAGCCUCCGGAGCAACAAUUUGACAGGUACAAUCCCUCAAUCACUAGCUAAAAUGUCCAACUUGGAAAUCUUGGACUUGAGGCAGAAUCUCGUUCAAGGACACAUUCCACCCGAGAUAAGUAAUCUUCUAAAUCUAAGGAUACUUCGUCUGGCACUUAACCAACUUUCUGGUUCUGUCCCUUCAGUCAUUUAUAACAUUUCCUCCCUACACAUGAUUUCUCUUGCAUUUAACAAUCUAUCUGGCAGUUUACCUGAAGAUAUUUGUCGCCAUCUUCCAAAUCUUGAGGCAUUUUACUUGUCCUUAAACGAGUUUUCUGGUCAAAUUCCAUCAAGUAUAGAUGAAUGCAGGUGUCUUCAAAAUUUUAACAUUAGACUCAAACAGAUUCAGUGGCAGCAUUCCAGGGAGUAUUGGAAAUUUAACGAGGCUCAAAGUGCUAUACUUGGAUGGAAAUAAUUUGGAAGGUAAGCUCUUUGUUUUUUCUUUGAUAAUUUUCUUUCGAUUGAUCACUAAUUAAUUUUUGUAUUUAGUGAAACAUGAUUCAAGCUAAAACUCCCUAAUUUAUGCUACUAAAAAUAGCUUUACUUUAACCAAGACUCCAACACAGUUAAUUAAGACUCCUUUUAGUUAGUUGUUGGUUUUUUCUUGCUUUUAUUUAAUCCAAAAGGUGCCAAGAAAUAGAAGAAAAUAGUAAAAAUUAAAAAUAUCUUUUAUAUAUAAAAAGUAUCAACUUUACAAGGGAUUAAAUACAGUAGUAAAAAUUAAAACAUUUUUAUCUUAUUUAUAUAUAUUAUAUAAAAGAACGAAAUUGGAAAGCGCAAAUAGUGAACAACAUAUAUAUCUUUGAUAAUUUAUUAUCUUAGAUAUUUUAUUUAUAAUUAAUGAUUUUCUUAUUAAAUUAAAAUAUGACUAAUUUUAUUUAUUUUCUUAUCAACAUUGAAGCUUUUAUCAAAAUAAACUUUCUUUAAUUGAUAAUUUGAAAUUAUUGCAAAAGAAUUACUUUUAUAUUUUUGAAAGUAAGAGCUAAAUUUAAUUUAAUUAUUGAUAUCAAGUUAAAACUGCUUAACAUUAAUAGUAACUAUGAAACUCAUGUUAUUUUCUCCGGUCAAGUUUCAUGGUUGAAAAUCUUCAGUAUUCCAUAUAAGUAUCUUAAAUUGGGAAAAAGAAAAAAAAAUAACCAUAAGGAAUCUAUCUCUUUUCCUUGAAAUGCUUGGACAAAUGCCUAAAAUAAAUUAGUUGGCGUUAAUGCCCUCCUCAUAACAAGGACUGUAGCACAUUUUGUUAGGCCAAAAAGCCUUUAUCAAAUCAAGUUAGUGGAAACAAAAUCAAAUAAUUAAUCAAACACAUAAGAGAUAAUAAUUUAACGUAAUUUGGUCAAACCGACCUACAUCCAUGGAUGAAAAAAAAGAUUCACUAGUUAUAAAAGAUUACAAACAUAUAUCAAAUCAAAUACUCAUAACUAAUACUCAUAAAUUCUAUUAAUCUCCUCUAGUCCUAUAAAAUAUUCUCAAUCCAAACAAACAAAUAUUCAUGUAUACCUUUCUAACACCUAUGUAGACUUUCUCAAUCUCUUCUAAUCCACUCUCAUGCACCAUACCUAUGUAGACCCUUUAAGUCUUUUUUAGUCGACUCACAAAUAUUCAAACAUACAAACCCAUAAGACAUAAAUCUCCAGUAGUCUUAUGGGAGUGUCUAUCCCAAAAUCUCACAACUCUCUUACAUCUUUUUCUCAUAUCUAAUCCUAUAGAGACUUUACCUAUUUAUAACUAUACAAAUUUGCCUUUUAAGAAUCUAUUUCUUUUUAGAAUUCUUCUUUUGCAAGUUUUAUUGUCCAUUAAAUAAUAUAUAAUAAAUCUCAAAGAAAUCUCUUAUAGGAUUCGAAUCAUUAUCCCUAACACAUUUGACAUUAAUGAUUGGAUUUCCUUUUUUUUCUUUGAUAAAUUAUCCAUUUGGUCACUUAAUUUUGCAGUACUAUUAUUUGAGUAUUUGGUUAAAAGAAAUGAUGGUCAAUCAGAGAAAGAAGUGAAUGAAGUUAUUGCUUUGUUUCAUCCCAUUGUUCAACUGUUAAGAAUUUAUGUCUUUUUAGUUUUUUCUUUUCCUUUUCUUUUAUUUUGUUGUUCGUUUAUAAUCCAACAAGAAAAGAGGAAAUUGUUAUUUGAUGAAAACACUUUUCACUAAAACAUGAGCAGUUUUAUUCCUCGAAAGAAUAUAAAUGGGAAAUACACCCUUGAGAGCACAGAUUUUAUUCUGAAAUUAAAUUAUUUUACUGUAUAGUUUUAGAUUUAUCGGUAUUAUGUAAUAUUUGACUAUCAAAUAUAUAUAUAUAUAUAUAUACACACACAAAUGCACUUGUAUUAUAUACAUAUUCAUAUGCAAUUACAAGUUUUAAAAAUCUUACUACCAUAAAUUUCUAAAUAUUUAACUCCCAAAAUUCUAAAUAAAUGAAACAACUAUAAAAAUAAUAAGUAUAUAAUACAUUAUCAUUAAAGAAAUUUAAUAGUUUAAUUUAAUGGAAACAUUUAAUUUUUGAAUCUAAUCAUGAAAAAAAUAAAAAUAAUGAUGAGAGCAAAAGAAUUAAAAAUUGAUUAAAAGAGCUAUAACAAUAAAAGGAUAAAAUAAGAGGCAAAAUUUUAUAUCAAUCAAAAUAUCAUUUUUAACUUGUAUGACUGAAAUACAGGCUGAUGCAAAGAUCAAAUAAAACAAUAAUAUUAUGUGUUGUGAUUCAAAACUGAUAUAUAUUAGCUAAUACGAUGAGUAUGAGUACAUUAUCAAUAACCAUGGUAAAAUCCUUGUUCAAUGAUAUAACCAAUAGCACCAAUAAAACUGUAAAAUGAUAAUAUUAUGUCCUAAUUAAUACAGAAUAAACCAAUGUGGUUUAUCCUAAGAAGCGUUGAAAUUUUAACAUUUCUCUAAAACAUGUCGGGUAUGAUUUUGCCUUGGAUCUUGCUCAUAUUAUAACAGUUUAUAUCUUAUUUUCUGGUCCAACUCACCAACAUUAAGAUCCGCUUGUGCAAAAAACAAGAUUGCUGGACCAAUUAAACAUUUAUGCUAAUGAAAUAGCUUUUUGAUUUCCUGCUAAAGAUGCCAAAAAAAAAAAAAAAAACAUCUUUUGAAGAUAAUGUUUGGAACGAGAAUUAAAUUAAUUAUUUUACAUCCAUAAACUUUGGAGCAAAUAGUUUCAUUAUCAAUGUCAUGCCAAGCAAAAAAACGUUUUUAUUCUACUUUAUAUAUACAGAUAUAUAUAUAUAUAUAUAUAUAUUUAUCUUUUGACGAUAAUGUUUGAGACGAAAAUUAAAUUAAUUAUUUUAAUCCAUAAUCUCAUAAAAUUUGGAGCAAAUAGUUUCAUUAUGAAUGCAAUGCCAAGCAAAAAAAAAACAUAGCUUUUAUUCUACUUUAAUAGUUUCAUUAUGAAUGUAAUGUCAAGCAAAUAGUUUCAUUAUGAAUGAACUCUUGUAACUUGGUUUCUUUAUGUUCACGGGUGAAAUCCCUUCGAAAAUUGGAAAUCAUUUGAGCUUGGGGAUAUUUUCUGCCCCAAAUCUGAGGCUUGUUGGUCCAAUCCCAGCUUCCAUCUAUAACCUUUCUUGUUUAAAAGAAAUUUAUCUCUAUAGCAACAGUCUCUCUUGCAGUAUUACAUAUAAUAUGUGUUAUACUCUUGUCAAACUUCAGGUGCUUGAUAUUUCUGACAAUGAAUUUUCAGGCCACAUUCCAAGAAGUAUAGGAAAUUUAACCAAACUUAAGGAGAUAUAUCUAAGUCAUAAUGAUUUAGAAGGUAAGUUUUUGCAUUUGAUUAUUUAAAUUUCAAUUGAUUGAUACUUUUUAUUAAUUAUAUUAAAAAAAUAACUAAAAAUUAAAAAUUAAAAGAAUGAUCAACAUGAAAAUAAUCACAUUUGAUUUUCUUUUAUGCUUUUCUCAUUUUGACUCAAACUUUUGGAAUUUGAAGAAAUUAAGUUUUCCUUCAUAUUUUAAACAUCAAAGGAACUAAGAAUUUAUUGUGUAAUUGACUUUUAUUGCAUUUUAAAUAACCUCAAUAUUAUUGGAAUGUUUAGAAAGUGGAUAGUUUUAUAAUACUAAGUUGUUGUUCCUUUGUAGGUGAAAUUCCAUGGGAGAUUGGGAAUCUUAUUUCAUUGGAGACAUUAGCCGCAUCAUUUAUGCGCUUAAGUGGGUUGAUUCCACGUUCCAUCUUCAACAUUUCUUCUUUGAAAGUAAUUAGUUUCGUAAACAAUAGUCUAUCAGGUAAUUUCAUUAUAAACAUUUCAUUACUUUUAUGUUUAAAAUUGCUUACUUUAGUUUCAAAAAAGUUUAGUUUAGGAUUAUAAAACAAAUAAUCAUAAAAUUAUGAAAACUGUUAAAAAAAUGAAGUGCCAUUGAAAGGCUUGAGAAAUGUCUUUUCAAACCUCUUUUAUCUUAUUAAAAUCAAAUACUGUUUCCAAUUAAAUUAGGGAACGCAAAACAAAGACUCAAAAGAAUUUGAAAACCAAACCUGAAAAUCGAAAUUUCCAUCGUUUAGAAAAUAUUUUAAAAUUUUUAAAAAACAUUUUAUGAUGGAAUCAUGCCCCUAACUGGGAUGCGCACCACUAGCUAAGUCUACAAAGUUGGCCAAUGUGGAAAAAGGAUAGGUACCCAAAACUUGUGAUGUAAUAUGGCUAUUAGUUAUUAUCCCAUUGCAAUUAUAUACGAUAAAACUAUUUGAUUUGGUUUAUAAUGUGAUAAAAAGUAAUAUUAACGUACAUUGUUACUCCCAUAUUAAUUUAAUACCGACUUAAUUUAUUGUUACAUCUAACUUAAAGUAGUAUUAUUAUAUUUUAUAUUUUUAUAUUUAUUCGUCUGCAAAUAUUUAAAAUUUAUAUUUUGUGUAAUAAAAAAUUUAACAAUGUAUUUUAUUACUUUUAUAUUUCUUAAUAGUGUGUAUCCGUGUGGGCUAGUUUUAUUGGCUAUAUGUGAAAUGUUUCAUAAAAAUUAAAUCAUAUAGAUAUCAUUAAAUUGAUUAAAACUGUUAAGUAUAUAUUAAAAGGAUUGUGAAAUUCAAAUUUUCAUUAUGAGGGAUAAAUUAAAUAAGAUUCAAAUGAAUAUAUUUGAUUUUCAUCGUAACAAAGUUGUAAAAAACAAUAAUAUUCAGAUUCUAUAGGCAUACUCAAAAGUUUAUAAACUGUAAUCAUACAAGAUUCAUAUGAAUAUAUUUGAUUAGCUCUUAAUAAGUUGUUAAAAUAAUGAAAUAUGCUAGUCACAUACAAUAAAAUUUGAUGGGAGGAAAGAAUUGAUCAAUGGAGCUAUUUGUUAAUUAUCCAUUUUUUCCCACCGCAUGGAAUUAAAAUGAAUGUUGUAUUUUGAUAUUCUGUAUAUUGAAAACAGUAAAAGGUGAUGUAUAUUUGUUUAGUUUUAUAUAUAAAUGAUAAAAAGUAAGCUAAAAAAUUUGAAACUUGAAAAACAAAUAAAUAAAUAAACAACCUGAAUAGAAAGAAGAAAAAAAAUGAAAGAAAGAAAAAUGAGAAGUAGAAAGAGAUAGAGAUUCUAGAAAUGAAAAUAUGAUAUAAUAAAGUACAUGUAAAAACGUGUAUUCUAAAAUAGAAACUCGCAUAAAAAAUUAUAGUUAAAACCUGUAUUGUAAUGAUUACUUGAUUUGAAGUAGGAAAGAAAGAGUCUUUCCAUGUCAAUAAAACCAAAUUAAAAACCUUUUAGUGUUUGUCCCUCAAAUAUUUUUCUUUUAACACCAAUUUAAAGUUUCAUUAAAUUGUAACUGAUCCAUUUUGUAAUUUCUAUUAUUACCUAAAGACAUUAGGUCAAUUCAUUUUAUAGUUUUUCUAAAUUUAUUAUUUAUUAACAACAUGUAAUAUUGUAUUAAAAUUAAUAUAAUUUUAUUAUUUAUUAACAAGAUGUGAUAUUAUAAUAAAAUAUUAAAUUUAAAUCUUCUAAAAUAUAAAAUUUUUAUUGAAUGGAUAAGGUAAUUUUAAUUUGAGCAUAUUUAUAUUACAUAUAAAUAAUAAAUUUAAAUAUGGAAUUUAAAAUUAGAUUAAAAUUAUUAUAACAUUAUAUGUUAAGUCCACUCUUCUAAUACAAAAAUUAAGGCGCAUUCAUUUACUUAGCCUAUAUUAUUUUUUAGUCUGCCCAUUCUUUUAAGACAAAUGAGUAAAGUUUAUAUGGUAAUUGAGGAUCAACUUAUGAUUAAUUAUAUUUAACAGAAAACAAUUUUAAAAUAUAUAUUAACAAAAACCAUAGCUUUAAAAUAUAGUAUUAAUGAUUUCCGUUCCAAAAAAAAAAUCAAUAUUCAAAAUUUUAAAAAAAAUUCUUCACUUAUCCAACCACAUGUCAAUUUCCAAUUCAUCCCUAACUACCAUCCUUUUGUCACUGGAUUGUUUUAAUAUAAUGUAUAAAUUUGUUUAAAGUUGUCUGGAUUGUUUUAAUAUAAUGUAUAAAUUUGUUUAAAGUUGUCUAACUUUUUAUUUGAAGCAUUCCAGUUAUAAUUUUUUUCCUGUAAUAUUGUAAUUAUUAUCUAAUCACAAUAAAGUAUUAUAUAAGGAUCAUCACUGAUAAAUGUGGGUUACACAUAAAAUUUUGAUAAAUUUUAUAUAAUUUUAAAUUAUAAUUAAUUAAUUGAAUUAUAAUAGUUGUAAAUUAUGUGCUCUCUUUUUAUUAUAUGCAAUAAAAAUAAGUGCUACUUUUAUCCUUUUUUUUUUGGUCAAAUUAGGGAAUUUAACUGUUCUUUUACGAAAUAAAAAGCAAUAGUUGUGUAAUUUUUUUUUGGCUAAGCCAUAUUUUUAUUAGAGAUCAAAAGACCAUCAUCAGUGAAAUACAAGAAUCUUACCAAGAAACAUAGUUAAAGCCAUACCAGAAACAACAAAAAAACAUCUAGCGCAAUUCUAACAAAAGACUUCCACCUAAAAAGAAGAAACCAUAACACCCAAACAAAAAAAAAAAACACUACCAUGGUCAGUAAACAAAUAAUGAGAGCAAACACCACUAUCCCUUACAGAACAAAAUCACCACCCACCUUUGCCAUGACAUCUACCAUAUCAUUCAGCUUUUUAAAAUUUUUUUAUCAAACUGGAUGCCCCAAUUGAUCUCCAAAGCAUCACAAUUUCAAAAAAUAUAGACAACAACUUUCAUGGUCGAUGAUUCUUUUUACAUAGGGGCACUUCCAUAUCCCAAAAGCAUACAAAUAGCAAAACGCUAAAACUCCCAACAUUAACCUCAUAACCACUAUCAUAUCCUUCUAGAAAAGCUCUAUUUCGAGGACGAAUACCUUCAUCCGAUGAGUGUUCUUGAAUAUUGGAAACUAGAGGUGUCUUUAUCUGGCGAGACUUGCGAUUGGAUCUUUUCCAAUAUUUUGCCUUACCUAUUUUCCUUCUUUUACCUGCUCGAAUAGUAGUAACAAGGUGAAAUUUUUCUUCGACGUUGAAAAGUUUCUCAGCGUCUCUAUCACUAUUGCUCAUAAGCUCAAUAGAAUCCUGACCAAGUUCCAGAGAUAAUAACAUACUUUCCUCUGACAAGAUUUGAUCAAUGGCAUUUAUCGUAUCAGGAUAUCUAACUAUUCCAACAGCAUUCCGUUGUAAUCCCAUCAAAUCUAAAUUUUCAGGAAUGUAUUCAAGGAUGUUAAGCGAUUUUGAAACCUCUUCUUUUUCGACCAUCUGAUACAAUGUUAUCCUUUAACUGAUUGGGUUUGACAGACAUAUGAACCACCUUUGCAUAAGAUUGUCCAUCUCUAAAGUCUUCUAUGCAGCUAACACCUUUUUCCAUGCGGUGAGUGGUGGGUUUAGAGCUAGCAUGAGACCUUUGAUCAUACCUUGCCAUUUGAACAUAUAGAGUGGAAUAACUCAGGUACUAACCAUUUAGAAAUUUGACAGCCCUCAAUGAAUCCCAUAGACCAAGAUAAUGGACAAACCAACUAAGACAUUUUUGGCUCUCUUCUGAUUUUUUGGGACAUAAAAAUCAACCACCCAUCCACAUCUGGCAAAACAUUGCUGGAGAUUAAGGAGACUACAUCCUGGAAAAAUUCCAUCAACAAACAGUGUAACAAAUUUUCUUAUGUGGCCUUCAUAGCAUCCAAGAAGAGCUUUUUGACUUACCUUUACUUCACCCUUUAAAUCAGACUAACGCAAGGCUUUUCACCCUCUAAUAAUUGUGUAAUGGAAAGCAUCAUUUUAAAAUCUUUUUCAUUAGUUUCACAUUUUUUGUCAUCAUAUUACUAAAUUUUUUAUUGUAGUAGGAAAAUAUAUACGGUAUUACUCCAACAAAACUUAAAUGAACCUCCUCUGGUACAGCACUCGUAAGGUUCUAUCAAACCUUAGGGAAGAAAGAAACUGAUUUUCAAAACUAAAAGGAGUAUGUGUACUUUUAACAAUCUUUUCAUAGAAUCUUUGUAUUUUUCUCUUAUAUUAUGCAUAUAGUCUAAAAUGAAAGAAAUUUUAUCAUUUCUCUUGAGCCUUUUUUUCCUAAAAUAGCAUAGAUAAAAAUUCUAAUUUAUUUCCAAAUAUUUACACUUUCAGAUUUUUCUUUUCUCAAACAAAUUAAUGUAAAUAUACAUUUAUUUUUUAUUUUCGUCAUUUUUUAUCUCGUUUCUUUUUUUCCCAUUAACAAUUUCAUCAACGAAAUUUUCUUUAAUCUUUUUUAUCAUUAAAGCAAUUGAGAUAAGUUAAAGGAAAUAAAAUUCUUACAUAAAUGGAAAACAUUUUAAGCAUAUACUAGAAACCUUAUAAUAUCUUCUUUUCUCCUUUCCUUUCUUCUAUCUUCUUUUUCCUUUUACUUUUCUUUUCUCUUUUGUACUUUAUUAUACGUAAGCGCGGAGCCCUAGUUUGAUCAUUAUAAAUAUGAAAAAAAUUUUAUAAAUCAUAUAUAUAUAUAUAUAUAUAUACCAGAUUAUCAAACAAGAAAAACCUAAAGUUGGUUCAUAUUUAUAAUUGUUAAAAGGCUUCAUGUUUCUCCUCACUCAUGUUCAUAUAUGUAAGCAUUGCAUUCACUUCAGCUUGCAUCACAGAUUCAUGAAAAACAUAACAAAGCAAACCAAUUAAUUUAUUUCUUGUAUGGAAAUAUGCCAACUUUUUUUUUUCUUUUUAGGUAAAUUACCACACAUGAGCUCUGCUUCAAAUCUUGGGAGGCUUUACUUAGCGAGCAAUAAUCUCAGUGGAAACAUUCCUGACUCUAUCUCCAAUGUUUCUAAGCUCAGAGUCCUAGAUUUAGAGGGAAACUCAUUCUUUGGCCUUAUUCCAGAUACACUUGGCAAUUUGAGGUUCCUUGAGAUAUUGAGCCUUAGGUCGAAUCAUUUGACCACCAAAACUUCAACUCAUGAGUGGAGCUUUCUCAAUUCCUUGGCAAAUUGCAAGCAUCUAAAAAUUUUAGACCUAUCAUUCAACCCAUUAAAUGGCAUUCUUCCAAUUUCUAUCUCAAAUCUUUCCACAUCACUUCAACAAUUACGGGUCAUUGAUUGCAAAAUUAGAGGCAACAUUCCCAUGGAAAUUGGUAGCUUAAGCAACGCUAUAUUGUUAGACCUUUCCUCUAAUAAAUUGAGUGGACCUAUUCCAACAGCAAUAAGAAGGCUAAAAAAUCUCCAACUUUUGAAUCUUUAUGGAAAUAAGUUACAAGGCUCUGUCCCACAUGAUCUUUGUGGUUUGAAGGGAUUGUACAAAUUAUCAUUGGGUGCUAAUGAGCUUGAUGGACCAUUACCAACGUGUUUAUGCGAGUUGACUUCUUUGAGAUAUCUAUACUUGUUCUCCAACAAAUUGCAUUCGCAAAUACCUUUAACUUUUUGGAGCCUUAAAGAUAUCUUAGAAGUAGACUUGUCAUCAAACAAUCUUAGAGGUUCACUUCCACUUGACAUUGGAAAUUUGAAGGUACUUAUCUCUUUGAAUUUGUCAAGGAAUUUAUUAUCAAGUGAUAUUCCGUCCACAAUUGGAAGUCUCCAUGAUCUGCUGGUUUUGAAUCUUUCUAAAAAUAGAUUACAAGGCCCUAUUCCAAAAUCAUUGGGUGACUUGAUAAGUUUGAAAAGCUUGGAUUUAUCUAACAAUAAUCUCUCUGGAGUCAUUCCCAAGUCUUUGGAAAACCUUUAUGAGCUCAAUUAUUUUAAUGUGUCCUUCAAUAGAUUGCAAGGAGAAAUACCAAGGGGAGGGCCUUUUUUGAACUUCACAGCUAAAUCAUUCAUGAAAAAUUAUGCAUUAUGUGGUUCACCAAGACUACAAGUCUCACCUUGCAAAAAUAAAAUCCAUCGAAAAUUCAAGAAGAUCGCUCUACAUGCUUUGAGGUAUGUUUUGCCAACAUUUGCUUCGAUAAUAAUAGUUGUAACUGUCAUAAUUGUCUACAAAAAAUGGCAGAGGGGGAAUAUGAAUUUGGCAAUGGAUAAAGAUUUAAUUCCUCUCAAAAAAUGGAGAAGAAUUUCGUAUAAUCAAUUAUUGCAAGGGACUGGUGGAUUUAGUAGGAAUAACUUACUUGGUUCAGGAAGUUUUGGCUCUGUAUACAAAGGAAUACUUUCGGAUGGAACGGAACUCGCAAUAAAAGUUUUCAAUUUGCAAAUAGAUGGAGCAUUUAAGAGUUUUGACGUUGAAUGUGAAGUGAUGAGCAAUAUCCUUCAUCGCAAUCUUGUCAAGAUCAUUACUUGUUGUUCAACUAUUGAUUUCAAAGCCUUAGUGCUUGAGUUCAUGCCUAAGGGGAGCCUUGAGAAAUGGUUAUAUUCUUACAACUAUGUAUUGGAUAUCCUACAAAGAAUCAACGUCAUGAUAGAUGUUGCAUUGGCAUUAGAAUACCUCCAUUUGGGACAUCCGAUUCCUAUAAUCCAUUGUGACCUAAAACCAAGUAAUGUCUUAUUGGAUGAGGACAUGGUUGCACACGUGGGAGAUUUUGGAAUUGCCAAGCUAUUGGGAGAAGGAGAUUCCAUCAAACAAACAAUGACUCUAGCUACCAUUGGCUAUAUGGCACCAGGUGAUUUUUUCAUUUUUUUAAUUUUUUCUCUAUUCCAAGGUGAGUAGAUAUUAGUAUUUUAUCAUUUUAUUGAUUAAUGAUGCCUGAAUGACAUGAGAUCGUUUUAAUGAUUCAAUUAUAUUUAAAAUACAGAAUACGGAUCGGUGGGAAUUAUUUCAACAAAAAGUGAUGUCUAUAGCUAUGGUAUUCUAUUAAUAGAGACUUUCACAAGAAAGAAGCCCACAGAUGAAAUUUUUGUUGCAGAAAUGAGUAUAAAGCAUUGGGUGAAAAGGUCAUUAUCUAAUGAAAUAAUUGGUGUAAUAGAUUCUAGUUUAGUGCAAGAAAUGGAUGAAUAUUUUGUUAUUAAAGCAAAUUGUAUAUCAUCUAUUAUGAGAUUAGCUUUGGAUUGUUCAGCUGAAUUACCUGAAAAUAGAUUAGAUAUGAAGAAUGUUGUCUCCAUGCUGAAGAAUAUCAAAAAAGAAUAUCUAAACAACAUUACGCAGGAUUAAUUAAUAUGGUAAGAAAUGCAAUUAUAUAUAGUUUAAGCUUGUAUAAAAGUACAUACUAUAUGUUUAUCUAAUAUUUUUUAAGAAGGUAUUCCGUUAAGCUUUAUAUUUUUUUUGCAGGUUAAGGUUACUACUACCAUAAUACGUAUUUUGGUUCAAUAAUCAAGGUACUUUCAAUACUUUUGAAUUUUUAUCUAUAUAUUUAUUUAUGAACUUUGAACUCUUUAUUAAAGUAAUUUUUUCUUAAUAACAUUUUAAAAGUAAAAACUAGAGUUUUAAUUGCAUUAAAUCAUUAAAGAGUUUAAAUAGUUAUGAGAUUUGUAUAGCCAGUGAAUUUCAAUAACUUCUAUGUCUAAGUAAGGAGGCAUGGUAGUUGUAAACAUAUAAAAAGGAUUUUCUUGAUUAAUAAAUAACCUUUUCACCUGGAUGUGUGGUUACAUGUAUAGGAAGUUAGGCUCAUUUUGUAUAUUUGUGUUUUCUUUUAUAUUUCUUUUAUUAAAUUCAUAUUAUUUCUCAAUAAAUAUAAUUAAUUUAUAUAUGUUAUGUAUGAUUAGAAGUAACAUAUAUAUAGAUUAUAAUUUCUAUAUAAUUAAUCACAACAUAAAUUAUCAUAAAGAGGGCCAAUAAGUAAAAUUCAUUUUCAUUUGCUUACGGUAUUUAUUAAUAUAACCAUUAAUUAGGAAUACUUUUUCGUUACAACUCCUUUUUUAUCUCAAUGAUAAUAAUAACAGUAAGGAUAUAAUUUUACAUAAUAAUAAAUUUGUACUAAUGUAUUUUCUUCUAUGAAAAUUAUGACUCAUAUAAUUGCAUUUUUGAGUAAUUUGGAUUAGAUGAAAAUAUUGGCCAGUAUCUUUAUAUAUAUAUAUAUAUAUAUAUAUAUAUUUAGGUGAUUUAUGAUUGAGUAUGGAAUUAUAUUUCUUUUUAUAAUUAAUUAAUUUUUGCCAUAUUAUUUUUAUAAUUGAUUAAUUUUUAAUUGGUAUUUGGGUAAUAACUUAUUAAUGAAUUUUAACUCAAAUAAAAAUUAUUAGAAUUAUUAUAUAAUUAGUAUGUAACAUUUCAUUGUUUUUUAUUUUUCUAAAAUAUAAUAUUGUUAUAUAUGAUAUUAGUUAAUACACAUCAUUUUUCUAUCAAGAAUAUCUUUAGUUAAGAAGGUGAUAAUAAAAAUGUAUUAUGGAAUUUAGAAGAAUAAAGAAAUUUGAAAAGUUAAUAAAAUAAAUUACUCUAGAAGAAAUCAAUUUUAUCAAUCCAUCCCUCCUAACAAGGUUACUUUCUUAAGAGACUCUGAAAAUAUAUUAUUUAUCAUUCAAGUACUUAAAUUAUUUGUGUUUGUUAAAUAAAAUAGUUGUAUUAUUUUAAUGUUCACAACAAUUUUUUAUUAAUUUAAUUAGAUAGGAAAUUAUAAUAAAUUGCAUUAAUAGAGAAAUAUCAUAAUGUUUGUAAAAUAAUAAGUAGAAAAAUAUAGAUGAAUAUAUUAAUAAUUAAGCAUAUUGUUAUAAAUGCAAAGUUUUAAAAACUUUCUAAAAAAUAAAGUUUUAAAUAAUUAUUAUAAAUCAAAACAAAGAUAUAUGUAAAUAUGUAUCUACUCACACAUACAUUAUAACAAAUAUAGACGUUAAUUUUUUAUAUAAAUGGUUAUUUAUUAAAAACUCUACAAAAAAUGUAUAAAAUAAUAUUUCUAUCAUUUAAUAUUAAUUAAUAAAUACGUUUUCCUUACUAAUAAACAUUUUAAUUAGGAAGCAAGUACACCAAUGUACUUUCAAUUGUAAUGAAAUUCAAAAGCACAUAAAAAUAAAUUAGAAAUCAAUUUUCAUUAAUCAAUAAUCAUUACUAGCUAGUAUCUUUUCUUUUUCUAGUCUAGUAACAAUAAUAUUAUUGUUUAAACUCUUAGUUACUUUUGUUUGUUGAACACUGAAAUAGCUAUUUUAUUUUGUUUGUUACACUAAAAUAUAUAGCUUUUUUUUUUUUUGCUUAAUAUGCAAAACAUGUUUUAUUUAUUUUAAUAAAUUAACUAUAUUAAUUGCUAUUUAACAUAGAUGUUGAUUACAAUAUUGUUAAUAUUGAACAUAUAUUUACAUAAUUAAAAUAAUAUUCAUAUACGAAUUUACCAUAUAACAUAUAUAUUUAUUGAAAUUAAAAAAUUUUAAAGAUAAAAGUAUGAAGUGACUUUACCUAAAAGUGAAUAUUAAUUUAUUAAUUAUUUACUUUGAUAAAAUAGAUGUUAUUAAUCACAUAAGCCAUUAUUGAAUUUCUAUUGAUUUGGUUUCCUAACGAUUUAUAAUUUUAGGUUUUUUAAAUGUUUAGAGUUAGUCAAUAUCAUUUAUACGCACUCAUCUAAGUUUAUAAAUUAUUGUCUCUUAUUUUAUAUGGUAUGAUGUUAUUAAUUUAUCAACUAUCAGUAUGGGCUUUUUUUCUAUUAUUCACAAACCAAUUUAGUAAGUAUGAUGAAAAAGAAUAAUAAUAGAGGUAGGUGCAAGCUUCUUGAAGUUCAUCUUUUUUCUUUCACUUGAUUAUUGUUAGAAAUUGAUUUUCAAAAUAUGAACGCAAGCUUCUUGUCCAAAAAAAAAAAAAGGGAAAAAGGGAACUGAUGCAAGUUUUGUAACUUUUAUUGCAGUAUGUAACUUAUGAAUUCAGCGUGGAAUAGAUUGUGCUGUUUCUUCUCUUAUUGUGAUUGCAUAAAGCUUGAGUGAGAGAUUUAUGGUGUGCUUGUGCAUUGGAAGUUCACCUUCCAAUGGCGUGGAAUGUCUAAGAAAGUUCAUGGAAUCAUGGCCAAAAGUGGUGUGGUGUUUCUACUUGAGAAAUGCGAUCAUCUUUCUUGCAAUGAUUUUUAUUUUUUUAUUCAAAAAAACUUUUGAUAUCCUAUUAACUAAUGAGUUUGAUUAAAAAUAGGUAGGAAAAGAAAAGUUAUACAAAUUAUAUAUAUUAAUUCCAAUUUUUUCAUAUUUUAUUUAGUUAAUUAUUUGAAAAUAAACUUUUUGAAAUAAAAUUAUAUUUUAUUAACUAAUGCCUUGGAAAUAAAAUUUUGAAAGAAAAAAAAAACAAAUCAAUUUUAUUUAGAAAACUUUUCAUAUUUCACUAACCAUUAAAUCGAACUAAAAUGAUGGGGAAAUAUUCCAUAAAAUCUAAAGUAUAUUUGAAGAUCUUUUCAGUUUGAAUAAAGUCUGCAUUAUCCAAUAUAUUUGGACUUUUUUGUCUAAAACGGGCUCAAUUUGGAUUGCUUGGCUCAAGGCCCAUUCUCUUAAAGAAGGAACUAUUUGGUAGGUGUCCGAAACUCAAAAUUUCAGUUAACGUUGGAAAAAACUAACAUGGCUACGCUCAGUUUACAAGCCUAGAUCCUAAAUCAAAAAUAUCAAAUGCAUAACUAAUCCUAACCUUUGAAAUUCAAUAUUUCUUUAAAUCUAAUAUCAAACCCAAAAAAUUUGAUAAAAAAUAUCGAACUUAGAACAAUUUCACAAAAUCAAAACCUAAAAAUCAACUCAAAAUAAGGUAAUAAAGAAACCUCAUAAUUAGCAUUACCUUUCUCUUGGGUGGAUAGUCUCAAAGGAGGGUGGGGAUUUUGGUUGCUACAAGAGUAAUCUCAAACGAGAACAGCGAUGGCUGGCUUGUUGUACUCAUCGAUCAAGCCAUCUUGUUGGUGGUGGUGGUGGUGGUGGUGGUGGUGGUGAAAUAUACUUAUUGCCAAAAAUAUAUGAAAAUGAAAAAGAUAAAAGAUAAAAGAUAAAAAAAAAAAGGGAGGAAAAGAAUGGUAAAACAUGUAAUUCUGAACUUGCUGACUAUCAUCUUAUACAGUGCAGAUCUAGUUUAACUUUAAGUUAUAUCUAUACUGUGGUUUUGAUUAGUUAACAUAUUUAAGGGGCCAGACAACAGGCAGUUUGUGUUCCGUUAUUUCCCUAGAUUUAAACAAGCUUAAAAGGCAGAGUACAUAGGCAAUAAACCUAAUGAUCUGGUGUAAAGUAACCAAAAUUGAGAAAGCUCAAGCUUAUGUUAUGUCCAACGUGAGGUUGCUAGGCUUAAAACCGCAGUCAUAUCACUUACACUACAGGGUAGUGGAGCCAAACAAAGUUGCUAAAAUCAAAAAAGGGUAGAGGUCAAAGAUGAAGGUACCUCUGAGGAGAUUGAUGAAAUGGAUUUCUGAUCUGCAUUUCUUACAAUUGGAAUCAUUAAACCCUGCAAUCCAAAUAAAAUAAUAUGAAACCCGUUGCUCUAUAGAACCCAAGAACUACAUCUUAUUGGAAGCAUACCUUCUCAGUAGCAACUGCAAUUGAUAUGUCAACAGAAUCACACAAUUAUUUCCCCUUUCUCAACAUCCCAAUAAGCUGCAGUCAUUGAAAUAGCAAAUUUUUUAUUAGAAAUAAGCCAAAAGAGCCAAAAUUUUGUAUGAAAGCUAAAUUUAAUCGAAGAAAAAGGAAUAAUGUAAUUAUUUUCCACUUUAUAAAAUAGCACUUAUUACUGAUAAGCUGAUGCUGGAAAUUUCUUAUACACAGUGUGUACACUCGACACAAAUGUAUGACAAAUUAACAGUAAGUGCUCUUCCUGCUUGAAACUUCUUCGAUGCAACCAUAUAUUAUCAACACAAAACAAGAUAAGUCUUUUCCUGUUUGGAUGUUAGAGGAGGCUCAUAGACCCACCUGGUAAUAAUGUAAAUACUCAGCUUCAGAUUCUAUCAAAGUGAAUAAAUAUUUUAUACAACAUUAAUAUUCUCCAGAACUCUCUUUUCAGAUUAAGCUGAAAACCAUUUAUAGAUCAGCAACUACAAAUUAAUUGUUGAACUACUGAGGUAUAAGAAAUAAAAUGACCACACAAUCUUAUGACAUUUCCUUCAUUAAGGAAGGUUGAAGUUCUGGUUUGAGCAUAUGAAAAAGCAAGUAGGGUUGGUAAAGGACUGGGAAAGGGUUACCCCCACUAAGAAUCCAGCCAAUGAAUCAACACAAAAGAAAUAAAUAAAGGUAGAAAAGAAUCAAAAACUCAAAAUAUUUUCUUCCCAUCGUAGUUUUGCUAGAGAUGCAAAAAUCACUAAUAAAAGCAUUUUUGUGCUUGCAUCAGUUUAAAAAUGUAUGUCAUUCCCAAUCUUUUACAGCAGCAUAACAGAGUGGAAUCUAGUCCAAGAGAUAAAUAUCACCCCACAUUUCUAGCAAUGUUUACUACAUUUUACAAUUGGUCAAGCUCAUUAGCCAAUUGUGUUGGCUCAGCUCCCAUACCAUGUUUACUCAGAAAUCUACAAGGACCAGUUUUAUUGAAAUUAUGUCUUACCAUUAGCUUCAGGUACAUUUUUCAAAGCAAUUGCCACUGCUUUUAUGACGAUGUCAUUUAACUGAAACUUUAAUAUAAUGCUUCUCUGCAAAUUGAGAAAGAAUAGAACAAUUAGCAGUCAGUAAAACCACAGGUGUGAAAGAUCAAAUUGAUGAUACAGGAAUUUAUUCCAUACCUUUAAGCUCCUUCCUAAAGGAAAGAAGAGGAUCCACUAUAACAUCUGAAGAACACAAUAAAACCUUUCACUGGUUUAGACCAGUCAAAAUAAAAUUCCAAUACAAAAUUUAGGAUGGAAACAUGUGAAAAGAGAAAUUCAAAGAUAUCGGACAUUUAGAUGAAUUGAAAUACGUAUUACUAAUAACAACAUUUGACGGUAUAACAAAUGCUAAGGUUGUAAAGAACUUAUAGCAGUAACAGAGAUACAUUUCUCUUCAAACUGCUUAGAAAAGAACAAAGAAUCAAUAAUAGGACUUCCUUGAGCUUAGAAAUUUAAUUCUCUUCAAAGAACCCAACUAUUAUCUGAACGAAUAAAUUAACUACAAAUAUUAAGGAAAAGCCUUUAGACAUUUUGUAUUGCAAAUAGCAUACAGGGACAUAAAGGAAGACUGGCAUGUUCAAAUACUUCUAUCACAGUUCUAGUGCCUCUAUAUAAAACCAACCCUAACAUGUUAUUAAUUCAGAAGUAUUCAUAUCAAGUUUAUGAAGAUAUACUGCCCGUAUUUAAAACCAACCCUAACAUGUCAUACAUGAUAAAUAAGUUCUAAAUAAAUAAAUAAUAAAAGAAAACCCUCUCAAUCAAACCCCUUACUAAUCCUAUUCAAUGAAUAAUCUGUGAUUCUAUAAUGCAAUAGCCAUAAAGGCCUGUGUCCUUUUGGUGAACUCAACUUAAAAUAAAUCACUUGUCAGUGCAACUGAUUCAUCAAACCAUUACAUGCAAACUUUGAACCCAAUGUCCUUUGAAUGUUGCUCCUUCUAACUUCCGCCAAAUGCAUUCAUGUAAACCUCCUAACUUUGGCAAAGCUCUUUGCAUCAUUUUAUUUCCAUAUUCUCCAACACCACCAUCUGCCUUUAUCAUCAGUUUGGUCAUUAGCGCAUAAAUCUUACCUUUCUUAUAUUGAUGCAUGCUUCAAUUUUUUAUAUCAAGCUAUACUUAAAAUGUAUGAAUAGGUCAUUUUUUCACUAUCCAAUAUUUGGUAUAACCAUCUGCAGUCACAGGACUUUAGAGAUUUUAAGUUUUAUCUGACGGCCAAUGCAAUAUAAAGGCACAUUUAUUUCAGGAAUAAAGAUUAAAACCAGUCCAUAAUGCUUCUCCUAUCUUUAAAUAAUAACCUAGUUAGAAAAGGUCAAGGCCAAAGUCUCUUGCCUUGUUAACUCCCUUAUAACUGAAUAAUGAAAUAUACCUUGCGAAUUUGAGUACUGGACAAGUCUUCAAAAGAAUCUGAUUGCUGUGGAUGAGCUUUUGACUCAGGCCUCACUGAAGGAGAUUUCUUAGGGCUGGUUUGAAUUGAUGGUUUUUUUCUUCUCAGAUGAAGAUAUCUUGGAAGAUCCUUUUCCGGACUUAAUUACAGCCAAACCUUCUCCUUUUAGCAAAGUACCAUGAGGACCCGAUGCCUUUAGUGAUGAUGCAGCUAAUCCAUAUUCUAAGCAACUUGGCUGAUGUACUGAUCUUUGUACCAGACUUCUGCUCUCUAACUUUACUUUUGGAUUCAUGAUGAGUUGGUUCUCGCUUUUUGACUGUAGUGGUCUUUACAGCUUCAAUAUCAACUGGAUCUUCAACCUCGCAAGAUAACAAGCAUUAGUGCCCCAUGUGCCUCAAGUCACUACCAUUAACCUGACUUCAAAAAAUCCUUUGACUAACUAUGAAAAGCUAAAUUGCAUCAAGUAAUUUACAACAAGAUAUGAAAUAAGUCAACGUAACAGCAUAUAAUGGCGACUUACUGUUACCGCAAUAGGUUUCCCCACAGCCACAUCCUUUGAACCUUCUGAAGCAAGUAUCUUUGCCAGGUAGCUGCACCCAACAAUUUCAACAGACAACUGUAAGUUUAUAUGUAAUUAACAGAAAUGAACCAUAGAAAUGAAAGGAAUUGCUAACCAAGAUCAAUCUCAAACCCAAGAAAGCCUCUCUUUUGUUAUUAACUUGUAAAAAAUACCCUUGCUUCUAGAUUGAACUAUGUUCCACCUGCUUUGGUUGUUCAAUUUUAUAGGAUUCAACUUAUUUAGCCACGUAAACACAGCCCUCCAAAUUUUUCACCCAGGUUCUCUCGAUUUGACAUCUUAUUUAGUACUACUUUUCACUGUUAGUCUUACUAAAUAUAAUAUCCACAUAUGUGCUUUAUGGAAAACUCAUGCUUAUGCCUCACAUCAACGUUAUAUAUAUAUAUAUAUAUAUAGACACACACACACACACACAUAGACCUUGCUUUUGUUGUUCACUUUGAUAGAACUAGGGUCUAAUACAUGGCCAAGUUUAACUAAAAUAUAUGAUCAUGCUAAUAUUUCCUUGAAAACAACAAGGUAAAUCCAUAUUAAUACUAAAGGUGUUUCUCAUCUUAGUGUAUAUCCAACAAGUCUAUAAGCACCAUUUUGGAAGACUUACGCCUGAGACCUCACUAUUUAUCAUACUUUUGGAUGGACAUAAUGACAAAUGAUCAGCUACAGAAAUCAAGUUAGUCCAAAGAUUACACUAUCAAUUAAUGUCACUUUAGUGCUAUCAGCAAUAAAUUCCAAAGCAAGAAAGAACAUUACCCUGCUUCAAGGCUCUCAAAUUCGAGGGUAGCUUUGUCAGUCUCAAUCUCACAUAUAACAUCACCCACUUCUAUAUGCCCAACAAUGUUAGGCAUAUGGAUGCGAACAAGGUUAUUAUUCACUCAAAAAGAAAAAGAAAGCAUUUUAAAGUAUUUAUAACUUGUGCUAAUAAAACUAACCUUGUCCCCUUCUUUUUUCCUCCACUUAAAAAUGUUACCCUGAUUCUAUAAUAAAAUAUGAAAAGGCAAAAUAAGCUUUUGCAGUAAAGAAAAAGUCAGAGAAGGAGGUUCAUAUUUGAACCUAAUUUUUCUUACCAUUGAUGGAGAAAGCACUGGCAUUCUAAUAACAAUGUAAGGAGGAAGGUUUGAGGCGUUGGCAUUAAUAGAAGUUGGUUCCUCUUCUUUUUCUGAGUUUCUGACAUCCUGAUGGGCUGUUUUUACCUCAACCUCUGAUCCUCCCCCAGAAGUAGAAGGGAUCUCCAGGAUAUUUUGUUCAUCCUCAACCUUGUGAACCCAUCCAAAUGAGUUUUAACAAAUUGUUUAUUGCAUAGUUGGUGCUCAACAAAAAAUUACUAUUUAAAAGCAUAAAAAAGAAAAUUCAGAUAUCAAAAGUUAUUCACCAAAUAAGAUGGAAAUUUUAUUGUUUGAAAUUAAAAGGUAUUUUCCAACAAUGUUGUUGCCAUUUUUUAGAAAGUUUAUGAACAUAAAUCCUUAUUUAUAUAGCUGUUAUUCUUUAAACCUUUUCAAAUGCUAAGGAGCAUAAAAAGAAGUGGAUAGCUAGCAAAAAUUAGUAAGCAAGGCAGAUGCUCAUUAGAUCAGGAAGCAAGAAUAGCAUACUACAGAAGACCAAAAAAAAAAAAAAAAAAACCCCAAAUGCUGCAAGACUAAGACUGUUUCUUCUUGAAAAAUUCAAAUAGAAUUGAAUUUUAUAUAUCUAUCAAUAGUAUGCCACUAAAGGAUGCAUCAAAGAAUAAAUACCGUUACUGCAAUAGGUUGUCCCACAGGCACAUCCUUAGAACCUUCAGGUAAUAGUAUCUUGGCCAAAAACCUGCAGAUAAGCACUCCAACCAUAAGGAAAGGUAAAAGAAAAAAGGAUGGUUAUGAACUUCACUAAUUCAAGCGUGCUCUUUGGUCAAUAUUAAUAAGAUGAAACAGCACAAGAAAAGUGUAUAAAGGGCUCGUAUGUAAAAUUAUAAAGUUGCAAAAGGAAACCAAAAAUCCCAUAUGUGGAGCAAAAUUUAGUAAUAAAUUAGGCCAUAGGAUUUAACAUCAGACACCAUAGAAAUUGAAAAAUAAAAGCACUAAGAAGCAAAAAAAAAAGGGUUUACCCUUCUUCCAGACUUUCAAAAUUGUAUGUGGCUUUAUCUGUCUCUAUUUGACAUGGUACAUUCAAUCUGUUAGGUAAGCAUCAGUGAUCAAGAAAUAAAUCAGGAUGACAAAAUGAAUCAAUUAAUUCACUACACCUUAUCACAAGACUUUUAUUUUUGAACAACCGUCUUUAAUUUACAUCAAAUUCAGAUGCGAAGACCAUAAAACCUAUAGCUUCCAUUAGUUUCUUAUAUAACUCACCCUAUCUCCUUCUUUCUUCUGCCAUUUUUGCAAUGUUACCUUGGCUCUGCACAUAUGCAAGAAGCAGCACAAGCUUCACUAUUGGAAUAAAGGGAGAACGUCUAUAUCAUAGUCAAAUAUUAUGAGGCUUAGCAUCCCAAAAUAUAUUACCGCUGUUGGAGACAAAGCAGGCAUCCCCAGGACAGUAUGCUCAGGAAGGUCGGUAAUUACAGAACUUAGUGAUAAGCAAGGAACAAAUCUUUGGCAAAUAUCAUAAUGAAAGACAACAAGUAAAACCUAACAACCAAGAAAAAUGAUAGAAAAUAUUUACCCUUUUAAUAAGUAGACUUGAAUCUGGGACCUACUCUAACCCGCACGCCAAUGUUUUUCAGGGGAGUCUAUCAUGCAAUCAAAAAAAUUGAUCCUUUUGAGAAAUCGAUGUCUUACUCCAUUACUUUGAAGGAACAAAACAAGAGAACAAUAGCCUGACAAAUGGUUCGGUUUGAUUCAGGUGCCGUUUAGGCAGGAGCAGGAUCCGAAUCGAACCUAUCAUUGAUUUGAGAUAUUGAUAGGGUGAAUACCCAGUCUAUUCAAUGCUAGGCAUAAUGAGUAUAAGGCCCAACAGCCACUAAUGCAUUAUGAGACCACAAAAUCUAUUUAACAUAUGAAACCAAGAGAUGAUACAUUCCAAUUUGAAGCACUGACAUUUUAUAUGUAAGCUGAAGAAUAUAAGUAAAUAGAUUUUCAAAUAGGUCUUGCACAAAGAUAAUGUAUUGAUUCCGCAUUAUGUAACUUGUAUUCAUCCUUAGACAGAGCCGAGGCAAACAUGAAAACCUACUUAUAACCUAAAGUAGGACCACAUAAUUCUAUCUAUAACCUAAAGUAGGACCAAAUAAUUCUAUGGCCAUGCAUUACGUAUAUUACUGAGGCUAGGCAGUUAAGUGCUCUUCAACCAAGCAGAUUUAUAACUACUAGUAAAUCUAGAAUAAUGAACCAUACAUAAGAAUCCUUGUAUCCAUGAAACCAAAUAUUGUAGUUAAACUUGCUUUUCGAAUUUCUACUGCUCAACAAGCACAACUGUUUAUGUGAACAAAACAUAGAUGUUUCUUACUUCAACUGAUACAAAAAAUUUCAUGGAAGUUUACCAAUGUAAUAGCUCCUUGCCUAGAUAAAUAUUCCUGAGUAUGUAUGAACGCAUGAAACCGAUGCCCCAGCAUUUUCCUAGUGCUAUGUUAUGACUCUACUACAAGACAUUUAUCCACAGCCAAUAAGUACUAUCAUUAGACUCUAAUUAAUAUGUAGAUUUGAAAAAGGAUAUAUCACAUAUAAUAUAUAUAUAUAUAUAGAGAGAGAGAGAGAGAGAUCAAACAAGGGCAAGCUAUUCUAGUCGGCAAAUUUUUUAUGACCGAGAUACCUAGCAUAAGAUCAUACUGACUUUGCUAGCGGUUUGAAAUAGAAAAGAAUGAAAAAGUAAGCAAGUCACUCAGAGCCUCUCGGACAAGACUUUGAAAACUAGAUGGGCAUUUAGGAAGAGGGAAAUGUUUAAUGGUGUCUUUGGAUGAGGCAUUUGGAGUUUGGGUAAAUAUAAGAGAGAAUUUCAAAAUUAUGAGGAAUUUCAAGAGGAAAUUUACCACCUCAAAUUCUCUCUUAAAACUCCACCUAAAGAGGUGGUUUUCAAAAUUCCUCCAAAUCUCCCAUCACUUUAUUGCACAUGGCCCACCAUAAAAUACAAAACUCAAAAAACAAAAUAUCAUUUUGUUUAACUCUAAUAAAAUAUCUAUACAUUUUUAUAAAUCUAAUGAUACCCAUAUUACAUUAUAUAUAUAUAUAUAUGUAUUUUUUCCUUUUAUAUUAUUUUUUAUUUCAUCAAAUUCCAACAGAAGAAAUUUUCCUUUAAAAAUAUUUAUCUAAACAAAAUAAUUACAAAUACUAACAUUUUAAAAUGAUGUAUUUUAAAAUAUCCUCAUUUUAAAUUCUUCAAAAUUUUAAAAUUCCUCAUCCAAACACACUGUAAAAGUAAAAUGUCAUAUACCUGCAGAUGAGAAUUGCCGAACUCCAAUUUGCAACUUCAAAAUCACAUAAAAUCAGAAACCAACCUUAUCCUAGAAAAGUGCAAGUUAUAAUUAAAUACCAACCUCGAGCAUUGAUGAAGUAAUGUAUAUUCCAAUUACGGUGGAUAAAGAAUUUGGCCUGCUAUGAGGGGAAUAAGCUGGUAAGAUUCAGAAAGUAAGCGACCCAGCUACAUUUGUCCAAAUAAAGGCAUAAUAAACGAAAUUGAGUCAACUUUGAUGUAUCACCAUCAUUUAGACAAAAUUGCAUUGGUUUUGAGUUGCAAAAGCAAGAAGGGGAAAACAACACUGACCAAGCUCAAACUUCACUUAAAAGUUUUAUCCCUUGAUAUUUCAUUGGUUUAAAAUUGUGUUACACAAGAAAAAAAAAUGGUCCUAUUACAAUUGCAUGGACAAUGAGUAAAGGUGUUAACAGAGGUACAUGAAGAUUAACAAACGUUGCAUAAAUGAGUGAUGAAUCAUGUAAAGCAGUCGUAACAAAAUUUACUACUGAUAAAUAGGAAGUCAACAAAGAAAACCUUAAGCAAGAUCCAUUCCAGUCCUUGAAAGGGCUUUCAACAUUUGUGGUGCUGCAGCAGCAAAUCGGUAAAAGGACAUAAGCAGAAUGAUACGAACUCAUGUAAAAGUCCUACACUUAGCACAAAUUAAAGGGCAUCACAUAUAAAUAAUCAAGAAAAGUACCUCAUAUCACUAACUUAAAAUGCUAAACUGCUAUUUUUCACUUGGAAAAAAAAGGGAUAUAGGCAGGUUGUUUGUAAAUGCAUCGUACAGGUGUAUAUAAAUGAAAGCAAUACGUACAUAGCAAGUAGACAAAAAUGCAUAAUGGAACAAAAAAAGGCCCAAUGUAAGAACUAAGGAUAAUAGUUAUUAUAUAUAUAUAUAUAUACAUGUUUAUAAAGAAAAUGAUUUACCGGAAACUUUUUCUUUUUCAUAAUUAUAUGCCCUUGUAAGGUUCAAAGAACAUAAUUUCAUUUCAAGCACCGUUGCAAUAAAGUUCUGCGUCUAAUUUCCACACCAAAAUUCUCACAAACCCAACUCUCAAAAUCACUACUUUCUCCAACAAAAGACAAAAUAGAACAUUCAAAUGCAAUUCUCUAUUUGAUUUCAAAACUAAAAUUAUCACAAAGAAAAGCCAACUCUCAAAAUUACUACUUUCAUCCAAAAAGAUUCAAAUAAGAUGCAAAUUGAUGGUUAUCACAGCAAGUGGCAAGUACCUAAUACAGUUGAUAACAAACAGUUCUGAGCAUAGAAAUAAAUGGAAAAAAAAAAAGAGAAAAAUACAGAGAAAGUGAUAUCGGGGAGGCGUAGAAAGAGAGAAAACGAGCUCUAAAGAGAGAUGGAGCGGCUCUUGAGAAAAUUGGAUUUCUGAGUCGUGAAAGCGCCAUUGAAAGUGCUCUGAGAAAAAACAAAGUGUGAGAAGAAAGAUCUUUGAUUUUAUUUAAUUUACAGUUUCAUCAAAGAAGAAGUUUUGGGUGUUUAUUUCUUGAAUAAUCGAUUUAAAAGAAGGAAAAAAAAGUUUCAUUUCUUUAGAUCGAAAAUGGCUGAUCCAAAGUGCAUAUCGAUCUACAAGACUACGACUACACAAAAAUAUCUGUUAGUUUUGCAAAUUUGAGUUUUAAGAAAUGUGUUUAUGAAAAAUUUUUAUAAUUUUUUUGAAAAAAUAGAUUUUUUAUUAUUUAAAUGAGUGAAUGAAAAUAUUUUUUGUUAUUAGACUGUUUUUAGAUUUUUUAUAAAUAUUAUUUAUAUAAUUAUUAAAAUAUAUUAAUUAUUUAUUAUUAAAAUAAUUAAUAUUAAAAAUUAAUUAUAUUUUAAUAAAAUAUUUAAUUUUAUAAUAUUAUAUUAAUAUUAAAAACUAAAACUAGUUAUAUUUUUAUAUUAAUACGUUAGAUAUUUAAAAUAAUAUUAUUAAUUUAUAUAAUUAUAUUAAAAUACUCAUAUUUAGUAGUAAAUAUUAAAAAUAUUUAUAAUAUUAAAAUAAUUAUAUUUUAGAUUAAAAGUAUCUAUUAUUAAAUUAUAACAAAAAUAUUAUUUAUUUAUAUUUAGUAUUCAAAUAGUAACAUAAAGACAUUAGCAACAAAAUAUAAAAAUAAUAUAUUUUAAAUUAAAAAUAUUAAGAAAUCAUUAAAAAUAUUCAUCUUAUUAAUAUAAUUCUAUAAUUAUAUUAAAUAAUAAUUAUAUUAAAAUAAUAAAAAUAUUUUUUGCUAUAUUAAUAUUUAUUAUUAAAAUAAUAACUAUAAUACUAUUUAUUAGUGAAAUAUUAAAAAUAUUUAUGUGUAAUACUAUACAAAUUGGAAAUAUCAAAAUUAAAAUAUCGAAAGGCUUUUAAUAUUAAUAUUUUUAAUUAAAAUUAAAUAAAAAUAUUUUUAUUAAUAUAAUUAUAUUUUAAUUCGAAUCAAAUCAAAUUCAAAGUUUAAAAUAUCAUGUCCAAAGUCUAAUUUGAGUCAAAUUACAACAUAUUUUAAAAUUAAAAUAUUAUAAAACUUUUAAUAUUAAUAUUUUAAAUUUAGUAAUAUAAUAAUACUUUAUGUUGAGUAAAAUUAAGCUUGAGCUUAAAAAUCAUACUAAAGGUCCACCUUGACCAGAAUUAUAAUUACAAACUUGAUAAAUAGUCUUAUUCAUAGGCAGUUAACUUUAUAAAUUGUUUUCUUUUUUUAAAAGGAAAAGAAAAUUAUUUUAAAAAAUUAUUUUUUAUUGAUCAAUAAAUUAUUUUUCAUUAAUUGAUCAAUUUUUUAUGAAACAAAUAUAAAAAAUUUAAAAAUUAUUUUUCAAAAAUUAUUUUUCUUAGAACAUAAUUUUUUAAUCAUUAAUAUUGAUAAGUAAUUUAGAAAAAAAAUUAAACUUUAAAAGAGUUUUAAAAUUUUUUAUUUAUUUUAGCUUUGCAUUUCAAAGCCCAGCCUAAUGGGCAAACAACAUUGGCACGUCCACAACACCUAACUGCUAUUGUCUUGGGCUCGAAAGGAAUAUAUCGGUGGAGGGAAAUUCAUUUUUUAUAUGUUCAAAAAUAUGCGAGACACGUAAAUUAUAGUUUAAAAUUUUAAUAAAAUUAUAUAUGAAUUUGAUAAAAUCAAAAAUUAUAUUUUAUAAUUUUAUAUUUGUAUAAAUUGUGACACUUAAUUUAUUUAUAAAUUAUUAUACAAAUAUAUAAAUUAUGAAUAUUUUACAUAACAUAAAUAUAUAAAUUAUCACAUCUAUCCAAAAUCAUUCCUUCUAUAGUAAUUUCACUAGUUUUUUGGUCCACAAAAGAGAGGACUCACCUUGGUUCAUACUUAUCUUGACCCUAAUAUCUCUCAUAGAGCCUCACAUUAGUGAAGAAUUGGAUAUGCUCCUUAUUUUCGACCUAAAAAGCAUAUCUAUUAGGUGGAAAAAAGAAAACAUGAUUCAUAAGCCCCAAACCACCCCUGCCGUAUCAAUUUGGGAUUAGUGACAUUACCAAUUAGCAAACCAUUCCCUUUUUUAUUUUUAUUUGAGAGAUAAUUAAAAUAUGCUUUUUAAAUAGAAAUUUUAUAUCAACCAUUAAAUUAAAUCCAAUGUUCCAUUGUUUAUAUAUAUAAAUGAGAAAUUAUUUUAUACACGUUGGAUUAAAUUUUUAGGUUCAUGAAUUAAAGAGUUAUUAUAUAUUUUCUAAAAUAUAUUAAUAGAAAUUUAAGAAAAAUUAAUAUAACAAAAAAUACAUGAUAAUUUUUAAUUUUAUAAAGUUUAAAAAUUUUACGAACUGUUUAUAAAAUCAAACUAUUUUUUAUUGGUUAAAAAUACAAUUUCUAAUUUGGACGUGUCCACUUUAAAUUUUAAAAUAAAAUAUUGAAAUUUAUGGGAUAAAUGAGGUAAACUAAACUAUUUUCGUGUGAGUACAAAAUAUAUUUUUACAUUUCUACUCAAUUAUGAUAUUCAAAGAAACAAGAAAACUGUCAUUGCAUAUGUAUUUAUAUACAUAUAUAUAAUUCUUUAAAAGUUAUGUACAAAAAAUUCUUUAAAAGUUAGGUGCAAAAAAUUAAUUUACUCAAAAUUGCAAUGUUUUGAAGGUUUUUUUUUUUCUCUGUAAUGACUUGGUAGAAUGUUUAUUGAAUAAAUUCCCUUAAAUAUAUAUAUAUAUAUAUAUAUAUAUGUUCCAGCCAUUUCCAUUUGUUUAUUUAGAAGGUACUUUUUAAUUACUUCACUAAAAUACAGGGUAAAACAAAUGAAAGAAUAAACAAAAAUUAAAAAAAAAAAGGAAAUAGGGAAGAAAAAGUAUUUUUAUGGUAAAAGAACUAAAAUAAAUAAUAAGAAUAUUAAAAAAUAUAUUUAAAUUUGGUAAAUAUUAAUAUACUUUAACGACAAAAGACCUAUACUAAUAGGAGAAAAUAAGAUAUAUUGUGUAUUCAUUAUCUAACUUUUAAAAAAAUUGUGUUUAGGUCGCUCAAAGUUAUUAAAAAAAAAAAAUAAUGUUUUGAUCCCCUUUGUCUAGAUAUACUAUCUGACUAUAAUGGUAGGAAUGUCGAGUGACAAUAUCCAUUGUUUUUUUAAUGGUUAAGUAAUAAAAAAUAAUAACACUUACAAAUGUUGUUGAGUAGAAAGUUAUCCAAAUAAAAAAUCUCAUGAUCGAAAUAAAAAAAUCUCAAGAAAAAUAAAUAAAAAUAUUUUUAUUUACUUUAAAAUCAAUUUGCAUAGUUUCGGUUAGAGUCAUGGGGUAUGAAAUAUUGUUUAAUUUUGUAUUUUUACUUUUGGUUUCACAAAACUUUCUCCAACAUACAAAAUAUAUAUUUAUUUAAAAACUACUUGAAAGAGCUUCAUUAAUAGUUCUAAAAAUGAAGAAUUUGGCAAAAGAAUCAGAAAUAAACAAAUCAUGAAUUUUAAAGCAUAAUUAAUUAAUUAUCAAUCAACUACAAAGCAAAAGUUGUUGUAUUCGAAAAUAGAAAUGGGCAGAAGUAUGUGUAAUUUAUCCACCAAAAGAAACAAUCAUAGGCAAAUAAAUGAGAAAAGCAAAUAAAUCAAACCAACCAUGCAUAAAGAUAAAGAAAAAGAAGAGGGAAGCAAUAAAUUUACAUGGAAAACACUUCCAAAAGAAGAAACUUUAGUGGUAGAACAAUCCGUAUUAAUUUUCAAAAUUGUUAAGCUUUUAGUGAGAAGAGUUUUCAUAUCAAUUACUCAAAGUUGUUGGAAAAAAAAUCAAAAAAUCUAAAUGUUUAAAAAAUCUAAAAUAAAAGAAAAAACUUGAAAUCAUUGGUGGUAAUAAUAUUGUUAUCUUUGUCAUAUUCCUGAUUCUUAACGAUAUACAAAAAGAAAUAACUGUAGAUAUUUAAUUUUAUCCUAAAUAAUUAAAAUAAUUUAGGGUUUCAAUUUAUAUUGAAUUAAAGGUAGUUUUACCGUAAUUUUACAUUUUAAUUAGAAUGACUUGGACUCAUUUAAUUUGGAUUCAUUUGAACUUAUUAGAUCCAUCAUUUAGGCCUGGACUUAUUAUGGAUUAAAUUUUAGUUCAAUCAAGGUUUUGGGUCAUUUAAGCUUAGAAGCUCAAAAUAGGGAAAAAGCUCGUAAAGAGUUUUUUUCUUCUUUUUUUUUUCUCUAUAUAUAUAAAAAAGAAAAAAAAAAAAAAAUAAAAAGCCUAAAGCUUGGAUUGGUAUGGAAGCCUUCCUCCAAAUUGCUACCCUAAUUCCAACUCUUCGAUUUUUGACUUUCCAUAAUUUAUCCGAAUCACCUCUAGCACAACUUGAUAAAAAACUUGGUAAUCCAAAAUUGGCUAGCAAUUCAAAACCCAAGAAACAACAUCACUACUUCCAUCUUGCAUGCCAUAACAAUUCAAGAACUCUGAUUACCAUUUGAGACCUAUUUCCAUCCAUAUUCUAAUGGCAACAUGAAACAAAGAUGGCUUUAAAAAAAAUCCUAAGCAAUUUGAAGGGGGAUAUGCAUACGACAUGACCCAAGCAAUUCACAAAAAAAUCCUAAGAGCCUAAUAUGCCUUCACAAAAAAAUCCAACUACCCAAACCUCCAAAAUCACCAUUACCAGCAUAAACCAUCCAAUACCAACACCAUCGAUCAACUUAAACACUACCUCCACUACCUACAUCACUAGCCAUCGUUAACCACUAGUUGAACCAACCUUGUUAAGACCUCAAACAUAGAAUUCCUACCACCAUGAACCCAUACCACCAUAACCUCUAAGCCUAUAGCAUCCACUAAAUCCCUUCAUCAUCUCCACCAUAAACACAUACAACACCCAAAAGUAAGACUAGACUUGUCUUCAUUUCUACUCGAAGUAAGACUAGACUUGUCUUCAUUCCUACUCGAACCCCCUGCACUACAAAAACUCAACACCAAUUCCAUUAUAGCCCUUUGCCUCCACUAAAAUCGAACCCAACUCCAAUCACCUAAGGCCUCUUACAUUAACACAUCAACCAACUAUCACCAACAAGCAGCCCAAUCACAACCCAAAAAGCUUAAAACAAAACAAAAAAAAAAUCAUUUUCUGUUCUUUUCCUAAAACUAAAAAUCACACAGAAAAGAUCAUUUGUUCUCUUUUCUGAAUUCCAAAACAAAAUAAAAAAUCAAAAUAAAAAGCAAUAACCUCAUUGCUCACAUUGAGUAAGUAACAAUAAAAAAAAAGAAAUAUAUAUACAAAAAAAAAUAGAGAGAGAGAGAGAGAAAAAAGUCAAGUUUUUUAGUACUAUUUUUAAAAAGGAAAUGAAAGUCAUCGUCAUUGGCUUGGAAAGUUUGAAUGGUGGCAAGGGACUUUGUAGUCUUAAUUGUGAAGUUUAUUUUUAGGGGUUCACUUUGGUGAAAUCUUAACUUAAAAGGGAAGAAAGAAAGGAGGAGGCUUGAGUUUUGACGAGAAAAUAGGGGAAGCAAAGAAGUAAAAAAAAAGAAAGAUAGGGGAAAUGUAAAAAUUGGUGAUCGCCAAUGGUUACUAGAGGUAGUGUUGGCAUUUGAUUGGAGGGAUUAGAGAAAGAGGGCAUUUGAUUAAAGACAAGAAAGGUGGUUGGUGAAGAAGAAAGAAAAAGUAAAAAGAAAAGAAGGGAAAGAAUAGGGUUUAAAGGAGAAGGGAAGAAAUAGUGAGUAUAAGGAAAAUUAAAGUUGAAAAAAAUGGAAAAAGGUUGCCAACCGGAUCCAACUGACCUAACUCAAAAUUAGACCCAACCUAAUUCAGUCCAAGCCUAGUCCAAGACUCCAUUAAAGCUAGGCCUCUCUCUUGCUUUGGUUCACCUAAGGUUCAAGCCCAAAAAUCCUAUUUGGUAUAUUUUCUAUUAUUUCUUUUAUUUUGUUAUGUUAUUAUGUGUAUUUGUUUUCUUUAUAUUUUAAAUACUCUUUAAUAUAAAUUUACUUAUGGAUUAUUGAAGUUGUAAAAUAAAAUAAAAUUUUUAAUAAAAAAUAAUAAUUUUAUGAUUUAACAAUGAUUUUCUUUAGAAUGGAGUUUUAGAAAUAAAAAUAAGAUAAUAUUCUAAGUAAAAACAAUUUUGAAAUCUUGCCUAGAUAUUGGAAGAAAUUCAAAUAUUUAUUUUUACCAAGAAAUGUUAUCUUUAUUUUAAAAGAUUAUUAUGAGAUUUUUAAACAAAUGACUAAUUUUUCUAAAUUCCACCUAAAUAUUGGGAAAUUAAGAAAAUUUUUCGUCACUAAAAAUUUUUAUUUCUAAAUAUUUUAUUAAAGAGAGAAAAAAUGACAUAAAAAUGAAAGAUUCAAAAAGAAUGAAAUAAAAUUGAUUAUUUGUAUUGUGUGAUUUUUAUUUGUUUCAUUUAUUUCCUAUGGCAUUACAUGUAUUGUACUUGUUGGUAAUAAAUGUCAAGUGGUAAAAUAAAAAUUAAAAAACAUAAUUUUUAGAAAUAAAAGUUAAUAUUCCUAAGUAAUAAUAAUUUUCGGGACUCUUCUUAGAUAUUGGAGGUUUUCUCAACAAUUAUUUUUUAUAAAAAAAUAUAUUAUAUCAGAUUUUAAAGAUUAUUAUAAGAACCCCAAGUGAAGAAAUAUUUUUCAAAAUUUCGCCUACAUAUUGGGAAAUUUAAAAAAAAUUGAAACUAAAGAUUUUAAUUUUAUUCCUAAACAAAAUGUCUUAAAAACAUUUUGCAAAAAUAAAUUAAAUUAAGAAAAUUAUUUUAAAUAUUAAAAAUAAGACCAUUUUCUUAUUAAUACCAAAAAUAACAUGCGAUUAAUUGGUACUGUUUUUUAAAAUAGAUAUUAUGAGGUGUUAAUCUUUUUCACAUGUAAUCGAACUCCCAAAUCCAUCUCUAAUUUUAAUUAUGAAAAUUACUUUUUGAUAAACUUUAAACUAGUUUUUUAGGUUUUAUUAAAAUGAUAAAUUUUUUCAGGUAGCCGAUUACACUUAGUCAAAAAAGAUUGAUGAUAAUUCUCUGUUUUGAUUUUAAAAUUUCUUCCAAGUAGUCAGAUUUCCAGAUCAAUACCUUACGACAACUAUGAUAAAAUAAAUAACCAAUAAAAUAAAACCUAAAAAGUACUUUGUUAACUUAAUUUGGAGUUUUAAUUAUGAUCACAUGUAAAGCAAGAUCUUGAACACUAGUGUUUUAUUAAGAGAAACUAUUGCAACUUUGAAAGGCUAUUUUAAACACACACACACACAUAUAUAACUAUAAAUUAAAAGAAUCCCCUAAAGAUUAUCAUGUUGACACCUAUUUAAUAUUUAAAAGAUUAUUUUACCCUUAAUCAAUAAUAAUUUAUAUUAUUAUGCUAUUAAAACUAAUCCCAUUUUUUUGUGAUCUAAAAAUAAAAAAAAAACAAAUCCAAAAUAAUCCUUAAAAAAUAACAAACUUCAUAACCUCAAAAGAAAAAAAAAUGUAAAUCUAAAUGCAAAUUUUAAAAAACUGAAAAUAAAAAUAUUUUUAAAAAAAUUCAGACACAUUCAAAAAAUCAUCAAAAAAAUUUCUCAGCUUCCAUAGCUUCAAAACACAACACCCAAAUUUUCAAAUUAAAAAAAAAAGAACAUAGCAACAAAAAUCAACAAUAAAAAAAAAAAAAGAAAAUGAGACUUUUAGGCUUGGAAGGAUUUAAAAAAAAAAAAAAAACAAAAAAAAGGGAAAGUCAGUCGCAACGAAAAUAACAAUGAAAAACACCACAAGGCACCAUAUUAUGAAAGCAAAUAUGAACUUUAAAAAAAUUAAAAAUUUUCAAAGAUUUUGGCUUAAAUCUACAUUUUUUGUAAAGAUUUUGAAAAAUCUAAACUGAUUAAAAUAAUAAAAAACUUGAUAGAUAAAGGGAAAAUAUAAGAGAAAAAGAUAAAUAGCAAUGCUGACAAUAUCCCCAAAUCAAAAUCUAGAUAGACAGGAAAUAUAAAGAGAAAGAUAAAAGCUAAAAAGAAAGAAACAGAACAAAAUGAAUCAAAGAACUCUAAGUUUAGGAAUUUAAAUACAAACGAAAAUAUCAAUAGCAACGGAUAAAAAAAGAAAAGUAAAGAAAAUGUGGGCUGGUUUAAGUAAACCUAAUUUGAAUUAGCUUUGAGCCUAACAAAUUUGGGGUAAGUAGUAAUAACUUAAACAUUUGUUAGCCCAUUCUUUUUUUUAUUUAAUUUUAAUUUGUGCAUAAGUUAAAUUUAUCAAAUUGUUUAAAAAUGAAAUAAAAAUAAAAUUAUUUGAAAAAAAUUAAAUAAUAAAAUAAUUAUUUUUGGUUGAGUAUAAUAAAAUAAUUGUUUCAAUAAUAAAAACAAUAAUUUUUGUAUAAUUAAGUAAAUAUAAUAAUAAAUUUUAUUAAAUAAAUUUUGAUUUUAAAAUAAUAAAAAAUAAAUUAAAAAUACACAUAUAUUAUCAAUUAAUUAUAUUUAAAACAUUCAAAUUUAAAUUAUCUAACAAACUAAUUAUAUAUACUUUUUAUUAAGAUAAAAAUUUUAGUAAUUUAUAUUUUAAAAUAAAAAAUAACUCUAAACAAAGCCUGAGGCAAACCCUAGUGUAUGUGUGUGUCUAUAUAUAUAUAUAUAUAUAUAUAUAUAUUAGUAAAGAAGUGUUUGGCCUAAUUUAUUCAAGGGUUUUUUACUGCAAAAAUAUAAAUAAAAUAUUUGACUUUCAAAAUUUUAAAGUUAUUAAUUGAAGCCUAUUUGGCUUUUUUAAACAAUGUUAUAAAUUAAAACUUUUUCAAAAGUGUUAUUGUAUAAUAACAAAUAUUUUUCCAAUUUUUUUACAUUCUCAUUUGUAAAUAACUCAUAAAAUAAUAAGAAUGCAUUAUUUCACAUACAUAUUUUUUCCUCGAUCCAAUUUUUUUUGUUGAUUUCAUUUAUUUUUUAAUUUCUAAUUAAUAAAAUAUAUCUUUGUUUUAUUUAUUUUUUUGCCUUAUAAAGUUAAACCUUUUAAUAUUUAUUUAAUAAAAAUAUUAUUAAAUAGGUUUUUUUGUUUUAGAGAUUUUUGCAUUAUGUUUAACAAAUAGUAUUUUAACACCUCUUAAAAAAAAAGACUUCAAUAGACCAAACAAACUUUAAAUAUCUUUUUGAAAAAUAAGUGAUCUUGUAAAGCAAGGACCAAAAUUUGGUAUUAAGUGCGACAAAAUUCUCAAUGUGGCCAUGGAAAAUUUGUUUUUCUUUUUCCAAUUUUCAUAAUUUUUUUAUGUUUAAAAUUAUUCACAAAUUAACAUUAAUAUUAAUUUUUCAAAUAGUAUAAUAAAAUUAUUAAAUUAAAUACAUUAAAAAGAGAAAAAAAUAAAAUGGACUCAACUAUCAUAUUGACAAAUUAGCUGUGUGAACACAUAAUACUAGUAAUUAAACCUAUUCAUAAAUCGAGUUAGAUCAGAUUUAGGCUUAAUCUAGAUAAAGCAUUAACAAGUUUCGAACUUGCCUAAACUCAAUCCGGCCCAAAAUAUGACCUCAUUUUGUUGCUUAGGCCCAACUCAUUUUUAAAAGAUGUCUAGGAUCGUCUAUAUUUUUUAAAUAAAAAUAAAAAUAAUUUUUGUAAUAAAUAUGAACUAUGAUAAAAUAAAUAAUCAACAAAAUAAAGCCUAAAAAAAUACUUUGUUAACUUAAUUUGGUGUUUGAAUGUAAUUAGUAUAUAUAGGCAUGGGAUAUUAAUGUACACUUGUAUAUUAUUUAAUUAUUUUUUAUUUAAUAUAAAUAUAAAAAAUAUAUAAUAAUUAUUCAAGCUGAGUAGGGCUCAGGCUUUAAACUUUAUGUCCAAGGCAUAGCACAUUUUUAAACUAACAUAAAAUUUAAGUCCUAGCUCAUUUAACGAGUCUAAAAUUCAUGUCAAAACCUUCUCAAAUUUCGAGUAGGCUUUUAGGCUCAAGCAAGUAGCUUGACCAACAUAAUUUAAAAGUUUAACUCAUUUAAUUCAUUCAGCUACCUUUAAAAGGUGACAUUCGAUAAGUUUAAAAUUUAAAUAUCAAUACUUGUAUUCUAUUUUCCAAUCUUUAGGCUGCAAAUUUUUGUAUAUAUAAAACAUCAUCUUUUAAAGAAAAAAAUUAAAAGUACUAUCGUUUUUUAUAAUAAAGAUUUUAAUUUGCCUUAAGAAAAAAUUGUUAGAAAUUAAAAGCUUCUACACCCAACCUCAACUACUUAUCUAAUGUAUGACAACAGAAUGAUUUGCUUUGAAAGCGAGAAGAUUGAUUGAUCUUUACGUUUGGUAGCUUUUUUUUCCUUUUUUGGUAAGACAUUUGGUAGCUUUAAUUCUUCACCUAAAAUUUCCUAGUCUGCUUUGACGCAUAUGAAACCAAGACCAUUUGAUUGAUCCUUGCGUUUAGAAAACGAUCAUUAUAGCUUUCGUGACUUAAAAUUUUUUAGUUUGCUUUGAUCUUUGUGGAAAGCAAGAUGAUUUGGAUUGAUCCAAGGCCUAGCACUUAGAACACGGCUGCUUUUGAUGAAUUAAAAAGACAAAAGUUUCAUCGUUAUGCACAUUUCGACUCUUCUUUUGUCUCUCUCAUGGUGACAGAAUUGCUUGCACAGUUUUGGAUUACACCAAUCACGGCUUUGAUAUAUGGUAUUAUCAUAAACUAAUGCUCCAUUUGUCCCAAAAUCUAUCUAUCCUUAUUUGAAUUUUUGUAGAUAUUAAGAAAAAAAAUUGUGGUAAAAAUAAGUAAGCCUAAACAAUGUUCAUACAGCCAAAAAAAAAAGAUUUUAUUUUAUUCUAAAAAUAUAAAAUUAUUUUUUUAAAAUAUUUAAUAUUAUCUAUAAUCAGUUAUCCUAAUAUAAUUUAUAUCUCUUAGAAUAUAUAUAUAGACACACACACACAAAAGAAUGACUGACUGCAAAUCUGUGGCAAAAGUGAUAGAGCCAUAGUAUUUUGCAUCUCUGUGGUGUAAAACGUGGAGUCAAGGAAUAUUAGUUAGGUCUCGAAAAGUAUAUAAGUCCAACGAAUACAAAGAAAAAGAGAAAAAGAUAUAUUAGUUUUAGCUAUGCUUUGUAAAAGGAGAUUAAAGGCAAAUUAGAGGGCCCAAAAUCAAAAGCCUGAUUCAUUUUAUUUAUUGUGAAGACCAAGACCAUCCCAGCACGACUUUCCUGUCGGAGUUGAAUCCUGCAAUUUCAUCAAUUCCCACAGCCAUGAACAUGAUGCAACUGCGUUAAAAAAGAGAAAAAGAUAUAUUAGUUGUAGCUAUGCUUUGUAAAAGGAGAUUAAAGGCAAAUUAGAGGGCCCAAAAUCAAAAGCUUGAUUCAUUUUAUUUAUUGUGAAGACCAAGACCAUCCCAGCACGACUUUCCUCUUGGAGUUGAAUCCUGCAAUUUCAUCAAUUCCCACAGCCAUGAACAUGAUGCAACUGCGUUAAUUUUUCUUAACUUCAUUUCCUCGCAAAUUAUUUUAUUAAUAUUUUCGUAAUUUCAUUUCUAAAAAUAAAAAUUUUGACUCUCCUCAUAUACCAAUUUCACUUAGAGAAAUUUCAGAAAAAUUGGCACUCCAACUUCCCUUGAAAUUCCCUUUUACAAAAGGUUUCAUAUAUUAAAUUAAAUUAACUUUUAAUUAGAAAUUUCAAAUAAUUAUAUUUAUUUAUCAAAGUGAAAUUUUGUAUAAAAUUCAACAAAUGAUAAAUUACGUUUGUCCAACUAUGGAAAUUAUAUUUUUACCUUGGUGACAAGUUAAAUUUAUUUACCAAAUGUUAAGCAUCGCAUGGGAAAUGUUUUUGCAUUAUAUAUAUACUAAUAUUUGAAGCACCCAUUAUCUAGGUGAAGUAAUAAACAAGAAUUAUACCUUUAGAUAAAUGCUAAAAGAGAAAGAAUAUAUAUAGAGUUAUUUGAAAAUGUAAAAUAAAGAAAAAUAGGAAUGUAACUAGUGUAUAGUUUUUUAAUAGAGAAAAAACAGAGAGAAAUGUAAGUUUAAAAAGGACUGGACUUGAAUCAGCUUUCAAAGAAUGUAAAGACUAAAAUAUCCUUAUUAAUUUAUAUUUCAUUAUUACAUCAUGAGUUUAUUUUUUUAAUUCUUCGAUUGAGUUGGUGUUACUUGAAUCGUAUUUAGUAGGAGUUUUAUAAAUAUUAAUCUUAUAUACAUGCACUAUGUGAAUGGAAUAAUAAAUAAUUUUAUAAUUUAAAAAUAGGUUAAUAAUAUAUAUAUAUAUAUAUAUGAUUUUCAAAAGCAUGAAUGAGAAAAAAAUAACUUAUUGAAACAGUUAUUGAGAAAAGAAAAGUGAAAAUAACUCAUUGAAAUUGUUAUUAAGAAAAGAGAAAAAAAAGCAUUUAUUUAUUUAUUUUAACUACCCUGAUCAAGUUCACAUCACUUGACUUAUAGUAUCAAACUCAGCUAAAGAUUUAUAAAUGUACUAAAAUUUGACACAUCCACUAUGUGGAUAAAAAAAUUAUUAAUUAAAAAUAAUUUUUUUUUAAAGGAAGUAACUUUUUUGGUGGGUAGCUUUUUUGAAAUGAUAGUAAAANNNNNNNNNNNNNNNNNNNNNNNNNNNNNNNNNNNNNNNNNNNNNNNNNNNNNNNNNNNNNNNNNNNNNNNNNNNNNNNNNNNNNNNNNNNNNNNNNNNNNNNNNNNNNNNNNNNNNNNNNNNNNNNNNNNNNNNNNNNNNNNNNNNNNNNNNNNNNNNNNNNNNNNNNNNNNNNNNNNNNNNNNNNNNNNNNNNNNNNNNNNNNNNNNNNNNNNNNNNNNNNNNNNNNNNNNNNNNNNNNNNNNNNNNNNNNNNNNNNNNNNNNNNNNNNNNNNNNNNNNNNNNNNNNNNNNNNNNNNNNNNNNNNNNNNNNNNNNNNNNNNNNNNNNNNNNNNNNNNNNNNNNNNNNNNNNNNNNNNNNNNNNNNNNNNNNNNNNNNNNNNNNNNNNNNNNNNNNNNNNNNNNNNNNNNNNNNNNNNNNNNNNNNNNNNNNNNNNNNNNNNNNNNNNNNNNNNNNNNNNNNNNNNNNNNNNNNNNNNNNNNNNNNNNNNNNNNNNNNNNNNNNNNNNNNNNNNNNNNNNNNNNNNNNNNNNNNNNNNNNNNNNNNNNNNNNNNNNNNNNNNNNNNNNNNNNNNNNNNNNNNNNNNNNNNNNNNNNNNNNNNNNNNNNNNNNNNNNNNNNNNNNNNNNNNNNNNNNNNNNNNNNNNNNNNNNNNNNNNNNNNNNNNNNNNNNNNNNNNNNNNNNNNNNNNNNNNNNNNNNNNNNNNNNNNNNNNNNNNNNNNNNNNNNNNNNNNNNNNNNNNNNNNNNNNNNNNNNNNNNNNNNNNNNNNNNNNNNNNNNNNNNNNNNNNNNNNNNNNNNNNNNNNNNNNNNNNNNNNNNNNNNNNNNNNNNNNNNNNNNNNNNNNNNNNNNNNNNNNNNNNNNNNNNNNNNNNNNNNNNNNNNNNNNNNNNNNNNNNNNNNNNNNNNNNNNNNNNNNNNNNNNNNNNNNNNNNNNNNNNNNNNNNNNNNNNNNNNNNNNNNNNNNNNNNNNNNNNNNNNNNNNNNNNNNNNNNNNNNNUUAACUAUGUUUCUUGGUAAGAUUCUUGUAUUUCACUUAUGAUGGUCUUUUGAUCUCUAAUAAAAAUAUGGCUUAGCAAAAAAAAAAAAAAUUACAUAACUUUUGCCUUCUUAUUUUGUAAAAGAACAGUUAAAUUCCCUAAUUUGACAACAAAAAGGGUAAAAGUAGCACUUAUUUUAAUUGCAUAUAAUAAAAAAAGCAUAUAAUUUAUAAUUAUUAUAAUAUAAUUAAUUAAUUAUAAUUUAAAAUUAUGUGAAAUUUAUCAAAAUUUUAUAUAUAACCCAUAUUAUAAGUGAUGAUCCUUAUAUAAUAAUUUAUUAUGAUUAGAUAAUAACUGUAAUAUUAUAGUUAAAAAAAAUAUAAUUGAAAUACUCCAAAUAAAAGUCAGAUAACUUUAGACAAAUCUAUACAUUAUAUUAAAACAAUCCUACGAUAAAAGCAUAGUAGUUGGGGACGAAUUGAAAAUUGAAACGUGGUUGGAUAAGUGAAGAAUGCUUAUCUUUUAAUUUUGAAUGUUGAUUUUUUUAAGGAACGGAGUACGACUAAAAAAAAUCAUUAAUACUAUAUUUUAAAACAAUGGUUUUUGUUAAUAUAUAUUUUUUUGAAAUUGGUUUUUGUUAAAUAUAAUUAAUCAUAGGUUUGUUCCACAAUUACCAUAUAAACUUUACUCAUUUGUCUUAAAAGAACGGAUUGAGUAAAAAAAUAAUAUAGGCUAAGUAAACGUAUGAGCCUUACUUUUUGUAUUAAAAGAGUGGACUUACUAUACAAUGUUAUAGUAAUUUUAAUCUAAUUUUUAAUUUCCAUAUUAAAUUUAUUAUUUAUAUGUAGUAUAAUAAUGCUCAAAUUAAAAUUACCUUAUCUAUUCAAUAAAAAUUUUAUAUUAUAGAAGAUUUAAAUUUAGUAUUUUAUUAUAAUACUAAACCUUGUUAAUAAAUAAUAAAAUUAUAUUAAUUUUAAUAAAAUAUUAAGUGUUGUUAAUAAAUAGUAAAUUUAGAAAAUCUAGAAAAUGAAUUGACCAAUGUCAUUAGCUAAUAAUAGAAAAUUACAAAAUGGAUCAGUUCCAAUUUAAUGAAACUUUAAAUUGGUGUUAAAAGACAAAUAUUUGAGGGAAUAAACACUAAAAGGUUUUUAAUUUGGUUUUAUUGAUGUGGAAAGACUGUUUCCUUCCUACUUCAAAUUAAAUAAUCAUUACAAUACAGGUUUAAAUGAUAAUUUUUUAUGCAAUUUUUAUUUUAGAAUACACUUUUUAUAUGUACCUUUCUUUCUUUCAUUCUUUUCUUCUUGCUAUUCAGGUUUUUUUUUUUUUUUUUUUUUUUCAAAUUUCAAAAUUUUUAGCUUACUUUUUAUCAUCUAUAUAUAAAAUUAAACAAAUAUACACAUAUUACAUCAUCUUUUAUUGUUUUCAAUAUCCAGAAUAUCAAAAUACAACAUUCACUUAAUUCCAUGCAGUGGGAAAAAAAUGGGGUAGUUAACAAAUAGCUCAAAUACAUUCAUGUGAAUUUUGUAUGAUUACAGCAUAUUAACUUUUGACUAUACUUAUAGAAUCUGAAUAUUAUUGUUUUUUUAUAGAAUCUGAAUAUUAUUGUUUUUUAUAACUUUGUUAUGAUGAAUAUCAAAUAUAUUCAUUUGAAUUUUAUUUAAUUUAUCCCUCAUCAUGAACUUUUGAAUUUCAUAAUCCUUUUAAUAUAUACUUAACAGUUUUAAUCAAUUUAAUGAUAUCUAUAUGAUUUAAUUUUUAUGAAACAUUCCACAUAUGCCCUAAUUAUAUGCAAGUUCACCAUUACUUUGAAACUACUCCACGUAGAUACACACUAUUAAUAGAUAUAAAAGGAAUGAAAUACAUUGUUACAUUUUUUGUUACAAAAAAAAUAUAUUUUAAAUAUUUGCAGGUAAAUAAAUAUAAAAAUAUUAAAUAUUAUAUUACUACUUUAAGUUGAUGGAACAAUAAAUUAAGUAAGACGGUAUUAAAUAAAUAUGGGGGUAAUUAACAAAGUACGUGAAUUUUACUUUUUAUUACAUUAUAAAACAAAUCAAGUAAUUUUACCAUAUAUAAUUGCAAUGGGAUAAUAAAUAAUAGCCAUAUUGGCAUCGCAAGUGUUGGGUGCCUAACUUUUUUCCACCUUGGCCUACCUUGUAGUCUUAGGUACUGGUGUGCAUCCUAAUUAGGGUAUCAUUCAAUCAUAAAACGUUUACUAAAAAAUUAAAAAUAUUUUCCAAAAGAUGGAAUUUCGACUUUUAGGUUUGGUUUUCAAAUUACUCUGAGUCUUUGUUUUGCUUUUCCCUAAUUUAAUUGGAAACAGCAUUUGAUUUAAUAAGAUAAAAAGGUUUAGAAAAUCAUUUCUCAAGCCUUUCAAUGGCACCUCAUUUGUUUAACAGUUUUCAUAAUUUUAUGAUUAUUUGUUUUAUAAUUCUAAAGUAAACUUUUUUAAAACUAAAGUAAACAAUUUUAAACAUAAAAGCAAUGAAAUGUUUACAAUAAAAUUACCUGAUAGACUAUUGUUCGAAAGUUCAAUUUUUUUCAAAGAAGAAAUGUUGAAGACGACAUGUGGAAUCAACCCAUUUAAACGCAUAAAUGAUGCAUGUAAUAUCUCUAACGAAAUAAGAUUCCCAAUCUCCCAUGGAAUUUCACCUACAAAGGAACAACAACUUACUAUUAUAAAACUAUCCACUUUCUAAACAUUCCAAUAAUAUUGAGGUCAUUUAAAAUGCAAUAAAAGUCAAUUACACAAGAAAUUCCUAAUUUUUUCAAUGUUUAAAAUAUGAAGGAAUAAUUAAUUUUUUCAAUACCAAAAGUUUUAGUCAAAAUGAGAAAAGAACAAAAGAAAACCAAGAUUUGACUAUCUUCGUGUUGGCCAUUCUAUUAAUUUUUAUUUUUUAGUUAUUUUUUUAUACUUUUUUUCAGUAUAAAUAAUAAUAAAUAUCAAUCAUUUGAAAUCUAAAUAAUCAUAUGCAAAAGCUUACCUUCUAUAUCAUUAUAACCUAGAUAUAUCUCUUCAAGUUUGGUUAAAUUUCCUAUAUUUCUUGGAAUGUGUCCAUUGAAUCGAUUAAAAGAUAAUGAUAAAUUUCGAAGAUUGCCGCAGUCACCAAUAUUUGAUGGAAGGUAACCAAAAAAUUCGUUGUGGGAUAUGUGAAGCACCUCAAGUUUGAAAAGAGAGUAACAUAUAUUAUCUGGAAUACUACCAGAGAGAUUAUUGCUAUAGAGAUAAAUUGCUUUCAAAGAAGUAAGGUUAAAGAUGGAAGUUGGUAUUGGACCAACUAGCCUCAUGUUUCCGGCAGAAAAUAUCUCCAAGCUCAGAAGAUUUCCAAUUUCUGAAGGGAUCUCACCUGUGAAAAUAACAAAAACCAAGUUGUAAGAGCUCGGUCAAGUAGAUAAUUAAAUUAGAUAAUGAAACCAUUUUUUCCAAAUUUUAUGAGAUUAUUGAUUAAAUUAGUUAAUUAUAUUCUCAUUCUAAAUAUUAUCUCAAAAGAGAUUAAAUACCAAAAUUUUGAGUCAUAAUGGGGAAACCAUAAAAGAAACUUAAGUUCAUAUGGUUGAUUUUUUUUAUUUGUCUUUUACUCUCUGUUCAUUUUUGAGUAAAAUAUACCCCAAUUAUCCGUAACCUUCUAAAAAUAUUUCAAAUUCACAUAUUUCAUCAACCAUGAAUGAAAAAUCAAUGAAACAUGCCAUGCGACUGAAAUUUCAACUCAAAAACCAAAAUGAUUCACUUUUUUUUGCUAUGUAACUAAAAAAUAUUUAAUUUACAAUAUUUAUUAUGGUUAAGACUUAAAUUUAUUUUUUUUAAUUUAAAAAUGGAUUAUUUCCAAAAAAAAUAUAAAUUAGUUUUCAAAAAAUACAAAAAAUUAUUUUUAUCAAAUUUUUUGUUUAUUUGAAAAAAUGGAAAAAAGGAAAUAUUAAAAAAUAAAGAAAGAAAAGGGGAAAAACAAAAAAGAGAAAAAAAAUAAAAGAAGGAAAAAUAAAAAAGUAGUUUGGUUAACUAAUUUAAUAAUGACAUUUAUCCGCCUAUUAAAUGUUUAUUUCAAAUUUUAAAUGUAAGUUCUAGGAAGAAAAUAGUUCAUUUAAAACUCAAUUACACAAGAAAUUCCUAAUUUCUUCAAUGUUAAAAAAUAUAAAGGAAUAAUUAAUUUUUUCAAUACCAAAAGUUUGAGUCAAAAUGAGAAAAGUAUAAAAGAAAACCAAAAUAUGACUAUUUUCAUGUUGGUCAUUCUAUUAAUUUUUAUUUUUUACUUAUUUCUUUUUAUUCUUUUUCUAAUAUAAAUAGUAAUAAAUAUCAAUCAAUUGAAAUCUAAAUAAUCAAAUGCAAAAGCUUACCUUCUACAUCAUUAUCUCCUAGAUAUAUCUCCUCAAGUUUGGUUAAAUUUCCUAUACUUCUUGGAAUGAAUCCAUUGAACCGAUUAAAAGAUAAUGAUAACUUUUGAAGAUUGCUGCAAGCACCAAUAUUUGAGGGAAUACUGCCAGAGAUACUAUUGUUAUAGAGAUAAAUUUCUUUCAAGGAAGAAAGGUUCAGGAUGGAAGCUGGCAUUGGACCAACAAGGCUCAUAUUUUGGGCAGCAAAUAUCUCCAAGCUCAAAAGAUUUCCAAUUUCAGAAGGGAUCUCACCUGUGAAAAUAACAGAAACCGAAUUGCAAAGGCUGGGUCAAGCAAAACGAGGCAUUUUUUUGCUUCGCAUCACUAUUCAUUAUGAAGUCAUUUUCUCCUAAUUUUAUGAGAUUAUUGAUUAAAUUAGAUAAUUAAAUUCUCAUUCUAAACAUUAUCUCAAAAGAGAUUAAAUACCAAAAUUUUUAGUCAUAAUGGGGAAAACAUAAAAGAAACUUAAGUUCAUUUGGUUGAAUUUUUUCUAUUUGUCCUUUACCUUCUUUUCAUUUUUUAGCAACCUAUACCAAUUAUAUAUAACUUUUGUGCAAUAUUUCAUUGUCAUCCACAAAUUUUAAAAUGUAGUUUAUGUCCAUAACCUUCUAAAAUUGUUUCAAAAUCAUAUAUUUCAUCAACCAUCAAUGAAAAAUCAAUGAAACAUGUCAUGCGACAAAUUUCAACUCAAAAUUCAAAAGGAUUCACCUUUUUAUGCCAUGUAACUAAAGAAUAUUUAAUUUACAAUAUUUUUUAUGGUUAAGAGUUAAAUUUAUUUUUUAAAUUUAAAAACUGAAUAUUUCCAAAAAUUAAAUUAAUUUUUCAAAAAUAUACAAAAAAUUAUUUUCAGCCAAGAAAUUUUACCUAAGAAAAUAACAUGAGUUUCAUGGUCACUGUUAAUAUUUAGGAGUUUUAACAUGAUAUCAAUAAUUAAAUUAAUUUUAGCACUUACUUUCCAAAUUAUAAAAGUAAUUCUUUUACGGUAAUUUCAAAUUAUCAAAUAAAGUUUAUUUUGACAAAAACUUCAAUGUUGAUAAGAAAAUAAAUAAAACUAGUCAUGUUUUAAUUUAAUAGGAAAAUAAUUAAUUAUAAAUAAAGUAGCUAAUUUAAUAAAUUAUCAAAUUAUCAAAGGAAAAAAAAAAAAAAAAAAAAGCUUACCUUCCAAAUUAUUUCCACCCAAGUAUAGCAUUCUGAGCCUCGUUAAAUUUCCAAUACUCCUUGGAAUGUUGCCACUGAAUCUAUUGAUACUUAAUGACAAAUUUUGAAGACACCUGCAUUCAUCUAUACUAGAUGGAAUUUGACCAAAAAACUCAUUUGAGGUCAAGUAAAGUACCUCAAGAUUGGGAAAAUGGCGACAUAUAUUUUCUGGUAAGCUACCAGAUAGACUAUUGAAUGCAAGAGAGAAAUCAUAUGCAGGAGAAAUGUUAUAAAUAGUGAAGUACAGAGCCAGAAAGUUUGAUUAAAUGCCAGACGAAUGUAUCUGUUAGAUUUCGUAAGCAUCACUUAAUCUCGGUGGAAUGUGUCCUUGAACGAGAUGUACUUCAAAUCCAAGAUCUUCAAGUGACAUUUUAGCUAGUGAUUGAGGCGAUGUGUACUGUCAAAUUAUUGUUCUGGAGACUCAAGUAUAAAACUUUAUUUUAAUCUCCCAAACCAUGAAGGAAUUUCCCCACUAAGAAAAUUGGAACUUAAAUCGAUGAGUUUCAGACGACUAAUUGCCCCAACUCUCUCGGCAAGAUGGCCAUGGAAAUUGGUUGUGACUCCAAAUCAAGAGAUACUAAAAACGAGAGAUUUCCCAAUUGUGGAGGACAGUUCCCGUAAGAUUCAUGUUGGUAAGAUUCAAAGUGUUGGACUCUCCUAUGCUAGAUGCGCAAGAGACACCAACCCAAUUGCAAACAGAAGUAUGAUGGUCCAUGUUGUGGCUAAGAUGCUGUUGCAGGAUCAAUGAUUUGGUGCUUAAAUUUCGAGAAGAGCAUGUUGGUCUGUGGUAAGGUUCCUCCACAAUCAUGGCCGUAGCAAACCAUGAAAACAAUGAAUGAACACUAAAGGCUAGCGAAAGAAAAUGGAAUAUUCUCAUGUUCAUGUCUGUGGAAGGAAAUCCAAAUCGAUGAAAUGGCAGGUGUAUACGGAACUCUGAUCAACAGCAAUUCUUAAAUAGGAAUAAGUUGCCAAUAUGACUUAAGACCUCAAGAGGAAGUUCUGGGUUUGGUCUUGGUCUUCACAAUUAACAAAUGAUUCAAGCUUUUGAUUUUGGGCCCUCUAAUCUUUUUUGAUCUCCUUUUACAAGCAUUGGCGAAGCUAAUUUAUCUUUUUGCAUUCUUUCUUUGUCUUUUUCUCUUUCUUUCUUUUAAUUUUUUUGUCUUGUACACUUUUUAAGGCCCCAUGACUCCACGUUUUACAAGAGAGAGUUGCAAAAUAGUAAUGGCUCUAUCUUUUUUGUCAAAAAAAAGUAAUUUAUAGUUUUUUUUAAACUUCUGAGUUAGUUAUUGUACAAAUCAAAGUAACUUAAAUUUAAUUUGUAAAAUUACUUAAAAUCAAAAUGAAAUAAUAAUAAAAAUAUGUAAGUAAAGAUAUUUAUGUAUUUUUAUUUAAAAAUUUAUGAUGAAAGAAAGUUUUUCCAUUUCCAGAUCAAAACAGGCUGCAAACUUUAAGGAGAAUUUAUACUAGAUUUGCAUAUCAUUCACCAAAAGUAGUGCUAGUAGUGGGAUUCCUCCCUACUACCGUUAAGUUUUCUCAUAAUUAUGGCGUAGUUAACCAUGAAAUAGUGAAUGAACAUUAACGCUGGCGAAAGAAAAUGGAAUUUUCUCAUAUCUAUGGCUGUGAUGGGAUCUAUGUAUAUCAAAACAGGUAACAUAAAAUAUUGAAGAAAUUGAGUCUGCAUAAAGCAUUAUUUAAAUAGAUUUCUAUACACACUACGAACUCGUCAACACUCAAGACAACCGAAAUUAUGAUAGGACAUUGAAGUCAAGACUUGGGGCCUUAGCAUGUCUUGGUCUUCACCGUGCUCUUCUGCAAUAAGCCAAGCUUUUAUUUUGGACCUUUUCAAUUUGCUGUUUUCAUAAACGAGAUAGGUAAGGUGCUAAGGCCUAGUUUAGUAUUAUCCUCGCGAUUGAAUAAAGUUUGGGUUAAAAAAAAGUGUUUAAAAAUAUUAUAAAAGAAGUGUAAUUAAAAAUUUUAGGUGUUUUGUGUUGUCGUGAAAAAUUAUUAUGUGUAAUUGAAAUGUUUGAUAAUAAUAAUAAUAAUAAUAAUAAUAAUAAAAAAUUAAAAAUAAAAAUAUAAUAUAAUAAUUUUUUAUUUCAAACACAUUUUUUAUCACAAAAAUAUCUAUCAAGAAAUUUUUUGUUUGAAUUUAUAAAUCAGUUUUUUAAAUUGAAAAACUAUAUUUUUUAUUUAACAUUAAAAUUAUAUCUAAAGUUGGAACGUAAAAAUUAUUUUCAACACAAUACAAACCGAGGUCUAAAUCUCUCCAUAUAAAGAGUAUUCAUACCGUACAAAUUCAAAACCUCUUACUCUUUAAAUAAUAAAAGUUCUCUUCAUCUAAAUACGAGUAUAUAUACAACCUUGCAAAUUUAACUAUAUUUUACUCAUCAAAAUGAAAUUUUGUUAUUUCUAAUUAACCAUUUCUAUUUUAAUUUUAGAAUUAUUAUAUUUUAAUUCUGGCCUACUACAUCCAUCUCGACUCUAUUAGAAUAAAAUUUUUUAGUUCCUCCACAAUACAUAUUGGACUUUUUUUUUUUUGAAUAAAUAACAUAUGAGAUUUUUAAAUUUUAAGCCAAAAUGAUAUAUAGUCCAAAAUUUAAAGACUACGGGUACUAUUUAUUAUGUUUUAGUAAAAAUAGUUCCUAUUUUCUGUUCUUUUAUAAUUAUCAUAAGUUUUUACAAAUACCCAAAUAUUCAAGCUUAAAUAUGAAAUUUUCACUCAAUGAUUUAAGUGGGAUGCCUAUCAUACAAAUCAUAUUAUUGACAAUUAAUCAAUUAUAAUUCUUAUUGUAGGGUUCAUAAAGUAAUCAUAUAGAACCCACAAGUUUAAGUGGUGGACUCCUACAUAAUUCGUUGUUAUGAUUAACUAAUUUCAAUGUUGCAAUAAAGAGAAUAGUAUGUGAAAUGCUACCCUUAUGCUAAAGUUUAAUAUGAUCUAUAUGCACUAUCCUCAUUUGUUAUCUCUUUGAGGAUGAAAGUAAAAGAUCGCUAAUAAGUUACGCUGAAAGAAUAUCAUGAAUACAUAAAUAUUACAAGAAUCAUAUCACUUAUUGCAAAUUAGAUUUUGAUUGAAAUUCAUUUUAAAAAUUUAAAAUUGAUACCAAAACAACUUUAAGUAUAUAUAACCUUUAAAUAUAAAGGAUAAUACCUUAAAUAGCCCUUGAGUUAUUGUAAUUUUUUUUAAUGCGAGACCUAAACUAAAAAAAAUUCUAAAUUAGGGUCAAGGGUUAUUUAUGGUAUUGACCCUAAAUAUUAUUAGAAUCAUAACAACUUUGGUUUUAGUUGUAGUGAGAAAAUUUCCAAUCUAAUUAAAUAAUCAAGCAAGUAGAAGCAUAAUUAAACAAUUGAUUAAUCACACAAAAAUUAGCAAUUUAAUGUGGUUUAGCUCAACUAGCUAUAGACACCAAAUUUGUUCGGGAUUUUAAUUGGGUCUCUGUUUAAAAUUCACCAGGUUUCUCAAGUUUUAGGAUUGAGGCUUGAUUUUGAUUCAAUAGGACCUAAGGCCUAGUUUCAAUUUUUAGGCUCAAGCCUAUUUUUUUAUUUUUACUUUUAUUGUAUUUUUAAUAUUAAAAUACAUUACUAUUAAUUAAACAUUAACAAAAAAUAUAUAAAAACAAAAAAAAACAAAGGCUAAAAGAUAAAAAAUAAAAAAAGAGCUGGUGGUGGAUGCCGUGCACAGCACCAUUGCCACCCACUCCCCUAAACCCCCCAAAACCCAACCGUUAACCCCCGUACCCUAUAACUGCACCCUUGGAAUCCUAUGAGUCACACCUUUCUUGGUAGAAGGUUGCAACUAGAGCUUUAUAAGUAAAGUUCCAUGGUGGCAAACCAAAGAAAGAGGGAGAAGAGACUCUAUAAAAAGAAAAGGAGAAACUCUGCCCUAAAAGAAAAAAACCACCAAAAGAUUCUGAAAACAAUUUCUGGAAGCAAACAAAAAAAAAAUCUUGUCCAAAAAAAAUAAAAAGCCAUUGCCAACAAAAAAUACAAAAAGAAAAUACUAUCCUCAGAGGAGGGGAACCUAGCAACAUAAAGAAAAAUACAAAAACACAAAAAAAAAUUUUGAGUUUUUUUUUUAAGAAGCCAAAGGGUUUUUUUUUUUUUUUUUUUUAUCUAAGAUUGUAGGUUAGUUUACAGGUAAAACAGAAGUAAGACUGGGGUAGAGGGGGCUUAGAGGAAUCUUUUAGUUUUUUUUUUAACUUUUUCGACAAUCGACGGGAUGAUCGAUGACCACCAUGUGACGGUCGAUAUGACAGUUGGUGUUGGUUUCUACCAACGGGCUGGCCCUCUGGGUUUUUGGGUUGAGAGGAUUUUGGAUUUUUCUUUUGGAAGGAAAAGGAAAAAUGAGCAAAAAAAAUUAAGGCUUUUUAUAUAAGAGACCUAUGGGCCAAAAUGAUGUCAUUUUGGGACCCUAAGAUCCGUGGACCUGUGACCUGACCUAGGACCUAGUUCCCCUUUUAGCUCAGAUCGAUUUAGUUGAAUUGGCUCAAAUCGGCAUUAACCAGCCCAAAUAGAAGUUGAUCAAAGUAUUGAUCGAUCCAGUUUAGGUAAUUUUUUUUUUAAUUUUUUGAAUUAUUAUUUUAAUAUUUUACGUAUUAUUUUAAAUUUUAUCAUUAGUAUUUAUGCAUGUUAAAAUAUUUAAAUUUAUUAGAAUAAAUUUUAUUUUUUUAGUAAAAGUGAAAAUAAAAAUAAAUAAUAAAAAAUAUAGUUUAAAGUUUUGAUAAUUUUAUUAAAAUUAAAAUUAACCUUAUAAAAUAAUAUAAUUAAUAAAAAUAUAAUAACUAAAGAUAAUAAUGAUAACAAUAAUAAAAAAAAGGAAAAUGAUCUAUUAAAUUUUUAUAUUUUUAAAUUUAAGAAUAAUAACAAAAAAUAAUAAAAAAUGUAAUAAAUGGCUUUUUUAUCCAAUGACAAGAUUCUAAGGUAUUUCAAGUUGCGAUGCCUAUAAAAUAUUUAGGUGAAAAAAAUUUUUAAAUAUUACCAAUGUAUUAGAGUAUUUAUAAAAUUUUUUAAUAAAAUAAAAAUUUUUCUUUUUUUUUGGCUAUAAAGUAAUAAAUGAAAAUUAACAAAAAUUAUUAAAAUGAAUAAUAAAAAAAGAGGAAAAAAAUUUUUGUUCAAUGAUGGGAUUUUCUAAAAAAAUUAUAUCACAAAUUUUAACAAAUAAAAACUAAAAAAAAUCAAAUCUAAACAUGAUGUCGAUAUGAUCAUUAAUAUAUUUUUUCUUUAAAAAUGAUCAAAUUAAAAAACAUUAUGAAGAAAAAAGAAAAAUAUAUUUUAAAUAAUAAUAUCAAUUGAGUAUCAUAUUAAAAAAUUUUAAAACAUUUAAAAAUAUUUAUUAAAUAUAAAAAAAUUAAAAAAAGUUAAUAGAAAAAAAAAGAAAAAGUGAAAAACAAGUAAUCAAAUAACUUAAUAUAUGACAUAUCAUUGAUAUCAAGUAGGUCUAAAAAAAUUAAAAUCUAAACAUGUUAUUUACUAAAUAUAUUAAAAAAAUAAAAAAGUAAAAAAUAAAAAAACACGUGGCACUCUCAGUAUAAGUAUGUUCCACAUAAAAAAAUCUAAAAAACAUUUAUUAAAUAUUUAUAAAAAUAUAAAAAGAGAAAAGCAAAAAAGAAAAGUUUUUAUAUAAACGAAUUCCAUAUAUAAAAGAUAAAAUCUAAAAAACUAUAUUUUUUAGCAUUUAAAAAUUAUUAAAUAUUUAAAAAGGAAGAUAAAGCAAAAAAAGAAGAAAAAAAGGAUAGGAAGAACAUGUGACACUUGAUGCACCCAAAGCUGAUCGUACAUGAGUAAAAUUAACUAUAUAGAUAGAUGAUUAACCCAAUAGUUAAUGCUGCUGAAAUUCUUUACAAAUAAUGGAAAGACUUCAAGCUUGAAUCAGGAGUUUAACUCAUUAUAAAUAAGUGGCAUUCAUCAAUUUUGAGAUUUAAAAUAUAAAAAAUUUAAAAAGUAUAUUAAAAAUAUUCAUUAAAUAUAAAUUUUUUUAAAAAAGUAAAUAGAAAAGAGUAAAAAAAAGAAUUAAAUAACUUGACAAGUGAAAUAACAUUGGUAUCAAGUAGGUCUAAAAAAUUAAAAUCUAAAAAUGUUAUUUACUAAAAAAAUAAAAAAAUAAAAAAAAUGGAACUCUUGGUAUCAAGUGGGUUCCAUACAAAAAAAUAAAAAUCUAAAAAAAUAUUUAUAGAAAUAUAAAAAGAGAAAAGCAAAAAAAGAAAAGGUUUUAUGUAAAUGCAUCCCAUAUAUAAAAAAAGUCUAAAAAACUAUAUUUUUUAGAAUUUAAAAAAUUACUAAAUAUUUAAAAAAUAUACAGUAAAAAAUUAUACAAAAAAAAGAGAUAGGAUGAGUGUCACGGACUAGGCUUUUUCUCAACAAGCAAUAGACCAUGUGGCAUUUGAAUAGACGGUCCCACCCAAGUCAGCCCUGAAUAGUUCGAUAUCUGAACAAAUAACCAUAAGCCACAGUUAGUCCAAAGCGUACACAAUAAGACACAUUUAUAUCGAGAUCAAUCUCAGGCACACACAAGAAGGCACAUUCACAUUGAGAAAAAGAAAAACACAUCAAAGCAACAUUCGGGACAUUCGAAUCGGAGGUGAAUUUCAUUAUAAUCAAGAAUAGUACAUCGAGACUUCCCACCAUCGUCAGGGCCAGGGGACAGCCCUUGGCGAAUGGCCUAGGCCCGUAUCACGAGCGGUGAGAUAGCCCAACAGUACGCUGCCCGCUCACCCCCUAAAAAGCUUUAGAAAUUUUAGAGUUAUGCUACCACUAACUAUUACAAUGUUUGAAAUGGGAUACUUUUCUUAACAUAAGAGAUCUACCCUCCUCUCUUGGCACCUCUACCCGAUCAUGACCCUAUACAUGGGUGGCUCAUAACAACCUAAGCCUCGGUCAUGGCCCUAUACAAGGUUGGCUUAUGACAUCCUCUUCCACCUAUUCUAUCAACAUCCUCGUCGACUUGCUGGCUUGAAAUUCUUUAAUCUUCCUUUUGAAUCUCCAAAGAUCAUGUUCCAUUUCCUAGUUAGUUUCUUUUAGUCCUAAUCCCUCCCACUUCACUAAGUAUUCAUGAACUAGUCUUUGAGAUACCUUGGUUUCCCUAUCAGUUAAGAUCUUUUCGACUCGACACUCUGAGGGUGGCUUCAUGGUGAUGAUGACUCUGGUUGGCUCCCUUCGACUAGUAUCUGUAGGAUCUGCAUGGAAAGGUUUCACGUUGCUCACAUGAAAUACUGGGUGCACUUUCAUCCACUUUGGUGGGUCAAUUUUGUAAGAAGCAUUCCUCACCUUAGAAAGGAUCUUCAUUAGACCCUCAUAUGACUCUCAUAUUUGUGCACUAAUCUACGAUAUCUCUUUCUUAAGAACCUGGUUUGUUCAAGAACUAGUCGAACAAGAACCAAAUCACUAGCUUGGAAUUGUUACGCCCUGCGACCUUUGUCCGCCCAUUUUUUCAUUCGCUUUAAUGCCUUAUCCAAGUAGGCUGGUGCAAUCUUAGUAUUUUGUUUCCACUCCUUUUCGAGGUUGAAGGCUCUUGGAUUUUUCCCUCUAUAUUACUCUAAGGAAGUAUGGGGUAACCUUGGUAAUUAUUCUGUGACCACCUCAAAUGGGCUUUUAUUAGUGGAAGAGCUUUUGUUAAAAUUAAAGCAAAGCUGAGCAAUGUCCAAUAACGAAGGCUAAUUUUUUUGAUUGGCUUGAACAAAGUGCCUUAAGUAUUUCUUUAGUAAUCCAUUGAACCGUUUCGUUUGACCGUCGGUUUGAGGGUGGUAGCUUGAGGAGAUGUUAAGUUGAGACCCCAGUAUCUUGAAAAGUUCUCUCCAGAAGAUCCUGUGAAUCUCGAAUCUUUAUUGCUUAUAAUGUUUUGAGGAAGGCCCCAAUAUUUGAUCAUACGUUGAAACAGUAGUCAAGCUGUCUCUUUCGUAGUAUAAUACUUUUGAGUGGGAAUGAAUGUGACGUACUUAGAGAAACAGUCAAUCGCCACCAAAAUAGCUCCAAGAUCACCAACCUUGGGAAGGCUCAAAAUGAAAUCGAGAGAGAUGCUUUCCUAUGGUCUAGCGAGCACCGAUAGUGGUUCAAGUAUGCCUACAAGUUUUUUCUUUUCAAUUUUGUCUUAUUGGCAGAUGAGGCAAGUCUUUGUAUAGUCUAUCACGUCUUAUAGCAUGUGAGGCCAAUAGUAUCCUUAUUUCAAUAAAGCCAAAGUACGUUGCCAACCCAGAUGUUUUACCCAUGGUAUGUCAUGACAUUCCCUCAUCAGCAUCUAUCUCAGACCUCCUACUCUUAGCACAAAUAAUCGGGGCCCUUUGGUCCACAAGUCCCCAUUUUCUUGCCAGAAGUACUUGUGUCACGGACUUAAAGAAGAGUCAUUAAUCUCACAUUGAACAUAAUAGGAGGGUCACUGGGGUAUAAAAGGGUUCACACCACCUUUUUCUUGUGAGGUACCUUUUAUAGGAUAAAAUCAUGAGGCCAAGGGGACCAAAGUGGACAAUACCUCAUAAGGGUGUGAACCGUGACAGAUAGGCUGAUUUGAGACACCGAAUGAGUAGAUGCCCAGGUCUCAGAGUCGCGCGGGUUUGAAGCUUAAGUCUCAACUCGUGACAAGUGGUAUCAAAGCUAGCCCUAAACCGUUCGAUCCAUGUCAAGUGCCUCGAGGAAGGUAGGCAGGGUGGUCAGCCUCCGUGACAAGAGUGUCACGAGGUUGGGUGGGUGAGAAUGUCACAGACCUAAGAAAGAGUUUAUCUUACAUUGAACAUAAUAGGAGGGUCACUAGGGUAUAAAAGGGUUCACACCACCUCUUCCUUGUGAGACACCUUUUGUAAGAUAAAAUUGUAAGGUUAAGGGGGCUAGAGUGGAUAAUACCUCACAAGGGUGUAAAUUAUGGUAGGUAGGUUGAUCUGAGAUAUCGGAUGAGUGGAUGCCCAGGUCUCGAAGUGAAGUGGGUUGGAAACUUAAGUCUCGACUUGUGUAUCAAAGCCAGCCCUAAAUCGUUCGAUUCACGUCUGGCACCUCGAAAGAGGUAGGCAUGGUGGCCAGCUUCCGUGAUGAAGAUGUCACGAGAUUAGGUGAGGAAGAAUGUCACGGACCUAAGGAAGAGUCCCGAAUCCUACAUCGAACAUAAUAAAAAGGUCACUAGGGUAUAAAAGGGUUCAUACCACCUCAACCUUGUGAGGCACUUUUUGUAGGACAAACGUGAGGCCAAAGGGGCCAGAGUGGACAAUACCUCAUAAGGGUGUAAACUGUGACAGAUAGGCUGAUCUAGAUGUCGGAUGAGUAGAUGCUCGGGUUUCAGAGUCGUGUAGGUUCAGAGCUUAAGUCUCGAUAUGUGACAAGUGGUAUGUGAGCCAGCCCUAAACCGUUCGAUCCAUGCCUAGCACCUCGAGGAAGGUAGGCAAGGUGGCCAGCUUUCGUGACGAAGGACGUCACGAUGUUAGGUUAGGAAGAAUGUCACGAACCUAAGGAAGAGUCUUGAAUCCCACAUCAAACAUAAUAAGAGGGUUAGUAGGGUAUAAAAAAGUUUACACUAUCUCUGCCUUGUGAGGUACCUUUUGUAGGAUAAAAUUGUUAGGCCAGAGAGGCCAAAGCAGACAAUACCUCACAAAGGUGUGAACCAUAGUUGGAAGGCUAAUCUGGGAUGCCAGAUGAGUGGAUGCCAGGUUUCGAAGUCACACGAGUUUGAAGCUUAAGUCUUGACCCGGGAUAAGUGGUAUUAAAGUCAGCCAUAAACUAUUCGAUCCACGUCGAGCGUCUCGAGGGAGGUAGGCAGGGUGGUCAGCCUCCGUGACGAGAGCGUCACGAGGUUGAGGGGUGAAAAUGUCAUGGACCUAAGAAAGAGUCUUAAAUCUCACACCAAACAUAAUAGGAGGGUCACUGGGUAUAAAAGGGUUCACAUCACCUCAACCUUGUAAGGCACCUUUUGUAGGAUAACUAUGAGGCCAAGAGGGCCAGAGCAGACAAUACCUCACAAGGGUGUGAAUCAUGGUAGGUAGGCUGAUUUGAAACGUCGGAUGAGUGGAUGUCCAGAUCCUAGAGCCACACGAGUUUGGAGCUUAAGUCUCGACCCGUGACAAGUGAUAUCAGAGCUAGCCCUAAACCAUUCGAUCCACGUCGAGCGUCUCGAUGGAGUAGGCAGGGUGGUCAGCCUCUGUGAUUAGGGCAUCAUGAGGUUGGGUGGGUGAGAAUGUCAUAGACCUAAGGAAGAGUCCUGAAUCUCACAUCAAACAUAAUAAAAGGGUCACUGGGGUAUAAAAGGGUUCACACCACCUCUUCUUUGUGAGGCACCUUUUGUAGGAUAAAACCAUGAGGCCAAAGGGGUUAGAGCGAACAAUACCUCACAAAGGUAUGAACUGUGGUGGUUAAACUGAUCUGGGACGUUAGAUAAGUGGAUGCUCGAGUCUUAGAGUCAUGCAGGUUCGAAGUUUAAGUCUCGACUCAUGACAAGUGGUAUCAGAGCUAGCCCUAAACCAUUCGAUCCACACCAAGUGCCUUAAGGGAGGUAGGCAGGGUGGCCAACCUCUGUGACGAAGACGUCAUGAGGUUGGGUGGAAGAGAAUGUCAUGGACCUAAAAAAGAGUCCUGAAUCCCACAUCAAACAUAAUAGAAAGGUCAUUGAAGUAUAAAAAGGUUCAUACCAUCUCUACCUUGUGAGGUACCUUUUGUAAAACAAAACUAUGAGAUCAGGGGGUUAGAGCAGAUAAUACCUCACAAGGGUGUGAACCCUGGCAGGUAGGCUGAUCUGAGACUUUGCAUGAGUGGAUGCCCGGGUAUCGGAGUCGCGUAGGUUCAGAGCCUAAGUCUCGAUUCGUGACACUUGGACUUUCCUUUUUCAACUAGUUUCAGGAUGACACUGGCCUAUGGAUCUUUCCCUAAAUGAUCUUUAAUUAACUUACGAAUGUUUAUUGUGACUCUGCUAGCCACCAUUGGGGCAAUUCUUUUAAGGGCUGCUAACUCCGUUUGUCUGCUUAAUGCAUCGGCCACUUGGUUGGUCUUUCCAGCGGUGUGCUCAAAAUAAAAAUUGAACUUUGCUAAAAAUUCUUGCCAUCUAGCUUGUUUUGCUGUAAGCCUUAGUUGGGUGAGGAAAUGGCUAACGAUCGCAUUGUCUGUCUUCACGACAAAGUGUGAACCCAACAAAUAAUGUCGCCAAGCCUUCAGGUAGUGACCUACCAUUAAGAGCUCUUUUUCUUGGGCCAUAUAUUUUCUUUCAGCUUCGCUAAGCUUUCUACUUUCAAAUGCUAUUGGAUGAUGUUGUUGUAAAAGUACUCCCCUAAUAGAGAAAUCAGAUUCAUCAGUCUAAACUUUGAAAGGCUUUUCAAUGUUAGGGAGAGCUAAGAUAGGAUCCUUCAUAAUAGCAUUAUUCAAUCCCUCAAAGGCCUAUUGGCACUCACUUGUCCAACACCAUUUAUGCUCCUUUUUCAAUAGCUUCGUGAGGGCCGUGGUCUUGCGAGAGUACCCUUCUACAAAUCUUCUAUAAUAGUUGGCUAAUCCCAAAAAUGAAUGAAGUUCACUAACAUUUUUUAGUGUUGUCCACUCCUUGAUAGCCCUAACCUUUUUCAUGUCUAUUCGAAUGUGGUCACGUUCGACAAUGUGACCUAGAAAGUGGAUUUGGGUCUGAGCAAAUGCACAUUUUUCCCUUUUCACAUACAACUGGUGGUCUUGUAAUCUUUGAAGCACCUGGCGUAAGUUUUUUGAUGUUAUUCCAGAGUAGAGCUAUAUACCACUAUGUCAUCUAAAUAGAUAACUACAAAUUUAUCUAAAUAGUCAUGGAACACCUGAUUCAUCAAUGUACAAAAUGUGGCAGGAGCAUUGGUCAAUCCAAAGGGCAUAACAAGAAAUUCAAAUACGUCAUACUGUGUUACACAAGUGGUUUUUGGCUCAUCUCCUUCAGUGAUUCUGACCUGAUGGUAGCCAAAUCUCAAGUCCAAUUUGAAAAAGUACUUGGCCCAGCUUAGUUGAUCAAACAAAUAUGCUAUAAGAAGGAUGUGAUAUUUGUUUCUCACGAUGAUUUUGUUCAGGGCCCUGUAGUCAACAUAUAAUCGCAAACUUCCAUCAUGCUUCUUCUGAAAUAGCACUGGCACUUUAAAAAGAGCCUUUGAUGGUCUAAUGAAUCCAACCUGUAGAAGCUCAUCUAACCGUUUCCUUAGUUCGGCCGACUCUAGUGGAGCCAUGUGAUAAGGGGCUCUAGCAGGGGGUUUGACUCAUGGGAGGAGCUCAAUUUCAUGGUCCACAGCUUUUCGAUGAGGUAGAACCUUAGGCAACAUCCCUAGCAUCACCUCUUUGAAUUCUUUUAACAUUUUUUCCACACUAUUGGGUAUCAAUUUCACUUUCAACCCUUCCUUGUAAAUCGACAUGGUCACAAAUAAAGGGUUCUCCUCUCUUUACCCUUCUUAAAUUGUAAAGCUGAGAUCAUUUUCUUUCCAUUCUUUGGCAAGAUAGUGGUUGGCACCACACAAAGGUGUUCCCCUAAGAACAACAAGGCAACUAGCUACGGAGAUAGGGAUCACUUGAGCCAACAUCAUAAAGUUCAAUUCAAGGACAACAUCAAAGUCAUCCAUGAGGGAAACUGUGAAGUUUACCUUCUCUUUCUAUGGCCUCAACUUGGUCAUCACACUCUUGGAGCUUUCAUUAAUCGUAAAGGCUGUCGAAUUGGCCACCUUUAUUCGCCUGUAGUCUUUGCUAACCUGGAGAUCACACCUUUUUGCUUUUUUUGGUGUGAUGAAAGUAUCAAUUGCACCCGUGUCUACCAUGGCCCUUGUGGCCUUCUCAUUGAUGAUUAAGUUCACAUACAUCAGGCCUCUACCUUACUCUUUUUUUAUCGUGUUCAGUUAGGUGUAGAGGGCAUUGAGAAACCUUAUUGAACCCAUCCUGGUUGGCUCCUCUUCAAUUUUUUUAAUGAUCUUCGGUGCUUUUAUGGACUCUUGAGAUGAGGCUCUUAAGGCAUUAAGGGCUCAUCUGUGUGGGCAUUUGGCUACCUGAUGCAGCCCCUUACAUUGGAAGCAAGCUAAUGGUUGCCUAGGCCUAAAAAUCACUGUAUUGUUUGCCUUAGUUUGGGUGCUAUCUCGACCAAAGGACCUCCUAUCUGAUCCCCUACUAAAGGCUGGUCCAAUCUAGUCAUCUUUCUCCCACUCUCAAAGUUGAAGUUACUACCAGCUAAUGGAGGAUUUUUUUGUUUUGAGGAGCCAUCAUUAUAAUCAUGGAGAUGUUCAGCUGCAGCCAUGGUCUUGGCCACAUCUUGCACUUUUUAUCUUUGUAAUUAUGUCAUGGCCCAAGGCUUGAGGCCCUCAAAGAAAUAAAACAUCUUGUCUUUUUCGGACAUGUCUCGAAUAUCCAACAAUAGGGUAGAAAAACUCCUCACAAACUCUCACACUGUUCCUAUUUGCACCAAUUCUCAAAGUUUCUUUUGGGCCAUAUACUCCAUAUUCUCAGAGAAAAACUUGUUUUUCAGUUCCUGUUUUAGGUCCGUCCAAGUCUUAAUUGGACACUCAUCAUUGAUAAACUUGGAGUGCCACCAUAACUUGGCAUUCCCUGUGAGGUACAUCGACGUCAUUGCUAUCUUAUCUUCCUUUGAAUCUGUGUGUUAAGCUCAAAAGUAUUCCUCCAUGUCAAACAGAAAGUUUUCAAGCUCUUUGGCAUCUCUUGCCCCCUCAUAGCAUCGAGGCUCCAGCACCUUGGCCCUUUUUCUCCUUUCCGUCGAGCUCGAACUUGAUAUGGCCACAAUCAUUUGUAUGAUGCUCACUUAUGCUCUGAGCUCUUCAAACUCCUUUUGGAGAACAUUCAAGGCAUCUCUAGCCUCCUCGUCCACGUUGUGCAGAGUAUCGAACAACUCCCAAUGGGUUGUCUCGAUCUCCCUCAAUCGAUUUUUAGUCACCAUGUGAGUUUUCAAUACGGCCAUCGCGGCCUCAAGCUCCUCAAGUCUCUGUUGAUAAUUGGGUCCACCACUUGUGGCCAUCUUAUCAAUUUUCUAGCACUUUUCAAUCGUGCUCUGAUAUCAUGUGUCACGGACUAGUCUUUCUCUCAACAAGCAAUAGACCGUGGGGCACUUGAAUGGAUGCUCCUACCCAAGUUAGCCCUCAAUAGCUUGAUAUCUGAACAAAUAACCAUAAGCCAUAGUUAGUCUCAAGCGUACACAAUAAGACGCAUAUCGAGAUCAAUCCCAAGCAUACACAAAAAGGCACAUUCACAUCGAGAAAAAGAAAAACACAUCAAGGCAACAUUCGGGACAUUCGAAUCGGAGGUGAAUUUUAUUAUAAUCAAGAAUAGUAUAUCAGGACUUCCCACCAUUGCCAGGGCUAAAGGGCAGCCCUUGGCGGAUGGCCUAGGCCCGUAUUACGAUCGGUGAGACAACCCAAUAGUACACCACCCGCUCACCCCCCCUAACAAGCCUUAGAGAUUUUAGAGCUAUGCUACCACUAACCAUUAUAAUAUUUGAAAUGGAGAUACUUUUCCUAGCACAAGAGAUCUACCCUCACCCUUGGCACCUUUACCCGGUCAUGGCCCUAAACAUGUGUGACUCAUAACAACCUAAGCCUCGGUCAUGACCUUAUACAAGGUUGGCUCAUGACAAUGAGCAUGUGACAUGUGACACACCCAUAGGUACAUGAGUAAAAUUAACUAUAUUAAUAGAUAGAUGAUUAGUCCAAUGAUUAAUGCUAUUGAAAUUCUUUACGACUAAUGGAAAGAGUUCAAGUUUGAUUUAAGAGUUUAACUCAUUUUUAAGAGUUGUUAGCCAAUAAUUUUGAUAUUUAAAUUCUAACAUUUGCAACAUUUUGUUUCUUCCCUAAAUUGCAGCCUGAUGCUUUAUAAAAUGCAAGAUUUCAACUUUGAAAACUUAUUAACUUUUUAUUUUUUUUUACCUUUUUUUUAUUAUUUAAACACUCGAUAUAUAAAUGUCAUGUAAUGAUGAUACUUUUAAUUAUUUUUUAAAUAAUUAAAACAUAAUUAAAUUAAUAAACACAAUCUACUUAUAAUACUAAUAAUCUCAAAUUAAUAUUUAAUUAAUAUCAAAGUACCCUAAAUGGUCAACAAAUGAAUUACUUAAAUAACUAUAACGUAGAGAUAAAUUAAAUUAUAAAAAUUUAAAUUAGCACAUCAAAUAAAUAAAAAUAUAAAGCAUGAUUUUAUAUUUAUAAAUAAAAAAUAAUAAGAAAUAUAAAUUCAAAUAAAAAAUUUAUCCAAUGUUUUAAAAUGAGCCAAAAAUACAACUCUCAAUUUUACUUACAAAAUGUCGAGAGUACCCAUAAAAUUGGACAAAUUUUCUCUAUAUCCUAUAUGAACAUUUGUAACUGUCACAUCUUUUAUGGCUAUUAAUUUUCAAUUAGUGAUAGAUGAUAGAUUAUGAUUUUGUAAAAAAUUUUUCCAAAGGUAAUAAUAAUGUUGCCGGACAAUAAAAUCUUUAUUUUUUUAUGCUAAGUAAAAUCUUAAAUUUAUUUUUUAAUCAAAAUUAUGGAUACAUAUACAUACUAAUAUUAAAGGGAUUGAUUGAGUUGGUGUCAUGAUUUAAUCAAAUACUAAACCUUUUUUUUUUCUUGGUCAAGAAUCAAACACCAAGUUGGUAAAUUUACUUUAAAUCUAAAGUUAAAUUACAAUAAUAAUAUAUAUUUAGGAAUAUUUAUGUAUUAUUUUUUUAAAUUAAAACAAACUUUUUUACCAUCAUUUCAAAAAAGCUACCCACCAAAAAAGUUACUUCCUUUAAAAAAAUUUUAUUUUUAAUUAAUAAUUUUUUUUAUCCACAUAGUGGAUGUCUCAAAAUUUAGUACAUUUAUAAAUCUUUAGCUGAGUUUGAUACUAUAAGUUAAGUGAUGUGAACUUAAUCAGGGUAGUUAAAAUAAAUAAAUAAAUGCUUAUUUUUUCUCUUUUCUUAAUAACAAUUUCAAUGAGUUAUUUUCACUUUUCUUUUCUCAAUAACUGUUUCAAUAAGUUAUUUUUUUUUCUCAUUCAUGCUUUUUGAAAAUCAUAUAUAUAUAUAUAUAUAUAUAUGUUAUUUUAACCUAUUUUUAAAUUAUAAAAUUAUUUAUUAUUCCAUUCACAUAGUGCAUGUAUGUAAGAUUAAUAUUUAUAAAACUCCUACUAAAUACGAUUCAAGUAACACCAACUCAAUCGAAGAAUUAAAAAAAAAACUUCAUGAUGUAAUAAUGAAAUAUAAAUUAAUAAGGAUAUUUUAGUCUUUACAUUCUUUGAAAUCUGAUUCAGGUCCAGUUCUUUUUAAACUUACAUUUCUCUCUGUUUUUUUCUCUAUUACAAAACUAUACACGAGUCACUUUCCUAUUUUUCUUUGUUUUACAUUUUCAAAUAACUAUAUAUAUAUAUAUAUAUAUAUAUUCUCUUUUAACUUUUAUCUAAAGGUAUAAUUAUUGUUUAUUACUUCACCUAGAUAAUGGGUGCUUCAAAUAUUAGUAUAUAUAUAUAUAAUGCAAAAACAUUUCCUAUAAGAGGCUUAUCAUUUGGUAGAUAAAUUUAACUUUUGGCCAAUGUACAGAUAUAGUUUUCAUAGUUGGACAAAUGUAAUUUAUCAUUUGUUGAAUUUUAUACAAAAUUUCUCUUUGAUGAAUAAAUAUAAUUAUUGAAAAUUUUUAAUUAAAGGUUAAAUUAAUUUAAUAUAUGAAACCUUUUGUAAAAGGGAAUUUUAAGGGAAGUUGGAAUGCCAAUUUUUCUGAAAUUUCUCUAAGUGAAAUUGGUUUAUGAGGAGAGUCAAAAUUUUAUUUUUAGAAAUGAAAUUACGAACAUAUUGAUAAAAUAAUUUGCGAGGAAAUGAAGUUAAGAAAAAUUAACUCAGUUGCAUGAUGUUCAUGGCAUUGGGAAUUGAUGAAAUUGCAGGAUUCAACUCCAAGAGGAAAGUCGUGCUGGGAUCGUCUUGGUCUUCACAAAAAAUAAAAUGAAUCAUGGUUUUGAUUACGGGCCCUCUAAUUUGCUUUUGACCUCCUUUUACAAAGCAUAGCUAAAACUAAUAUAUAUUUUCUCUUUUUCUUUGUAUUCAUUGGACUUGUAUACUUUUUGAGACCUAACUAAUAUUCCUUUACUCCACGUUUUACACCAGAGUUGCAAAAUGCUAUGGCUUUAUCUCUUUUGUAACAGAUUUGCAGCCAGUAAUUCUUUUGUGUGCGCGUUUUAUAUAUAUAUAUAUAUAUAUAUAUAUAUAUAUUCUAAGAUAUAUAAAUUAUAUUAGGAUUACUGAUCAUCGAUAAUUUUAAAUAUUUUAAAAAAUAAUUUUAGAAUUUUAGAAUACAAUAAAAUCUUUUUUUUUUUUUUUGCCAUGUGAACGUUGUUUAGGCUCACUUAUUUUUACCACAAUUCUUUUUCUUAAUAUCUACACAAAUUCAAAUAAGGAUAGAGAGGUUUUGGGACAUAUGGAGCAUUAGUUUAUGAUAAUACCACAUAUCAAAGCCGUGAUUGAUGUAAUUAUAAACCUACUCGGUCGAAAUGUGCAUAACGAUGAAACUUUUGUCUUUUUAAUUUAUCAAAAGCAGCCGUAUUCUAAGUGCUAGGCCUUGGAUCAAUCCAAGUCAUCUUGCUUUCCACAAACAUCAAAGCAAACUUAGAAAUUUUAAGUCAGGAAAGCUAUAAUGAUCGUUUUCUAAACGCAAGGAUCAAUCAAGUGGUCUUGGUUUCAUAUACGUCAAAGCAGACUAAGAAAUUUUAGGUGAAGAAUUAAAGCUACCAAAUGCAAGGAUCAAUCAAUCUUCUCGCUUUUCUCCUGGAUCAAAGCAAAUCAUUCAGUUGUCAUACAUUAGAUAGGUAAUUAAGUAGUUGAGGUUGGGUGUAAAAGCUUUUAAUUUCUAAUAAUUUUUUCUUAAGGUAAGGUAAAUUAAAAUCUUUAGUAUAAAAAAGAUAGUACUUUUAAUUUUUUUCUUUAAAAGAUGAAUUUUUUAUAUAAAAAAAUUUUGCAGCCUAAAGAUUGGAAAAUGGAAUACAAGUAUUAGGAUUUAAAUUUUAGACCUGUUGAAUGUUACAUCUUAAGAGUAGUUGUAUAAACUAAAUAAGUUAAACUUUUAAGUUAUAUUGGUCAAGCUAUCUGUUUGAGCCUGAAAGCCUACCAAAAUUUGGGAGGAUUUUGACAUGAAUUUUAGACUUGUUAAAUGAGCUUGGGCCUAAAUUUUAGGUUGGUUUAAAAAAUGUGCCAUGUCUUGAACAUGAAGUAUAAGGCCCAAACCCUACUUGGCCCGAAUAAUUAUUAUAUAUUUUUUAUAUUUAUAUUACAUAAAAAUAAUUAAAUAAUUAAAUAAUAUACAUGUAUAUUAAAGGCGUUUCUUAUAGACAACACCUUCAUUAAUCUCAUACAAUUUUUUAUGAUGUGAUUAUUAAAUGCGUUAUCUGUCAAAAAUACGCCUAAACUAUUCACUGAAAUUUUUAAUAAAAAAUAUUUAAGGUGUUUUAGUCGAGAAUGCCUCUAAUAUAUAGUCUUGGAUGACGUUUAUAAGUAAUAACAUUGCUAUUUGAAUAUUUAUUUGAAUAUUUAUUGGUGUUUGGAUAAUAAAUGCCUUAAGUUUUAUAAAAACACGGAAGCUAGUUGUAUUUGUAAGUGAAAGGCUGCUACAAAAUUAUUGCUAGUAUGCCAUUUUGCUGUAGUGAAUAGAAUGAAAGUUCAUAUACUAAUCUAAUAGUUUUAUUUCUUUAGAUACCAAAUUAACAAAAAAAAUGUAUACUUCAAGGGCUAUUUUUAUAUUUAACUCUUAAUCUUUUUAAGCUUUAAAGUUAUUUAUUAUCCAACACACAUUUUGCAAAAACAUUUCCCAUAAGAUACUUAACAUGUGGUAAACAAAUGUAAUUUUUUACCAAUGUACAAAUAUAAUUUUUGUUGUUGGACAAACUUAAAUUAUCAUUUUGUUGAAUUUUAUACAUCAUUUCACUUUGAUGAGUAAAUAUAAUCAUUUGAAAUUUCUGACUGUACCACUUAUCUUGUAAUACAAAAUGAUCCCACUGUGAGAGCAAUUUUUAUGGUGAAACUUUUUAAUUGACAAAUGAUUGGUGAAUUAAAUGCAAAAUUAUUGGUGUUUCAAGUGCAAGUAGGACCUCAUGCUUAAUUUCCACAAACAUCAAACCAAACUAAGAAAUUUUUAAAACCGUUUUCUAAACGCAAGGAUGGAUCAAGUGGUCUUAGUUUCACAAUGUCAAAGCAUGGUAAUAAAUUUUAAGUAAAGAAAACUAUCAAAUGCAAGGAUGAAUCAUAGUCUUCUUAUUCUUAUCAUACCUUAGAUAGGUAAUUAAAUAGUUGAGGUUAAUUGGGUGUAAAAGCUUCUAAUUUCUAAUUUGUUUUUUCUUAAGGUAAGGAAAAUUAAAAUCUUAAAAAAAAUGAAAUUACACCAGCAUAUGUCUUAGCAUAAUUAAAUGCAUUUUUAAUAUUUUUUUUUUGUUAUUUGAUAGUUCUCUAAAUAAUAUGGUUUUUUUUUUAUAAAUAGUAAUAUUAAUAUGAGAAGGGAUUUAUUUAUACUAAUGUAACUUUUUCCUUUUUUACUCUUGGAUGAAAAUUAAAUUCAUGAUUCAUUUGAAUUAAAAUAAUAUUUUUAAAUUUAGUAAUUUUGAUCUAAAAUUUCAAAAAAGUGUAAGAGUUACACUUGUGUAAAUGGAUCCCCCUUCAUAUUGACGUAGCUAUUAAAAUAUUAAAAUAUUUAUUAUUGAAAUAUUAAAAAUAUUAAUUUUAGUUAUUUUUAUAAUAAUAUUUAAUAUUAAAUACUUGAAAAAUAGGAUUUAUUAUUAAAAUGUUUUUAUAUUAAUAAUUUAAAACAUUUAAAUAUCAUUAUUAUUAUCAUUAUUAAAGUAUAUUUAUUAAAAUUAAAAUUAAAAUAGCAUAUUUAUUAUUAAAAUAUUAAAAAUAAUAUUUAUUAUUAAGUCAUAAAAAGUAUUAUUUAUUUUAUUAUUAAAAUUGUAAUAUAAAAAUCGAUGAAACCUUAGCUUACCACUACUCUUAAAGUCUUAGGUUUAAGUCCCACUAUGUGUGGGUUUGGUGAUUGUUUAGUUAGAUUCUAAUUUGUUUUUUGUUGAUUGAUUAUGAUUGCAAAUUCUUUUAUGUUUGUAAUUUCAAAAAAAUAAAUGAUAUAAAAACAUUUGUCAUUAAGAUAUUAAAUGUACAAUAUAUUUUAAAUUUAAAAUUACAAAGUUUAACUAAGUUAGAACACGGAAAAAUAGAAAAUUGAAGCAGCAACUGGUUUUUUAGCAUUGAGAGGAUGAAUUUAAUUUUCCUUGCAGAGAAAAAAGGUUUAGUCGUGGAAAGAAAGAGAUAAUAGAAAAAAGGGGUCAAAGAACCGAGAGAAGCAAAAAUAGGAACAUAUUUAUAUUUUUAUAAAUAUAAAAACCCUAACCUAAUAAACAUAAAAUUUCUAUAAUAACUCUAUUACAAUAACCCUUUUUUUAUAGAAAGCUCCAAUCAAGCGAAACUAAGAUUCUAGAUAUGUCAGUAUUAAUUUCUUUUGUUGCAAUUGCUUGAAUACAUAAGCAUCAAUCAUCUGUGAGUUUUAUAUAAUAUUUUAUUUUUAUUUGUGACUUGUAAAACUUAUUUUUAGAUCCGUAAAUUUAAAACUCAAUGGGAGUAAAAUAUUUCAAAUCCAUCCUUUAAUUUCAUUAACAACCAUAAAAAUCAAUGAAAUUUGCUACCUCAGUGUCACGUAGCUGUCCACGUAACAACAACCUCAAUUCAAAAGGUCAAAGAGAUUCAAAAUUUUUUUACCGUAUGGACAUUGUUCAGGCUCAUUAUCACAUAUAUUUGUUAUAAAUUACUUAAGGGGAAGAUUAUAUACGUAUAACAACUACACAAAUUUCAUAUACAUAUGACAAUAUAGGGAUUGAAUUAAAAAAAAAAAAAAACUUGAAACAUGCAUAUAUGUAUAAUUUUUGUGUAUGAAAUAUGUAUAUGCAGUAUUCCUUAGGGAUAUGAAUUUUACCCAUACUCAAUGAGAAAUUUGAUUUUUUUUUAUCUAAACAGGAAUAGGAAUAAGUAUUACAUUGUGGUUAUGAAGAUGCAUAUGAUUUUAAAUUUUUAUUUAGUAUGGGGUAGGAGAUGGGUAAUAUAGCACCUUCCCCACACUUGUACCCUACAUAUAUAUUUAGUAUAUAGAUAUUUAAUUAAAUAAUAUAAAUUAUUAUUUUAGAUUAAUUAAAAUUAAUAUAUAUUUAUUGAAAAAAUAUAUAUUAAUAUAUAUUUAUAAAAAAAUUAUCUAAAUAUAUAAGAUAAAAUUAAAAAAAAUUUUAUUUUUUAUUUUUUUAAGCUAUGGGUAUGGGAAUCUCCAUACCCAUUAAAUACCUGUGAAGAUAGGAAUAUGAAUAAAUAUAAAACACCAAUUGAAUAUAGAUACAAAGAUGAAUAUAAUAUAAAAAUCUAAAAAAUAAAGUUAAAAGAUUCUCUAUCAUGCUCAUACCUUAACCAUUAAUAUUUCUAGUUUCUCAUUAGUUAAUUUAUUGUCUUUGGUAAUUAUUUUAAAUUCAUAUCUAUGUUUCGUUCUAGAAAUUUGAUACUCAUUCAUCUUUGUUGAGUAAAAAAUUAAAUUUUUUGUUAAAUAUGAAUAAAAAUAAUAUUUUUAAUUUUAAGUGCAAGCAAGGAUCUAUCAAGUAUCUUAUUUUCCACAAACAUAAAAGCAAAGAAAGAAAUAUUAAAAUAAGAAAAACUAGCAACCGUGUUUCAAGUACAAGGAUCAAUCAUGUCAUCUUGCUUUCCACAUAUCAAAGCAUAUUUUAAGUCAAGAAAGCUAUCGAGCGUGUUCUACGUUAAUGGAUAAUCAAGUCAUGCUGCAUUUCACAAACAUCAAAGCAGACUAAGAAAUUUUAAGUCAUGAAAGCUGCCGACAGUUUUCUAAACGUAAAUCAAUCAAGUCAUCUUAUUUUCCAAAAACAUAAAAGCAGAGAAAGAAAUAUUAAAAUAAGAAAAACUAGCAACCGUGUUUCACGUGCAAGGAUCAAUCAUGUCAUCUUACUAUCUACAUAUCAAAGCAUAUUUUAAGUCAAGAAAGCUAUCGUGUUCUAAGUGCAUGGAUAAUCAAAUCAUCCUGCUUUUCACAAACAUCGAAGCGGACUAAGAAAUUUUAAGUCAAGAAAACUAAUCACCGUUUUCUAAACGCAACUAUCAAUCAAUUAGUCUUGGUUUUACACACAUCAAAGCAGAUCAUUCUCUUGUCGUACCCUAGAUAGGUAAUUAAAUAUUUGAGGUUGGGUGUAAAAGCUUUUCAUUUCUAAUGAUUUUUUUUUAAGCAAAGCAAAUUAAAAUCUUUAUUAUCAAUAUGGCAGAUGAGUUCAUUUUUUUUAAUGUAUUUAAUUUAAUGAUUUAAUUUUAUUAUUUUAAAAAAUUAAUAUUAGUGUUAAUUUUUGGAAACUUUUAACCAAAAAAAUUGUGAAAAUUGGAAGAAGAGAAAAAGAUUUCUAUUGCCACGUUGACAAUUUGCCGUGUAAACACUGCCAUAAUGAUUGUAGAAAAAAAGGGUUUAAUUACAUUACAUGAUGCUCCCAUAACUUAAAAUACCUGUUUUGAAGAAAUAAAAUGGAACUACACCUAUUAAAGAAUAAAACUUUUAUGCACUGCACGUAGGAAAAGAAAAAGAAAAAUGCUCAACUUCUAAUUAGUAAUUUUUUAAUGAUUUUAAGUAAAAAGAAAAGUGCCUACACCAAAAGAAAAAGGGCUAUUAACAAUUGAAACCAAAUGAACCCAAACCAAAGAGAAGACAUUUCACACGGAUGAAUUAAAAUGUUUAGACAGUUUUUUAUUUUUUUCUUUGUGUAUUAAUCUAAUAUAAUUUUUGCAGGAAUAAUUAGAGUCACUAAUAUGAAAGUAUAAUGGGUUUUGAUAAUCCAUAAAUAGCAAAAAUUAUUUUAUAUAUGUUUUAGUUUUUAUUAAUCUCACUGCCUAGCUACUAACUUGUUAUUUUAUUUUUACGAAUUAUGAGUCAAUGAAAAAUACAUGAUGCGUACUAAUUAAAUGUGACAUCAUAUUACUUAAGGAAAAUAUUAUAUACACGUAACAUCUACACAAAUUUCAUAUAGAUAUUAGAAUAUAAGAAUUAAAUUAAAAAGAAUAAAUUUGAAAGAAAAAAAAUAAUGCGUAUGUGUACAAUUUAUUUGUAUGAAAUAUAUGUAAAUGGCACUCCCAAUUUGAAAAUAUUUUUAAAAUAUGAAAAUAUGAUUAUGUAAAUAACUUAAUAAAAAAUAAAUUAAGUUAACAAAUAACUUAAGAUAUGGUUCCUAAAAAAUAUACUUAAAAUGAUCAUGUUAAAAUGACUAUAUAUGCAAGCAAUUGACUGCCAAGCUCAGGAGAGUCCAUUGCCUUAGACUUUUAGGAAAAGCAGUCGAUUGCCAAGGGCAUAAAGUCGACUACUUUGUCAAACAUAAACUAAACUUAGAUUCUAUAUAAAUAGUAGCCGACUAUUAGCUUAGAGCAAUUGAUUGGUACGUCUAAAAAGCGAGUGGACUGAUCCCAAACCCUAAUCCAAUCGACUGCCAGUAGAUGAUAGUCUUAUGGGAAUUUAUCUAUGCUAAAUGCAUUUAAUUGCUAUUAAAGAUGAGUCGACUACUCUAUAGGAGACCAAAUGUGGAACCUUUCUGGAAAUUGAAAGGAGUCAUCUGUUCACUCGGAGAAUGCAUUUUAUAUAAAGAAAUGAGUCGACUAUUUUAUAGAGGAGUAGACUAACCUACUAUGAAAAGCAUUUCAAAAAUUGAAAAUACAAAGAAGCAAUCGUUUGCUUUCUUGGAGCAAUCGACUACUUUGCAUGAAAAAUUGUAAUUUCCAAAAACAGGAUAAAUGGUUUCUCUUAGAAUGAAAAGUUUGAUUAUUUAAAUGAAUAAAUAUGUUUGUAAUCUCUCAAAGAUACAUUUUUAUAAUCAAAAGGAAUUUAUCUUUAAUUGAAACAAUAUAAUAAAAAAAUCACAAUCUUAGGAUUCAAUAUCUAUGAAUAGAUAUUGAUGUGAGUUCAUUUUGUAAUCUAAUUCAAUUCAGAAUUACUUUCUUCUUUCUCCCAAUCUUUUCUCAAUUAAAAGCUUAUUGCUUUGACAUUGUUUGCUGCAGAAAACCUUGUAAAGACAAGAUAUUUUCAUUCCUACUAAAGUAUGUUUAGUGGUUUGUUAUAUUAGUGCAAAGUAUAAACAAACAAGGCUUCAUUUUAUGCAUUUUGGUUCAUCCCUUUUGCAUGCUAUAACUAGUUGGGUUGAUAUAAGCAUUAAGAAAAGUGACAUUUAUAGCACACUUUGAAGUAAUUUUGUUCAUAUUUGAAGGUCCAUGAUUGCUCAACUCUAACUAUUCAUCAAGAAGUUAUAAGAAGUUCUUAAAUUGUCAAAACAUUUAAGUAUUUACAAAUUGUAUCUUAUAGCUUUAUAUUACAAUAUUUUUCUAACAUUCUUAAGGUUUUGUUUCAAGCAAUAUGGACAAGUUCAAUUCCAUAAAAGAGAUGACAACCAACUUUUAAAUCUUGGACUGGUUUGAUGGAAGCAACAUCCUGAGGUGGCAAUUGUAGAUGCCCUAUUUAAUUUGAAAUCAUUUGUAAAUUCCAAUUUUUGUUUUUAUUUGUUUAUUUAUUUAUUUAUUUAUUUUAUCUCUUUUUUGUUUGCACUUUCAAUUGACUCCUUGAGUUAUAGUGUGUAGUUGAUUGUGGGGCAUAACAUUGUGGCUCUUGUUGGAUUAUUGGGAUUAAGUUGGCCCUUGUUGGAAUUCUUGGGCUGUGAUAGGUUCUAAACCAAGCCUAACUCCUAUUUUUUAUGAAUUUUAUUUUUUAUCUGAUUUAUCUCUUCUGUAAAAAAAAAAAAUUGAAAUUGAAAAGUCGGGAAGAUAAACAAAAUGAUAAAUAAAGAGAAGGAAAUCAGAUGAAUUUUGAUAAUGAUUUCUGUGAAGAUAAGUUGAAUCUUUUAAGAAUAAAGGAUAAGAUAAUUUUUAAAAUUAACCCAAUCAAUAUUUUGUUUCGAUUUAGAUUCUAAGCGAGCUGGGACUAAAGGCUUAUAUAAGCAACAAUAAUUGAAUACAAUAUACACAACAAGUAAAGGCAAUGGCAGAAGUAGAAAGCAAGUAAAAAAAAAUUUCGAUAGUAGGCCAUGGGUUCUUAAUUUGAAGAUUUUUUCUUUUUGCAAUUUUAGUUAUUUGAAUCAGUUUAAUUUGUAAAAAUUAGUGUUAUUAAGGGAUUAAAGAGCGCACAAAGAUCCAAGUUGAAUUUUUAGCAUUUUUUUUGAAGAAUUUAGAAAAUUUUAAAUUUUUUGACGAAUUUUAAAUUUUUUAGUGAAAUUCACAGUUUUUAGUGAAACUUGAAUUUUCCUAUGGUUUUGAGCAUGAUUGGUUCACUGCGAAUCAUUUUCUUGGAGAUAGUUGUGUUACAAACCAAUUUUGCAGUUUGUAAUCUGAGUAUUAAUGUUACAAACUAAUUUUAGCAUGAAUGGCGUGUCCUGGCUUUACCAUUUACUCUCUUUGUUUUAUUUUUUUUUGGUUUAAAAUUUUUAUGAAUGUUUCGAAAUUUUAUAUUUUUUAAUAUCUAAAAUUUUUAUCUUUUUAUCUUUUAAAAUUAUUUAUUAUUAUUUAUUUUUUACAUUAAAAAUAAAAAAUUUUAAUUUUAAUAUUAAAUAUAUUAAAAUUAAUUUUUUUUUUUGAAUUCUGUGAAAAUCAAUCAUCAUUAUUCUCCAGAGAGAGAUGAUAAUGAAUGGAAUGCAAUCAAGCUCGGGUUUUAAUUCAUUCAUCAAUCAUCAAUCUGCUGGACGUGCUCUAUUAGCACUUGUCUUCUGUAUACUGUUUCUAUGACAUGGUUUCCCAUGUUAAGGGUCCGACCAACAUUUUACCUAUUAUGACUCACUGUCACUUGUAAUUAUCUAUACCCUAUAUAAAAACUAUAGCCUUACUAAAAAAAUUGUUCCCAUAUUAUUUUUUUAAAAUUUUUUCCUAGUUUGAAAUAAAGGAUAAUAUUUCAUUGAAGCUAGAGGUGAGAAAAUUAGUUCAUUUUGAGUUGGUUCAUUUUGGAUAAAAAAAUGAAUUAUUUUAUAUUUGAAUUAAGUUGAGUGCAAAUUAAAAAAUGAUUGUAUUAUGUUGAGUUUGGAUCAAAUCAAGUUCAAAUUAAAAACUUUGAAUCAUUUCAAUUUUGAGGUAUUUCAAGUUGAUUGGAUUAAUUAAGAUUUAGAUCAAUUUUAGUUCAAAUUAUUUGGAUUUCGGAUUUGACUCUCGAAUUAUUGAGGUUUAAUAUUUUAGUUAUUUAUAUUUAAUUUGUUAACAUUUAAAAUUUAAUAAAUAUAAUUAAAUUUAUAAAAAUUAAAAUAUCAAAGUUAAAUGAUUCAAAAGUAAUUUGUUAAUAAUAAGAAAUUAUGUCAUGUUUAAUAUAAAAUUAAUUUUAUUCAUGAUAAAAAUUUAUUAAUGACUUUUAAUUUAUUAAUAUUCAAUAUUUAUUAUUAGUAAUUUAUAUCGAUAUUUUGUAAUCAUACUUGUCCGCGUUAUUUAUUAUAUAUGAAUUAAAAAUGAGCAAAUAACUAAAUAAUUUCAAAAAAAUUAACUUUCAAAAUCAUCACUAAUAGAACGAUAAGAUAAAAAAAAAUACUAUUAAUAUUGAUUACUUAAUUAACAUAAUGAUCUAAUCUUAAAACAAUUCAAAAAUAUCAAAAUUACUUAGACAUAAUAUUAAUAUAAUUUAAAUAAUUGAAAUUUUGAAUAGUAUAUAGUACAAAUGUGUAAUAAAAAAUAAAGAUGCUAAAAUUAUCUACUGUUAUUUGAUAGUAGCAUGGUAUAACACGACUUGACUCGUUGGCUGGAUUUUAAUUUUUAACUUUUAAGUUGUAACAUUUUAGUUUGAGUUUUAAUUUUAUAUAUAAUAAAAAUAAUAAAAAUAUAAUUGUAUAUAUAUUACAAACUAUUGUUUUAUAUAUAUUUUUAAAAAAUUUAUUCAUAAAAGACUUAAGAAGUUUAUUUGUUUAAUAGAACUAAUCUUAAUAUUACUUAUAUAUUAUAAGAUUAUUAUAUUUAAUAAUUAAAAUAAAUAAAUAUAAUAAUAUUAUUAUACCUCUAAAUUAUAUUUUAUUAAAAUUAAUAUUUAAUUGUUUAUAUUUAUUACUUAUUAAUAAAUUAAUAAAAUUUGAUAUAUUAAAUUAAAUUAAUUAAUUGAUCACAUUUGACUUUUGAUAUUUUCUUUCUAUCUAAAAGUAAAAAAUGUAUAAUUUCAACAAAAAUAGAAAAAAACCCUUCCAAUUUAAUUCUAACCAUUUAUUUUAAAGUCUAACCAUUUCGAGUGUGAGUUAAUUUGAGUUUAAAUCAUCGUUGAAUUAUAAUGCAAUAAUUACAGGUGAUAUAUCUCAUGAUUUAAUUCUUUGCCCUGAAACAAUAAAGAACCAGUAGCAGAUAAUUAAGUAAUACAGAACUUACAUCAAAAUUUUAAAAACACAGAGAUGUCUCCCUUCAUCUCCUCUUAUUCUGAACCAAGUAGAGCAUGCAUGUCCUUGUAAACCAUCCUCUCGUUCUAUCACAAGCCUAUCUCCCUUCGCAUAAUCCCAUAGGACUAAAAGAAUGGAGACAUUACUGAACUAGCACAAGGCACCACAGUUUGUAUUUACAUCUUCAUAGAAAUGAAUAUUUCCAUCACAUUAUGUUGUAAAAUGUGCAAUGCUCUCCUCAGUGCUAUUAAAGAAUGAUGGUCAGCUCCAUAGCCACCAUGGUGGAAAGUGCAACCCGUUUUUAAUAUCAGUUGCUACUCCACCCAAUUUGCAAAUGUCUAAUGUCAGCCUUUCUUUGAAAAGCUUUGGAACAAAUAAGACCUUAUAUAGAAGCUGGUAGAUGGUUCAUGCAGUUAUCCUCAAAAAAUGACAUCUAAUAGGUUUGUGGUUUGAAUUUCAGUACUUACAACUCCUUCUCUUAUCCCAAAUGCAAAAAAAAAAAGAGACCUUAUAUGCUCGGUGGCAGGGACUUGGACACUAGAAUGGAAACUAUAAGAUGGGUUUUUGAGGUUACCAUCUGGGAUGUCUAAGGAAGAAUUCAUGGUUCUGAAAACCCCUGGAUAGACAUGGAAUCAGGAUGAUAAUAAUUUGUGCUUUUGAUAAUUUAGUUUUUGCAGCACUCAAAAUUCAGUUUCUGCCCUUCUGACAAGGAAAUAGUGUUUUUCCUCUUCAAACAGUUACUCUGGUCAUUUAUUCAGUAUAAAAAACUAACUCAAAAAAGGUAAAUUAUUUCAUACUUUUUCGUUUUAUCUUGAAUCUCGAUCAUAUUACAUGUAGGCCAAAAAGGAUAAUGCAUUAGUGGACUUGAUCAAACUAAAAAAGCAGUGGCUGCAGCUCAUACAAAAUAAGAUCAUAACAUUAAAAUCCCGAAAUGGAAGACAGAUGCAUAUCACUUUGUUCUUUUUCAGCCAACAAUUUUCUUUAUGAAUUUCAAAAGGCAUGAAAAGAAAAAUUAUCACUGAGAUUAAGCCUUUAAAAAAAUGAUAUGAAAAUUCACUUAUUCAGCUUAUGUACAAUCUAUCUUGAAAGGCCUAGCUUCUCCUCAUAUACCUUUAAUAAAGAAAGAUCCUCAUAAGGGGUCACAAACCUUUGAAGGAACUCCUUUUCGGUAAAAAAAAAAAAAAAAAGAUAAACACUGAUUUUCUCAAUCAAACGUUUGGAUAGCAAAGAUUGAAGAACUUAACACCCAAGGACAAUUCUCAUCUCUAAGCUAUAUGGGAAAAGUUACGGAAGGUUUACUAUACAUCAAGAUUUCCAGUCCAUUUGUGUUGACAUAUAAAAAAAAAUUCGUUGCGACUUUAGUCUUGUCCUUAGAAAGCAUCAUUGCAAUACGGAUACUUAAUUCCACAAAAUGUUUUUUAUAUAAAAGUUUAGGAUGAAGCGAGGUUUUCCCAUUCCAAAGUCAGGGAUUUAUAUUGGAUUUAAAGAUUAUUGUGUCAUAAUAUAUAAAUUCGUAAAUUUAUCGUUAGAUACAAUUAAAAGAGUCAUCAUCACUAUUUUUUGAUUAAAUAUGAUUGACCACUUAGGUGAAUCUAUUUAUAUUCAUUUUAAGGAUGUCUUAAACUUGACUAAGGGUCCUUAAAAAAAUGUUUGGUUUACUAAUCAGAAUAGGGUUUGAGAGUUUGAUUAUAUACAAAAAAAAUUAUAGCAUCCUCACAACUCUCAUCCUAAGAUGAUAUCAUUUAAUUUUAAAUUAUCUUAAGGAUUAUUGGUUCUAAUGGUUUUUUAUUAAACUUUAAUAUUUAAAUAUUAAAAAUAAUUUUUAAAAUUUUUCCAUUAAUUUGACAGAAUUCUUAGAAAAUACUUCCUCAACAGGAGUAUUUAAAAAUCGUAUUUAUUUUUUUAAAGAGGUUCUGUCGUAAAAAAAAAAAACUUAAUCAUUUAUUUUUUAUUUUGCUUUAUUGAAAAUAUAUCUAAUUCUUCCACCAUUUAGGCUAAAAUUAAAAAUAUUUUUUCACCUAAAAAUUUUUUAAAUAAUCAUCCAUUUGUAAUUAUUAGAAAUUUCAUCCUCAGAAUUUAUUCUUUUUAUUUUGUGUAAAUUUUUUGUAUCUAAAUUUCUAUUGUAUGGAGACAAAUCUAAAAUUUUCACCAUUUUAAAAACUUUUAGAAAUACUUUUUUACCUAAAAAUUUCUAAAAAAAAUCAACCAUUCUUGAUUUCUUAGAAUUUCAUCAUCAACAUUUUUUUAUCAUUUCCAAAACUUCUCAUUUCUACCCUUUUUAUUUACUACAUUUAAAAAUGUAAUUAUUAUAAUUUAUCUAAUUUUAUCAUCAUUAUGGUAAAAUUUUAGAAAUAAAUUUAUUAUCUAGAGUUUCUCAUCUUGAAAUUUUUUAGAGGAUCAACCAUUCUUGAUCUCUUAGAAUCCCAACAUCAAAUUAAUUUUAUUAUUUUUCUAUUUUUUAAGAUUUAUUUUCGUUAUUUCUAAAACUUUCUAAAAUUAUUUUUUAAAUUUUUUAUGAUUUUAAAGCAAAUAUCAAUAUUGUUAUUGAAAAUUUUAUCUAAAUCUCCAGUUUGAAGAUAUUAAAAAAAAACUCUCAUUUAAAAAAAUUCUAGAAAUUCAACAAUUAUUGAGUUCCAAAAUUUUACUAGUUGGUAAUUUUCAUUUAUGUUUUAGGAUUAUAUUCUUUAUUCUUAUUUUCAUAAAUUAUUUUUAUUAACAUUUUCAUAUAAAUUGUCCACCAUUCUAGAGAAUUUAUAAGAAAAUUUCUCACUUAAAAAUUUCUAAAAAUCAACCAUUCUUGAUUUCUAAAAUUAUCUCAUUAGGAUAAUUGCCAUUUAUUUUAGAGUUUUUGUUUCAUUUUUUUUAUAUUUGGUGUUCAAUUGACGAGAAAUUAAAUUUUUUUUUUAGGUUUUUAACUAAAUUUUCCACCAUGGAGAAUUUAAAAGAAAUUGCUUAUCUAAAAAUUUUUUAAAAGUAAAUUCCUUACAAAAAAAUUUUCACUUAUAAUUAAAAUUUGAAUUAAAUUACAUGAUUAAAAAAAAAGGGUUAUUUAUCUUUAAGAUUUAUAUGAAAUACAUGAUUCUGAUAAUAUUUUAAUUAAAGAAAACUACUAGUAUAAAUACAUUUUAUUCUACCAUAUUUUAGUUUUUUAAGUGUGAAGCAACUAAACAUUUUUCUAGUUUAAGAAUGAAUGCUUUAUAAAAUGUAUAACAAAGUAAAUAAAUGAUUAAAAAAAAAAGAACCAGAAAAUUAAAUAAGGAAAAAAAAAAGAUGAAAACCUGAAAUUUGAGUUACAACUCAAAUCCAACGCAGGCUAGCCUAAGCUAAAAAGUAGGCUUGGAGUUCGAGGCUUCAAAUUGUGGGUUCUUGAAUCCUCCUCAGGUUACACUCAAAAUAUCAGCUUUUUGGACUUGGACCAGAUCUUCAAGUUCUAGAACAUUCCUUCCCCUUUCUUUGUUCUUUAUUGCAAAAGGAUAACGCCCAACUUCUCAUUUCAGCAACACAGCUCUCAGUUUUUGCUGUUUUCUCGUCCUUUUUGCGGAUAAGUUGUCACUUCCCUUAUUAUUUUCAGAAUCUCACAACACUUCGCAAAUUUAAACACAAAGACUAUUCUACCACUUCUUGGAAUUCCUAAUCCCAGCUACUCGGAUCAUUGAAAAACUCCUCCAAAUCCUUCCCCUUUCUUUUGCCGUUUGAAAGAAUACCAAAAGGUGCCUAACUAAAAGUGAAUCCCAAACCGAAAACCGCUGCUAGAAGAAUAUCUUUUGUUUUCGUCUUUCGAUUGUUGUCGAUUGUUGAUUCUAUCUCUGUGGCUAUUUUUGAUGCUUGACUCUGGUUAUUGUGUUUUGAUUAUUUGUUGGAUUUUGGAUCGAUGGUUACUAUUUGGGCAAGAAAAGGUAGUGGUAGUCUUCGGUUGCUGGUUUAGGUAGUGGAUGACUGAUGGUGGUGACUGGCAAUUGGGAG